AAAAAAAAAAAAAAAAGUAAAGGGAAUGAAUGAAACUUAUAGCUCGUUUCAAUAAUAUACAGUGAGAUAAAUCAAUAAAACAUUUUAUAUUUUUGUUAUUGCCGAUUUCAACUCUCAUGAGUGCUGAUGCAAAACACAACUUAAUUAACAUGGACCAGAAGGAGGAAAAGGACCAAAAUCAAAUUUGAUCAAUUGAUAAUGGUCAUUUGUCAUGUCACCAAGAAGAAUUAUCUUCUUAUUAAUGGAUAAUCGUUACCGCCCCAUUGAUUAUAUCGUGGUUGAAAAAUAGGGUUGGACUGUAUUGAAAGGAAAUACUAAUUUCACGGUCAUUAAAAACCCGCUAAACAAUCGAUCCAAUUCCAUUUAAUUCCCUGGCUCAAUCUAACGGGUAACACAACUCAUCAGCAAGACAGCAACCUAACUCAACGAUCGAGAUGGAUGCAUGUUGACUGCUCGGCCCCCCAGUCAUCUAUUUGUCUCACACAAUUCACAAAUGACAUAAAAUAAAUUACGAAGCAGUAGUCAGCAUUAAAAAAAAAAAAAAUAGAAAACUGAAAAUUAAGAUCCAAAAGCAAAACUUGCUUUGAUUCACCGAGAGAGAGAGAGAGAGAGGGCGUGUGACUUUUGUGUGUGUGGGUGGUAUUAUUUCGUGAGAAACGAGGGAGUGAGAACUGAAAAGGAAUUGGUUUUUAUUGUGAUGAUGAAACACAAGAAAAGACUGAAGAGAGGAGGAGGUGGUGGGUUUGCAUCAGAAACGAGGACGAGGGAGGGGCAAAAUGAAACGAAAAGAAAGAAUUAGCAACACUGCGUCUGCGCCUGUAUCUGUGAUGAAUCAUGAUCUCCCCUCUCCUCCCCUCUUUUUGAUGAGUUUCCUUCCUGCCUUGUAAAUAAUAAUAAUAAUAAUAAUAAUAAUAAUACGUAAUAUAUUUAUUUAUAUGUGCAUAAUAUAUAAUCUCUAAAACCAUCCCUUAAUUACAUCUACGCUCCCACCACUCACCAGUCACCACCCCUCCUCUCUCUCUUUCUCUUUCUCUUUCUCUUUUUCUGACUGACUGUUCCCCUCUUCUUCUUCGAUCGAUCUUCACUUCUUAAAAAUAUAUACAAGCGUUGCACAUGUGCCUUCUCUACAAUGGUGAAUUCGUACAUAUAUACAAGGCCAGGCUUUUCAUGUUCAUGUGGGUUUAACAAAGUGCUUCUUACAGAGUUUAUUGGCAUUCUGUCCACCUCCGUUCCCCAUCGAUUGAAUCUGAAAGCCUUUUUCUUUUCUUGUUUUUGUGCUUCUCUCUUUCAUGCUCAUGGAGGUGGGCAUACUGCCAACUGAGCUCUGUUGGCUUCUCUUUGUAAAACCCUCGUGAUUUAUCCAUCCAGGCUCAAGCUUUGCUUUGCGACAAACGUCAAGGUAAAAGAUCACGCAUAUCCCAUGAUUAAUUCUUCUUCUUUUUUCUUUCUACUUUUCUUUGUCUUAUUUUCUUUGUGAUGUGUCAUCAUGCAUAUCCACUGUCAGUUUCUCUUCUCUUCUCGUGUCUUCUUAUUUAUCUAUCUACUUGAUAACCCCCAACUUUACCAUUUGUUUUUUCAGGAGAAAUAGGGUUUAUUAAGAGCAAACAAAACUCUUUUUUUUUUUUAAAAAAAAAAUCACUACUUUCAUCUUUCAUCUUUUUAUUUGCAGGACUAUAAAGUAAUCGGGCAGCAAGAAGGACGCCUUUAUUAUUUUCAUUUGGUAACUUGUGGAUUAUAUGUGAUUAUGCUAGCUAAUUGGGAACCCUAGCUUCUUAUUACUUCAUCAAUUUUAUGAUUGUUAUACUUUUAAUUCUUCUUAUUAUUAGAUUUUUUUUUGGAAAUUUCUGAUCUAGGGUUUCAUCAUUUACUUAUUUUCUAGGGUUGUUAAUCGGAAAGAUCGGUGGGGUUUGAGGUGUUAAUGGAGUUAUUAGAUUAGAUUCGUAGCGCUUUCUGCAGAGGGAAAAAGGAAUUUGUUAAAGAGGGUAGAUUAAUGUGAAAAAACAUUUUACCGGAGCUCAUGAGACCUAAAUGAUAUCUCCAACCUGCUGAGUGGUAAUCAAGAUAAUUAUCUGAUCACAAUUAAAAGGCGAAGAUUUUUGUGUUCAUGGCUUCAUGCAUGACUGCCACCAUUUUUUAACUAUGUCAGUCAUUUAUGAUUUAAUUAAUUUAAUUUUUAUUUUAGGGCAGGCGUAGCUCCACUUCCAGCCUUAAUACUGAAUGUAUGAAUAAUAAGUUUCGUUUCUAUUCUUCUAUACACCCCAAAAGCUCCAACACUAGUCGUCAUCAUCAUCCACGUAGGCUCAUCAUUGAACCCUGACACUGCUAUUUUAUUAAUGAGGAAACGAUUUCCUCUCCACUCGCCUUCAUAUCGCAUGCCCCUAAUCUCCAGUCAAAUUUCUAGGCUAGGGUAUUUGACUUGCUCGUGAUGACAAACUGACAAUGGACAAUUUUUUUUUUUUUUCGCGUGGGUUAAGUUAGGUUUCUUCAUUAGGGCGGCCAAAAUGGGUCUCAACUUUCAAGCCUUCGUCCGUUUGGAAUCUCUUGUUCGCUUUGAGUAAUCAAUCAAAUACUGACUUUGCUGUGUGAAAUUGAAAAUGGCAAUAAUGGUGUAUGCAUGUAUAUUGGGGGUCCUCCUCAUUUUAGUUCUGUUUUCUUUUUGAGUAAAUAAUUUUGUCUCUUGCUUAAAGAGUCAAUGGGAUGCAGUUUAUAGGUCAACAUCUCAAAAUUAAAUUGACUCUUAACUAUGACCAUGAGGUUGUGUGGAUCAUGUUAUCUUGGCUUUUAGCAUAUUCUUUUCGUGAAUUGUGAAAGAAAUUCAUUAGUCAUAUAUUGUAUUUUGUUGAUUUUUUUACUGUUGUUAAUUCCAUUUGCCUCUCUUAACGAGAACUUAUAUAAGGAGAGAAAAACAAAGUGCAAUAUUAAAUGCCUUACGUAUCAUCGCAAGAUGUGAAUUUAUAUGUGAGUGUCAAUUUGAUUAACUGAACAAAAAACAAAUUGAGUUGGGAGUAGGGUUUUUUUUUUUUUUUGGGUUCAUACUUUUUGUAUUUUUACAGGGAGUUAUUUGUUUGUUAAUUGGCCAUUCCCCUUACUCAUCAUCCUAUUUAUAUUUUGUUUGACAGCCAUUACCGGUGAAGGCUUUUUCUCAAUUGAAUUCUACUGUAGUGCAUGAUGUGAGUCAUGUUAUAUGAUUAUCUAAUUUAUCUCCCUGAAAUUUCUGGAGAAGUGAAAGGAAGAACGUAAGUUUGUACUGUCUAUGUUGUGUGUAUUAAUUGAAUUACUUGUAACAUAUACAUUGUGUGUAUAAAUUGAACUAUAUAUAUGUGAAGUGUACACUUUGUAAAAACCUAAGAAAAAUGAUAUGCACUCACCAAUUAACUCCACAACAGGCAAAUUUUGGGGGUAAACUUGUUAUUAAUGUAAAAUUUAAGAGUAAUUUUGUUAGUUGUUCCGACUUUUAUGGGGUUGGAGAGGAUCCACUACCAUUGUUCAGAAUCUAAAAUUGGGAGGACUAAGGCCUAAGAAGAUGGAGAGAAUACUUGUGCAGUGAAUACAUUGAGAGAACACAGAAAAUACUUUCCUGGGUGCAAGAGAAUCAAUGAGAUCUCGCAGAGUUCGGAGCAAUUCAGGUUGGAUAUGAACUCUAGAAAAGUUAAUAUGAUGAGCUCUAGAAAGGUUUUUAUGGAGGAUGAUGACUUUGUCCCUAUCCCACGAAGUUUUCUUGAAACAUUUUAGGUGGCUGGUGAAGAUUGAAGAGAUUUUAUUUUUUCCAAAAUUAUUUUGGGAUAGGCCCAAAGGCUCAAAACAUUUUGGGUUUGAGAGCGGAGAUUUUAUCGCGGCGGAACCCAAAAUAUUCUUAAAGAGUCGGAUCGCCGAUCGUACGGCCUUUUUUUUUCAAUUCGUUAUCGCUGAUUGCACAGUCGCUAGCCGCCGACUGCACAGCAAAAUUCACGGCUCGCCGUUUGCUUUGUUGGUAUUCUUGCUUUUGUGCUAAUAAAGAGAAGUUUUUGUUGGGUGGGUGAGAAAAUGAUGGAAAUGAAUUAGCUUUUUUAACCAAAAAAGACAAAUUGUAAGAAAUUGUGCAAGAUUUGAUUAAAUAGAAGGAAAAUUUUAUUCAGAUUUUUUGCUCUUCUUUUCUCUUUCUAGUGAUUUGAUGUUUCUUGUGAUUUCUUACAUCCGUUACAAAGUUCACAUGUUGCUCCAACCACUAGGUUUCACUCCACUCUUUCUCAAUUACUUGGACACCCUUCCACUGACGGGAUAUAAUGUUCAUUCUGUGAAACUAGUGCUUGAACACACAUACAUGUUGAAUGAAACAUUGAAACUGGUGCAGAUUUGGACAGCAACAAGAAAAUUAUAUUAAGAAAUUUUUCUUGCUUUUUUUUUAUUUAUAAAUUUGAUUUGCAAAGAAUCGUGAUGUUCAUUUUGAUAAUUUGACCAUGUAACAAGUAAGAUGCCAGAUUUGAGCUUUAAGCUGGCGGUUGUCUCUCAGGUCAGCAAAGCUGUUACCUUUACAUAUGUUAAUGACAGACACCUUUUAUCACCAUCUAAAUCACUAUAAUUAAUGCCACGUUUGCAUAUACGCACUUACAAUUGUAAAUUCCGUCCUAAAUGCAGACCAAGAUAUCUUGAUCAAUUGGUGAAACAAUUUCUGAAUCCAAGUCCAUCAUCAUUACAAUUAGAUCAUUCUUGGUGUUCAUUUGACUGGUGUAACCAUUUCUUCUUGGCGGGAAAUCCAGCGGUAACAAAUUCUAUUGUUAGUUCAAGAAGUUAACAGUGCUCGUGGGCAUUAUAGGAGCUAAAUUCUUGAGCCGGAAUUAUCUUGUUUGAUUUGUAAUGACUAAUGAAUGGCUUGAGUGAGUAGAGGAUUGCUGGGCCGGCCUGCAUUCGAAUAUGACCCCUAACCAAGAAAAAGUGUCCUGCUCAUCCUGACCAAUAAUAAUUAUAUAGUUAUUUGAAAAAAAAAAUUAAAAGUAAAUUUGCACUUCUCGCUUAAUGGCAUUCGUCUCUUUCCCAUAAAAUGAUAAACAAGUGGGUAAAGAGUGAGGUCAUGUUGUGCUAAAUCUCCACCAAUUUGUUGUCAAUGGGCUCAUAGCCCAUUGUCACAACCGGUGCAUGAAUUCGAAUCACAACAAUAAUUAAAAUAAUUUCCUUCCAUAUGAAAUUAGGUAGGAGAAAAAUUAUCUUUCUGAAAUAUAUAGAGUAGAAUAAAUAUAAAAGUAUCGAUUUGCCUAAGAAAGAAGAAAAACAAGCCCGGUUGCUUUAUGAACUUGGAACUGAUGAAUCAAUCAUUCAUCCUGGUUGUUUGACCAAAAUAAUAAUAAUAAUAAUAAUAAAAUAAAAAUCAUUCAUCCUGGUGUUGUUGUUUCUAAAGACCCUAUCGCCUAUGGGGUCUCGUGAAUCAGCAACACGGAUGUAUGACCAACUCGUGUUUAAUAAAUAAAUAAAUAAAUAAAAGUUAUGACCAACUUUCAAAUAAAUAGCACAAUUGAAGAAAGAAAAUGCCAGAAAGCAAACUGAACCUCACAAGAGCUUCCAUUACGCCUCACCUGAAGGUUCUGGAAAUAACAGAAAUAACUCUAUAAUUAAGCAAGUCAGUAAAUAAAAAUUUUGACUAUCUCAGUAAUUAUGAAGGAAUAUAAACAAGAUUCUUUCUACUGCUCUUCUAUGUCAAAAUCAAUUUCCAAAUGCAUUUUCGUACCAGAAGGAACAAGUAAUAUCAGUCUAAUUCAGAAGUGCUACUAUGUUUGCUCUUCCAAUAUAAUUAGAAAGUCAGUUUUUCUAAUGCCCCAUCAAUCCGAGCUCGUAGAUCACUCUGAUCGAGCAAAGAAUGUGCCCUGCCCCUGGGGCUUCUAACCAGAGAGUAAAAUGAUGGAAUUCUAAAAGGAGAGGUAGACGAGCUCCGUUGAAGAGAGAAGGGGCUAGGUAAUAUUCGUUUUUGUUUGGGAAUAGUUCCAUUGAACCUUGUUUGGUCAUAUAGAGAUGCAGUCUCGGCUGCUGCACGUUGUUUAGUGGCAUCAUCCACAUAUAGGAGAUCAUCAAUCCUAGCCAUUAUGUUGAAGGCCAAGCUUUCCAUCACCCUAGAGUAGCUCUCAAGGAUUGACUGCCCCACAUCCUGCAAAGCCAAGGGAUUUAAAAUUUUCUUUUCUCAUUUAUGAAUGCAAUAACAAGCAAAAACAUAGUUUCCUCUCAUCUCACUUGCACAUGUAUAAGCUCUUUCUCAAUGAUAUUUGUAUUUAUUAUUUUUUGGUUGGUAAAGUAACCUUACUAUCAAUGCCAAGUCUUGCACCAGUCCAAGGCAUCAAAGGGCGUAGAUUCAUACUUCAAUUACUUCACAAAUAUAAAUAGUUCCAUUCAGAAUUCCCUAAAAGAUUAAAUAGACACAUAGUUCCCCCACUUCUUAAUACAUAUCAAAUGAAAUGGAGUUUCAGUAGUGUAGAAUGUGAUGAUCCUUAUUGACAGAAAGAGGAGUGCAAAAGCUAAAUUGCACAAGUUGAUCAUGUGACAUACCUUGUUAUAUUGAAUCUUGUUCAUGUCCAAAGCAGUCUGUGGGAGGCUUGGGAAUCUUAACUUCAAGUUCUGUAAGAUGGUAUCAGCCCGGUGUGCUAGAAGCUUACUUCUUUCUAUGUCACUAACAAAGCCUUUGACCUUACCACCCCAUGAUGACCUCCCUGACUUUGUGCGAAUUAUACGCUUAUUCUGGUACUUCUGCCUCCAAAUGUGCACAGCUGCCUCAAUCCUGUUUGCUAUUUCCAGAGUGGUGUAUUCUGAUGACAAGUCUAAGUAAGCAAGAAGAGACUCUGGAGAGAACUGAUCAGCAGUUAUGUAAUUAUACAUUAUCUCACCCAAACAUUCUUUUCCGCUCUGAAAGAUUGGUGGAAACAACGAAAACAUAUAUUAGAUGGAAUAUUAAAUGAACAUACAGUUACACAUCAUUUUAGAUGCUGAAAUAGGGGGUAAAAAAAUCCUGCUACUCUAGUGGGAAAUCACAUGUUUUGUUAGACUUGAAUAAAAUUGUUUGGAUUGAGCAAUCACAAAAUUAAAGACCAGUGCAAGCCAAAAUGCUGAAGGAUAUUUGCCGUCCCAUGUAACAGAAGUACAAAACAAAAUUCUCAUACCUUGGGCAAGCUCUCCAAGUAAGCAUUUGGGAUUUCCAUCUCGGCCAACACAUUACUAUUGAUUGCCAUGGCAGCCUUAAGGAUCUGACUCGUACACUCCCUAGCCUGUUGCAAUCUCUUCCUCAUAUUCUCAGACAAACCAUUUGGGGGAACCAUAGGGAAUGGGAGCCACCACUUCUCUUCUGGACCAGCAAAAGGCCUACUAGAGGACGAACAUGAAGGAAACGUUUUAGUAUCAUCGCCACCACCACCACCAACUAUCAGCCCACGAUCAACAUAACAAAACUCAGCUUCGCGAAACCCUUCAAGAAUGUUAACCAGCAUAGUAUCAAGCUUCUUGAGUGCUGGAAGGUUUACAUAAAGGUCAGACCGCGGCCUAGUCACCAUGACUUCAAAUGUCCCACCACCUGGAAAUUCUUGCAAUGAUGGAAUAAGUUCCACUAUAGAAUCACUUACACAUAAAAGCCACUCCAUCUCUCGCUGCCACAUCAUCUUCUUCCGUAAUGCUAGUGGCUCUAACUUCCAUAGUUCCCCAAAUACAGAUGCUGCAAAAAUUUCCCAAUAUAAAUAAUUGGCCUAUGCAACGCAGAGCAUGAAAGCAAAAAGAUCAAACAAUAUGAAUAUACAAUACAACUAACCAGAAAGAUUUGUAAUGGCAUUGGAGAUUGCAAGAGCGGUGCAGACUCCCUUCCCUCCUCCUGACAUAUCUUCUCCAAGAAGAAGCUUAGCAAAACGCUCCUUCAUUAAUUCGAUUUCUGAAACGAUACGAAUACAAAUCAAAGUACAGUCAAGUAACACCGCCAGAAGAAUAAAAAGGAAAAUUAGAGGACUUUCACUCUGAGAUCAAUUGAUAAGUAGAACAGAAAAUCUGUAUCUAGUGUCCUGUUUGGCAGGUGCAGAAAUGGAGGCGAAGAACGGACUGAUUCUUUUUCUUUUUGGUUUUUUUUUUUUAACGAACAGACUCAACUUUAAUACCAGAAUACCAGAAAAUCUGAGCCAUUACAAUAAUAUUCAGCAACCAAAGAGAGAGCAGGAGGUCAUAACGGCAAUGAAUAACAGAUCCAAAUUUUCAAAAGAACAAAUUUCUAAAAUGUACCAAAACACGGAACGCAUAAGCCAUUGCCGUUAAAUUAAAUAUUCACCGAACUUCUUGUUACGUCAAGUUAAUUAACAGAAAAACAACGUGACAAUGAACAGAACACUAACCGGAUAAGUCAGAAUCUGGUAUUUUCUCCGUAUCGUUAACCGAAACGACGACGUGUCUACCCCCAACCACCGGCAGCAUAAUAGGAACUGCCUCUGAGGAGCCUGAACUGUCAUCAAAGUCAGGUUCCACGAGCGAUGAAGAGGUCAAGAAAGUGGAAGCGCUGUCAAAAUGCCGAUUCGAAAAGCUGCCGCUACUCGAACUUUCCGACUCACUGACGUCAGCGCUCAAGCUGUAACUCUCGAAUCGCUCGCUCAUUUCUUCCAACCCGUCCUCCGAUGAAACGCUUGCCAUUGUUAAAGAUCAAAUUAUAGCUGCUACAGCCAGCUUGCUUCUUACAAAAAUAUCAUUACAUAUAAUGAGAUUUGAGUAAAGAGUGAUAAAAAAUUAAAGUGAAUAAAAGCUCUUUGCGACUGAUGAGUGCAUGAGUCUCUGUGCUCUCUCUUUCAUAUUCAUAUUGAUUCCAAAAUUGCCGUUACCUUUGUGUAACAGCAGUCCCCACCAAAAGAGACAAAGCAGUUUUUUUACUUUUUUUUUUUUUUUCUCUAUCAAUUGCGCGCGUUAUUUGCCGCAUCGGCAAAAUGAGAGCGUGAAGAAAACGUUCUGAUCGUUUGUGUAGUUUGCUUUUUAAUAUAUAUAUUAUAGGGAGCUGGCUAAGUUACAGAUUACAGAUCCGACUGUAGCCAACUCCUAUUGCCUGCAUUUGCACAGUUUCUCUCUCCUCAGGACACGUGUGCUGCUUCCCAUUGGGUGUGUACGUUACAGAUUCUGUAACGUACAUUGGUCCAUAUAUAUAUAUAUAUAUAUAUAUAUAUAUAUUUAUGUAACAGCCUUUUUUUUCAUAAAAUAAAGAAGAAAAAAGGAAGAAGCACACGUCCCCCUAGGCCUCUGUGCUAUGCAGCUGCUCGCUCGCUCGCUCAGCUUAGGUGAGAGUCUUAAUCAUCGGUAAGCAUAUUCAUUAUUUGAAAUGUCCGUAAUGGGUAUUAUUGCGCAGCUACUAACUGGCAUUGGAUGAUUCUACUGCAACUUUUAGAAGGUGAAGUAUUGAAUUGUUUGAUGUCAGACUUAAUUUUUUUUUUUUUUUGUUAUUGAAAGUCUUAAACACAGACUUCCUGGCUAUAAGGAAUGGGGUUUAAUAAUAUAUCUUUUUGUUCUUAUAUAGAAUUGUUGUUGGAGUUUAAAUUGAAAAUAUAAAAAUGAGCAUUUUAUAAGAGUUAUUCAGGGAUGUUGGAAGUAUCUAUCUAUAUACGAUAUUUGCAUAUAAAAUUAUACAUAACAAACAGAAUGAGGACACUUGUACAUAAAAUAAAAUAAUGAAGUGAAUGAAGUCAUGUAUGAUUUUAUAUGUAAUUUUACAUGCCAAUAGAUUAUCCUUCAUUGCAUACUGUAAUAACAAUUUAUUGGGCUUCGGUUUCGGAUUAAAAUUGACAGCAGCCUAGGCUGCGUUUACUUUUUGGAUUGGAUUGGGAAUCCUGAGGAGUGGGAAUCAUAGGAUUGGGAGUGUGGAGUGGGAGUGGGAGUAAGUUGUUUACUUACACUGGAAUGGAAGCAUGGAAUAGAGAUCAGAAUCCAAUUUAUGUGUUUACUUUGUCUUGGAUUGGGAGUAAAUAGUUUCAAAUUACAAUUUUAUCCUUAUUUAAAGAAUUAUAGUUUUUAAUUACAAAACUAAUAAAAAUAUAUUUAAUGAAUAAUAUUUAUUUUAUUAUAUUUUUAAAUUUAUUAUAAUUAUUAAUAUUCUUAAUUAUGAACAAUAAAUUAUUAAUUUUAAUAUAAAAUGAAACCUUAUUUUAUUUUAUUUAAUAUAAUUAUAUUAAAUUUAUUAUUAUAUAAAAUAAUAAUAUAAUAUUAUUUAGUACAAAAUUAAUAUUUUCUUAUAAUAAACUAUUUAUUAUUAUUAAUAUUAAAUAAAUAUAGUACUAUUAUUUUUAAAAUAAAUAUAAUAAUAAUAUAUUUAUUAAUUCUCUAUUAAUAUAAUAAUAUUAUUUUAAAAUAAUUUUAACUUAGAAUCAAUGUAAAUUAUUAUUUAGUUAAAUAUAAUAUUAUUAUUCAAAUAAAUAUAAUAUAAUUUAUUUUAUUAAUUAUAAUAUAUUAAAUUAAAUUAAAUUAAAAAUAAAAGGGUAAAAAAUGGAGAGGUGGGAGUGGAUUCCCACUCCCACUCCCUACUCCAAAAAUGAGUGGGGCCCACGGAAUGGGAUUCCCAAUCCCUUUCCAUUUUGAGGAAGUAAACGUUGGAGUGUGAGGAAUACACACUCUUUACUCCCACUCCAGCAAGUAAACACAGCCCUAGAGUUGAAUACUCCCACUCCAGCAAGUAAACACAGCCCUAGAGUUGAAGGACCAAAUAAUGCAUGAUUGGCUGACACACUGGGUAUUAGUGUGUGUGUGUUGUAUCACUUGUAUAUGCGAGUGUAUGUAUGUAUGAGCAGCCACUGGUGACCUUUGGGCUUUAAAUCCAAAGGUCGACGGCCUCUCUCCCAUAGAUUGUUACAAUCCGGGAUUGGAACACAUACAAACAUACAUACAUAUACCUACACACACACACACACACACACACACACACACACAUAUUCAAUGAAGGAUCUUAAAUUUUUCAAUUUAGAAAAACUAUUAAACCACGUGGUUUAAAGUAUAAUGACAUUAUACCAUUAAAUCGUAUGGUUUAAUAGUUUUUUUGAACUUUAAUAAAGUUUAGGAUUUCAAUUUUUAUGAGUUUCGAUUUGGGUUGCAACCUAUUCAAUUUUAAGAAUUCAACCCAAACGAGUUCAAAAGUUAGUUUGAUUUGGUUUAGUUUAAGUUCAAAUUCAAUUUGGUUUAAUUUAGUUCAGAUUCAAAAUCAGUUUGGUUUCAAAUUAUAAUUUCAAGAUAAAAUUUGGCUUGGGUAAGCUUUAAGGGAAAUUGAGACUUUUUUUAAUAUUUAAAUGUAACUCGAUCGAGUUAGACGUUUUGUUCACUUUUAUUUUUGAACUGAGUCCAAAUUCGGUUGGUUUUCAAUUCUCAAUCCAAUCGAUUUUUAGGGUCAAACCAAACAUUGAAAUAAAUUUUGAAUUUGGUAUAGUUCAUAAAUUUUGAAUUAUGUUUAGUUUGAUUUGAUAUGAAUCGAAUACCCACCCUUUUGUUAUGAAGUCUAUUGAGAGCAAGGUGAAUUUGACCCUUUUUUUUGGGAAAUAUUACUCAUAAAAUAAGUAUUAUAAGUAGUGAUCUAAUUCACUCAGUUUUCAAUAAUCUAUUAAUAAAUAUUUGAGAUAGAGAAUAUACCAUCAAUUUAUAAUCUUAGUUCUCAAAUUUAAUACUUAAAAAUAUCAAAAUGAUAUUUUUUCAUUUGUAUUUUUUUUCUAUUUUCUCACACAACUUCCUACAAAAUAUUUGUCGUCAAUUUUUUCUAUAAUUAUUGUACUUUUGAUUAUUUUUGAGGAAAAAAAUUAUAAUAUAUACAGUAAAAUAUCUCUAUAGUCAUAAUAUUGGGACCAAACUAAUUUUAUUAUUAUGAAUAGAUUAUAACUUAGUAGAGAUGUACCUGGGAAAAUUAUUAUUUUGACUUAGUUUUCCUUAGUGCAAGUGAUAUAGAGGCAAAGUAUGCAAUACAUUGAUAAUCAAUUAAUAGAGCAUGUCAAAUAUAAUGUACAGAUGAUGAUAAAAGAGAUAGAUAGAGUUUAAAAAAAUUAGUAUAUAUAUUUAUUAUGAAGUGUUGGGGUCAUACAAAGUCAUCUUGAAAGCCUAAAGAAUAAAUUAUUAUCUAAAACAAUGUUAUAAAAACCUUUAAUGUGAAUAGUAUACAUUCGUUGCAAAUGUAAUGAUAAUUGUCACUAUAUAAAGGCAAGUUUCUUAAGACGAGAUAUAGAAAAAUUAUAACUCAUUACACUUUGGAGUUUAUUAUUAUUUAUAAUUGGCUUAAAUUAGGAUCAAAAUUUUUUAUAAUUAUAUGCAAGUUAUUUCUGUAUAGAAUAUCACUAUCAAGAGGUUUUACUAUAGUGUAGGUAGCUAUCGUGCUUAAAUUCAUAAUACCAAAUAGAUUGUCUUUGUAAGCUUUAUGUAGUCUUCAUAAAUAGGUUUAAUGUACAAUUAUCAAUUUUUUUUAAGAAAUCAUAAUUGUCUACUUGAAAAAAAGUGGAGUUAACGAUUAAUAUUAAGCGAUAAUAAUUGCAUUAAAAGACACAACUUAAGGUUGUUUGUUUUUUGUUUGAAGUAUGAAUUUUAAUUAUUUUUAGACAUUUAAAAUUUUAAUUUACUCUAUAACCUAUAUAUGAUUAUAAGAUGUUUAUAUUUGAAUGAAAAAAGUUAAAUAUUCAAACUUUUAUCUAAAUGGAAAAAUAUUUUAUUCAACUUUUAUUAUUCUUUUUAAUUAAUACCCAUAUUAAAUACAUUUAUUUCCUACUUUAUAAAAUAUCAUUUUUAUUAUUUUUUAUUUAUCAUUUUUCUUUGUUUAGUGAUAUUCAACUAUUAUUUUUUUAUUAUGAAUGAAAAUUUUAAAUAAAACAGGAUUUUAGAUAAGUAUUUUUAUAAUAGGCCCAUCUCUUUGUAUUUAUAAUAAUUAUUUUUUCAUAGAUUUAAAUAUUAUUUAAAAAUUAAUUUUAAUUUAAAUGAUUAAACAAUUCUUGGUUGGCUUAAGCAAGUAUCAAACAAAAUACAUAUUAUAUAUAAAAAUAACAUUAUAAAUAUCAUAUAUUUAUGCCAAAAAUUACAUGUGCUAAAUGUGUGUGUGUGUUCAUGCUUUGUUAAGGUACAUGUUAUCAAAUUUUUUUAACUAAUCAAAUAAUUUAUUUAUAACUUGUCAUAUUUUUAAUAAAUAAAUAUAAGUAUUGUUAAUAUUUAUAAGAUUAUAUAUGUCAAAAUAUCAUAUUUAAGAUGUUUUCUUUUUUUAAAAAAAAUAACACUUAUAUUCAUAUAUUUUUUAAAAAAUAAAUAUCUCAUUCAUAUAUAUGCAUUUGGACAUAUUUAGACUUCAGCUAAACUCAGACUCAUUCAAAUUUUAAAUAAAAAAUAAACACCAUCUUAGUUUUUGAUAAACUUAUAUUGCAUUUUUUACUAGUUACAUUGUAAUAGUAACGUUUUUCUUUAGGUUGAGAAAUUUUCUUGCAUGACUGGAAGUUUAAAUUUACACAUUUUAUAGCACAAUCCAAAAAUGUACCGAAGAUAGCUAAAGAAUCUACUCCAUACAAAAAAUAUAUAUUUACUCCCAUUAAUAUGAUAAUUUAUUUAAAUUUUCCAUGUUAUCUCGAAAUUAAGUUCAUGAAUUUUUCAUGGAAGAACGAUUGAAAAUGUUUGUCAUUACAAAAGUUGAUUGUUUAGCACAUGUCUCUUAGGGUACUUUGGUCAUUUUAUAUUAUUAGGAUAAACUAGUCAAAUAAAACUUGUCUUAAAGCAACAUUAAUGGUUAAAGAUACUUGAGAAAAAAUAAAAUUAUUAUUGAAUAAAUAAUAAAUUUUAAAUUUUAAAUUGUAAAAUAUUAAAUAUUAGUUUAAAUAACAAAUAUCAAAAUAUUUAUACAUAUAAUAUAAAUAUUAGUUAAUAUAAAAUAUUUAAUAUAAUAUAAACUUAACUACAACCAAAAGUACACUAUCCUACAAGGCUAUAACUCACAAAUCACACUCUAAAUCACUCUCUCACAGUCUUGCUCAUCGUUUCCGAAUUAUUCGCGCAAUAGCAAGCACCCAACUCGUCUUCAUCUCAUCAUAACCUUGUAGCACAUUGCGUUGUCAGUAGCCAAGUAGCCUAGCUCAUAUCAACAUCAACUAGCAGCCACACAUGCGACUUUGUUGCGCCAUAGUCAGUGAUCAACAUGUAUCAUUACUCAUGGACAAUAAUCACGUCAAUAUUAUAUAAAAAUCACAUUAUUUGAAUUUUGUUUUGAAAAUCAUUAUUUCAAUAUUAUAUAUACCAAAAGUUUGAAGGAGUGGAAUGAAAUAAGGCCCAUUGAUGAUUAUUCUCAUUUUAUUUUAUAUAUAUUUUUGGUUAAUAUAAUUAAAUUAAGUUCGAAAACUAAAAAUAUAUCAGUUAUUCGGGGAUCGGGAACCCUCGGGGAUCCCUUGUUAUUAUUCGGGGAGGGGACGUGGAUCCCCUCAAGUAGUUCUAAUGGGGAUAGGGACACAUACAUAACAUCGGGGACGGGUACGAGGCUAUUGGUCCCCUCCCCUCCCCAAUGCCAUCCCCCUCGUCACCUAGGUUCCUACAAAAAUUAUGUUUUGAUUUAACUAUACUUAGUGCAAGUGAUAUAGAGAUAAAAUAUGUUUUGUAAUGGUGUUUAAUUAUUGGCAUGUCAAAUCCAAUGUAUAGACAUUCACAACAGAUAUAUAUAUAUAUAUAUAUAUAUAUAUAUAUAGUUUUAAAAAACUAGUAUAUGUUUUUAUGUAGUGUUUAAAAUAUGUAAAUUUAUCUUAAAAGUCCUUAAUCUUUUGCAUUCUCUUUAAAGUUUCUCUCAUUUAUCAUACUAUACUACGCGAAGGCAAAUUCUUUUAAUGUAACAGAACACAUUUUUUGCAAUAUAUAGAUAAUUAUUAUUAUGUGGAAGCAAGUUUCGUAAGACGGGAACUAGAAAAAUUAUAACUUACUUCAAUAUAGAGUUUAUUUUUAUUUAUAACUAUUGCAAAUUGAGAUUAGAGAUUUUUAUAACUAUAUGGAGACUAUUCUUAUGUAGAGUAUUACUGUAGAGAGGUUUUAUUGUAUAAGAAGGAUUUAAUUGAUUAAUUAUCAAAAUUUUAUAUUGAUUGUAUAUUUUAAAUAGUGUAGACUUACUAUAAUAAUGUUCUGAAAUUUAAGGUAGGUUUAGAAAAUAAUAGGGUGAAAAUAUCUCCAUCCCCUAUGAUUUUGAAAUAUUUCCAAACUUCAAAGGGUUUAUUUCUUUUACUACUCAAUCACCUAAUUCAAACUAGCUUCCUGCCAUGCAACUCACCUGUUUUAAUAAAUAGUUAGUAACUGGAAGAGUGUGUGACAAUCAAAAUUAUGCAUCUAAUGUAUGUGACUAUUGAUGUGCUAGUAAUUUAUAUAUUAUUUAUAUAUUUUUUUAAUUUAAUUUUAUGUUAAAUUAUAUUUUAUUAUAUUAAUUUUAUCUUAAUUUUUAUAUUUUGUUAUUUUAGGUAUAAUCUAAGAUUAAAAAGGAAUUAAAUCAGAACAUUUAAAAAGAAAUUUGUUUGAAGGAAUAAAAAGGAAAAAAAUAAAGAAAUUUAAUGGAAACAAAUCAAAGAAUUAAUCAUCAUGCAUGCAAUCACGUGGAAAGAAUUGGAGAAUUAAUUGACAAGUAAAUAUGGAGAGCAUGUGCACAACUUUUGGAAGAGAAUCUUAAUUAAAUAAUUCAAAUUCCUUAUGAGCUUGGAAUUAAAAAAGCAUUAUAAAAAGGGUACGAGCGAAAGUCGAGGGGGGGGGGGGGGGGCGGGGGGAAAGGAAUUAGAGAAAAGCUAAAGUAGGUCCACAAGAAGAAUCAAGGAGAAGUACACUUUUUUUCUAUUAAUUCUUGAAUCUGUUAAGCCGGAUUAGUAUUUUAUUUUUUAUUAUAUUAUUUGUGUCGACUAACAUAUUUGUUAAUUUAUGCAAUAAAUAUAAAGAAUUUGAAACUCCUUUGACUUAUUAUUUAAGUUAAAGAUAAAAUUUGAAAAUAUCAAAAUGAGGAUUUUACGGUGUUAAUAGCCGAAAGAAAAAUUGAUUUCUUAGUUUAAGAAAUAUAUUACAACAUUUUAUGCCAUAAUGUGGAUCAUUUUUCAAGCAGCUUAAUUUAUAUGAUGAGAAAAUACAAGGGAUUUUGAUACUUUUAUCAUAAAUUUAGAAACCUCACCUUUGUUCACUCCGACAAAUACACGAGAGAGUCAAUAAAUGGCGUAGCGUAAAAGAGGGGUCCAAAAAUAACAAUAUCUUAAAAAUGACGACAUUUCUACCGCAAAAGGAUGAGGACACCUCAACCCUGACAGUGAGAGAAUGUCGUCUAUGUCCCCCAUGCCUAUUGUGGUAAUUGCAUUAUGCGCUCAUCUCAAAUACACGCCAGUUAAUAAAGUCUCCUUUGGUUUGCCUCUCAAACGAAGAAAGCCAAAGCAAAGGCAAACGCGUCACUUGUUUGAACCUCAUUCAUUCUCGCAGUUAUCGUUCUCAAAGUUCUGCGAGCAUGGCCUCACUUUCUGGCAUAGACGAAAGCUUGCAAUAUCCGGUCGCUCGCAGAGACGAGUCCAUUGUUGAUGAUUAUCACGGCGUUAAGAUCGUCGACCCUUAUAGAUGGUAAAUAAAUAUAUUAUUCAAAAUCAGUUUUGACUUUUGACCGAAAUUAAAUUUUUUUUUUUUUUGGUUUUUGGGGCAGGCUUGAGGAUCCAGAUGCAGAAGAGGUCAAAGAUUUUGUGCAAAAGCAAGUGGAAUUAACAGAUUCGGUGCUGAAAAAUUGUGACGUGAGGGACAAGCUUCGCGAGAAGAUAACAAAGCUGUUUGAUAGUCCACGAUACGACGCGCCGUUUAAGCGGGGGAAUAAGUAUUUUUAUUUUCAUAAUACGGGGCUGCAACCACAAAGCGUGCUUUAUGUGCAGGAUAGUUUGGAUGCAAAAGCGAAGGUGUUGCUGGAUCCGAAUACCCUUAGUGACGAUGGAACGGCGGCGUUAAUUAAAGUUUCGGUUAGUGAGGAUGCUAAGUACUUGGCGUACGCACUUAGUUACAGUGGAAGUGAUUGGGCGACUAUCAAAUUAAUGCGCAUUGAGGAUCAAAUUGUUGAAGCUGAUGCUUUGUCUUGGGUCUGUUUCUGUUUCUCCCAUUCCUUUGGUUCUUUUUUUCAUUUGACAAUAUCAUUGCUGAAUGUACCUACGUACAAGCUUUUCUUAUAAUUGCACGGCAUAUUCUUUUUCUUUUAUUUAUUUUCACUUGUCAAAUCAACUAUUUAUGCCUUUUGGAGUGUUGUAUCACAGUUUAAAUUUUCAAGUAUUGCUUGGACCCAUGAUAGCAAAGGAUUUUUCUACAGCCGUUACCCAGCUCCCAAGUAAGUGAUCUUCACCAUUUGGGUUGGCUCAGUCGAAUUUGAAUUCUUGAAUCUAUAUUUUAGCUGUAAAUUCAACAAACGUUAUGGAUAAUUUAUGAAUUUUAAACUUUUUUGGUUGUGAAAUUAAAUAAAUAGAUAAAAUAUACUUCGCCUGGGUUAUUGUAUUUGUUUUAUGCGUUUAUUAAUUUUUUUUUUUAAUCCUUAAGUAUGAAAAUUGUUUUAAUUCUCUUGUAUUAUUCUUUAGAGAGGGCAAAGAUAUGGAUGCUGGAACAGAGACUGACUCGAACCUAUAUCACGAAUUUUACUAUCAUUUUCUGGGCACCAAACAAUCAGAAGAUAUUUUAUGCUGGAAAGACCCCGAACAUCCCAAGUAUACUUUUUCUGGCCAUGUUACAGAAGACGGGCAGGUGAUUAGCUCUUCAUAGGUUUAAUCUCUUUGCCUAUUUUGGAUCAAAAUUUUGUGUUUGAGUGGUGCCCGUGUUCUUUAUUUCUUUUUCUUUUCAUUUAUUUUUUUCAUGGUAUGAUUGUGCCCUUGUCUGUUCACCUGAAAUAGUUAACGCAAAGCUUCAUCAAUGAAAUACCCAAAUUUUGGCAAACUAGAUAUUAAAGGGCACUAAAUGGGAUAUAAUGAAGAAUAAUAUAACCUCUCUUCUAUAACAUUUUUAAAAGUUAAUACUCUUUAAAACGAGGUUCAUUUGUAAUUACUACAGGUCUGGUGGCAAUUUAAAUUUUAAAUACCCAUGUUAUUUUGUUAAAUAAAUUAUUUACUAAGGAUGGUAAUUAGUUGGGUUAGAUUCGGGUUUGAUCGAUCAUAAAAAUUAAAAGUCCUACUCCAAAAAUCUCCGAUCAUUUGAAUUAGGCCCAACCAAUUAGGGUUAGGGUCGGGCUUUUGUCCAAGCCCAAACUUCAUAAUUUUUUAAGAUUUUUUAUAUUUAAGUAAUUUAAUAUUUUAAAAAAUAGACAAAACCUCCCUCUAUAUAUAUAUAUAUAUAUAUAUAUAUAUAUAUAUAUAUAUAUAAAUUUAAUAUAAAUAUAAAAAUUACUCAAGGCCUCAACCAUAUAAUUAUAUAAAUAAUAAAAUACAUAUAAAAUUUAAAAUUAUGUUUUAUAAAAUUAUACAAAUAUAUUUUUUUUAAAUUUAAAAUUUCAAUUAGGUAAAGUCAAGUCAGGUAGAGCCCGAACCCUAACCCGAAUUUAAUUGGACCUUAAUUUUUAGACAUGAACUCGACCCAAAACCCUUAAAGUCGGAUCAAAGCCUGCAAAGUUUCAGGCCGUCAAUUGAGCCAAAAUUUAGGCCAGGUAUUUUUGUCAUUCCUAAAAGCAACUAAUACUAAAGUUAAUUAUAUGGGGAAUUUAUGGAUUUUCAUUGCAUAAAUGUCUAAUUGAUUCUGAUUAGUAUUGUUUAUUAGAAAAAAAUUACAAAUUUUUGUGGAACUCUUGUAAUUUAACUUCACAUUUUAUUCUGUUCUGCAGUAUCUUGUCAUGUAUAUAGGAGAGAACUGUGAUCCAGUCAAUAAAUUAUACUACUGUGACCUGUCUGCACUGCCAGAAGGUUUGGAAGGUUUUAAGAAAAGAGAAGGCUUGCUCCCAUUUGUUAAGCUAAUUGAUGGAUUCGAUGCACAAUAUGAAGUCAUUGCAAAUGACGACACCGUAUUUACCUUCCUCACUAAUAAGGAUGCCCCAAAGUAUAAAAUAAUCCGCGUAGAUCUCAAGGAGCCAAAUGAUUGGUUUGAAGUUAUCCCAGAGGCUGAAAGAGAUGUGCUUGAGUCAGCAACUGCUGUUAAUCUUAAUCAAAUGAUUGUGAGUUACUUGAGUGACGUGAAGUAUGUUCUUCAGAUAAGGGAUUUGAAAAAUGGUUCCCUGUUGCAUCAAUUACCAAUUGAGAUCGGCUCAGUUAAUGCGAUAUCUGCACGUCGUGAAGACAGUGUGGUUUUUAUUAGUUUUACUAGUUUCCUUACUCCUGGCAUCGUAUAUCAAUGCAAUUUAAAAACUGAGACUCCGGAAAUGAAGAUAUUCCGGGAGACUAUUAUACCUGGAUUUGAUCGCUCCGAGUUCCAUGUUCAUCAGGUAGGUGAUUGUCGUUUAUUUGUUAACACUCGAUGAUGCUAGCUUUCUGAUUUUAUUGUUCAAUCUGUCUCAAGUUGUCUUGUUAUUUGCUUUAUUUUCGUGGGCUUCAUUCUUUUUUUUUGCCAAACUGCAUUUUGUUCGGUGUUUGAUUUGGGUUUCUCAUUUCUAGGUUUUUGUGCCUAGCAAGGACGGUAGUACUAAGAUACCAAUGUUCAUUGUAUCCAAAAAGAAUAUUAAAUUGGAUGGAUCGCACCCAUGUUUAUUGUAUGGAUAUGGUGGAUUUAACAUCAGUGUGACACCUUCAUUCAGUGUCAGUCGUACUAUUCUCAUGAGGCAUCUUGGUGCGGUCUUCUGCAUUGCCAACAUCCGAGGUGGUGGAGAGUAUGGAGAGGAGUGGCAUAAAGGAGGUGCACUUGCAAAAAAGCAGAAUUGCUUUGACGACUUUAUUUCUGCUUCCGAGUAUCUAAUAUCUGCUGGUUAUACCCAGUCCAGAAAGUUAUGUAUUGAAGGGGGGAGCAAUGGCGGGCUUCUUGUUGGGGCUUGCAUAAAUCAGGUGGACUAUUUAAGUGGUUUUGUAAUUUUCAGUUUUCUCUGAUUAUUAUCGUAUUGAAUUCAUAAAAUAGCAUUGGUAAUUUUUGUUUCCCUUCUGUUGCAGAGACCUGAUCUUUUUGGUUGUGCUCUGGCUCAUGUUGGUGUAAUGGACAUGCUUCGGUACCACAAGUUUACCAUAGGUUAGUUUAAAUCUUUUUAGCUUAGCAAUAGACAAGUUUAACUAUUUUAACCAUAUGUACUCAUGAAGGUUUUUCUUUGUAGGUCAUGCAUGGGUUUCCGAUUUUGGUUGUUCAGAGGAAGAGGAAGAGUUCUAUUGGCUAAUCAAGUGAGUAAAACCUUGUUCUCUGUCUAAAAAUGUUGUGUAUUCGUGAUAGGCUUUUAUGUACUUCAGUCCAAAGUUAUAAAUCUAUGACAUGUUAGACAUUUUACACACGCGAUCUAGCAAUUGAAAAACCUUUUUCCCUUGGAAAACUUAAAACUGUGUAGAAAUGGUUAACUUUGGUCAUUUCUCAGAAUGUUCAGCCAUUUCCUCUUCUUCGUCUCUUAUGGGGUCAAGAACUUUUGCUGCUUUGAUUUUAGAAUAUUAUUUUUGUCAGCCUUACAUAACACCUUAUGUCGUUUGAUCACUUAUCAACGACAACAUAAAAUGUGCUCUCUUGUUUCUUGAAAACUGAUUAGUGUCUGACUUACUUUCCGCUUCUCCUUUUUUGUAAGUUAUUAGUUUUUUUUUUAUUUUUUGGUUUAAACCUCCCGAUUUCCGGCGACCACAUUGGGCCCCGACUAAUUCGGAUUCGGGGUGUAGUCACAGUUAAGGCUCUUUACCCCUCCCAAAUGAUGUGUUUAGUGGGGAUCGAACCCGAGAGCUCUUCCCACUUACCCAGCCUACGUCGCCAACUGAGCCACAACCGUUUGGUAAUAAGUUAUUAAUUUAUAUGCUCAUUUUAUCUCAUUUUAUUUUCUGUAGGUACUCCCCACUACAUAAUGUGAGAAGACCAUGGGAACAGAACCCUGAUAAACCUUCUCAGUACCCAUCUACCCUACUGUUGACAGCCGAUCAUGAUGAUCGUGUUGUGCCUUUGCACUCGUUGAAGUUAUUGGCGGUGAGUCCUUACAUAUUGUUUUGUUGUCUUAUAUUUUUUGCAUUUAUUUCUUCCUCUGCAAAGCCUAUGCCUACGCAUGGUUAGCUUGUGAUGAUCAUGUGAGACUAUUUUAUGUUUCAUGCGUUCUAUUUAUUCUCAGACUAUGCAAUAUGUUUUAUGCACGAGCUUGGAGAAUAGCCCUCAGACCAAUCCAAUAAUUGGUCGCAUCGAGCGCAAGGCUGGACAUGGAGCUGGACUUCCAACACAGAAAAUGGUAAAUUUAAUCUUAUUUUACUCAGUUUUUGUGUAAUUGAUUCCUUAUUAACUAUUUGCCUUGGCCUUCCAUAUAUUACUGCAGAUUGAUGAAGCUGCUGAUCGCUAUGGCUUCAUGGCAAAAAUGUUAGGAGCUUCUUGGAUUGAGUAACUGACGUAGAUCUCACAGAAUGAAAAUGUUGGUGGUAGGAAAAGUUUUGGAACCAGAGUUAGUACUCUCGUUUCUUUUCUUUUCUUUUUUUUUUAACGAAUAUGAUGGAACUUUUUUUAUUUAAACAGGAGAUAAAUUGUAUUUCUAACUUUUACUAAAAUUAAAUGAGUAAUGGUAGACAUAUUUGAUUUUGUUUUAAAUUUUAUCUUGAACGACGUAGCAUGUAAUUUGUUUGUCAUCCAUUAAGUUGUUGAUAAAUAAAUUAAUUGCAUUAUCUUACUAAUCGAUUAACAAAUGCCAUAUCAUUUGAAAUAGAUUUUUAGGACAAAAGUUUGGGAUAUAUAACAUUACUUAUAAAUAAAAAGCCCUAAAUCCAAUAUUUAGGACAACACUUAAGAUUGAACCAAUUAAAAAAAAAUUACUGAUGCCUCUACAGGUAUAAUAAAAAAUAAAUAAAAGAUAGAAGCAUAACAUUAUUGGUAAUGUGAACUCAAAUGAUUACCAAAUGAAAACACGAAACAUAAACUAAUUUUUGAGUGGCAAAGAGAGUAGUAGUAUCAAUAUUAUCCAAUCAUUUGCUUAUUUCGGCAAAAUAUCUCAGAAACAUUAGCACAAACUCUUCUGAAAUCAAUUAACAAAAAUUAACAUGCAUUCAGAUAUUCCACCGAGCUCAGAUAAAAGACACCCCAGCCAGGCGGCCAGUGAUAAAAUCAAUGUACCGUCACAGGUAAUGAACCAACUGCAUGCAGUGAUUUAUCUAACAAAUACAACAAUCCAUCGAUGACACAAGAGGAUCAAUAAAUUGAGUGUGCUGUCACGUGCAAAGAUUAAGGAGAAAAGUUUACCACAGGUUAGUCCAGGAGGAUAUAAUUAAGAAUUUUGUUCAGUUAGUACACGUUUAAAAUAUAUUAUAAUUUUAAACAUUCACAUAACAAUAAAUAGCAUCCCAACUAUAAUAUUUAUUGACGAUAUUUAUAUUCUUCAACGAGUUUUCAAGUUUUUAAAAUGAUAUAUGAUAGUUUUAUCAUCAAUGCAUGCUUUAGAUAGCAUACACUUAGGUGGCGUUUGUUUUUUUGUCUGAAAUCUGAAUAAACUUGAAUUAGUCUGAAUUCUGAAUAGGUCUGAAUGUCUGAAUCUGAAUAAUAUGUUUAUUUUUUCGUCUGAAUCUCGAAAAAUAAGUAUUAAGUUGUUUGUUUUUUUCAACUUAAAAAGUUAAAAAUAUGUACUUUUACAUUUGUAUCCUUAUUAAAUUUGAAUGUCAAAUAAAUAAUAUAUUAAAUACCACAAUAUUUUAACAUUUAUAAGUAAAACUAUAUUCAAGGGAAUACAUAAUUAUUUUAGAAUUUUAAUAUAUAAAAUACCAUAAAUUUCAAAUUUUAUCAUAUAUAAUAUAAGAAAGAAAAAACAUGGAUAUUUUUAUGUGGGGUAAAUAUCUAUAGGUGAGUUUUGGGAUAGACAUGAAAAAUAAAUUAUAAAACAUGGAUAUUUUUUACAUUAGCAAGUAAUUGACUUAAUUCAGAUUUCUCCAUUAAGUAAAAAACCAAAAAAAUUAACUCAUUUUAUUAAGUCAAAAUUAUCUAAAAAGUUUCAUUAAGUUAUAAAAACAAACACCUCUAAUUAACUUAAUUAAUUAAGUUAAGUCACUUUAAGUCAUUAAGUUAAAAAACAAACGCCACCUUAGUGUUGGCAAUAUAGCAACAAAAGUAAUGGAUGGGUGAGAUUUGGUGACAUAUCUAUAGUUCGCUUUUGUUACUUGUUGGUUUUUCUGUGAUGAUGAAAUUAUAAUAUCUAAGUUUAGGGUAUGAAAUUAAAUAAUAUAUUAAAUACCACAAUAUUUUAACAUUUAUAAGUAAAACUAUAUUCAAGGGAAUACAUAAUUAUUUUAGAAUUUUAAUAUAUAAAAUACCAUAAAUUUCAAAUUUUAUCAUAUAUAAUAUAAGAAAGAAAAAACAUGGAUAUUUUUAUGUGGGGUAAAUAUCUAUAGGUGAGUUUUGGGAUAGACAUGAAAAAUAAAUUAUAAAACAUGGAUAUUUUUUACAUUAGCAAGUAAUUGACUUAAUUCAGAUUUCUCCAUUAAGUAAAAAACCAAAAAAAUUAACUCAUUUUAUUAAGUCAAAAUUAUCUAAAAAGUUUCAUUAAGUUAUAAAAACAAACACCUCUAAUUAACUUAAUUAAUUAAGUUAAGUCACUUUAAGUCAUUAAGUUAAAAAACAAACGCCACCUUAGUGUUGGCAAUAUAGCAACAAAAGUAAUGGAUGGGUGAGAUUUGGUGACAUAUCUAUAGUUCGCUUUUGUUACUUGUUGGUUUUUCUGUGAUGAUGAAAUUAUAAUAUCUAAGUUUAGGGUAUGUUUAUGUUAGUUGUUUAUUUUAAUCUCUAUCAAUAAAAUUGAAAAGAAAAAUGUUAUUUCUAAUUUUUUUUUUUUUUUUUUGUGAAUUAGUACUUAUUAGGGUGGGUAAUACAUUUUGUAAAAUUAAAAUAAGUAAUCAAAUUCUAAAGAAUUGGGCUUUUAGAUAUGGGGCAAGGUGAAACUUUUCAGAAUCAGCUAGGAAAUUUUCGUAGUUUCAAUACCUAGAAAGAGCACUUUUCCAAUGCCCUACCCCAGUCCUGUACUGAAAAAUCUGGAAUUAUAACUAUAUAUAUAUUUAUGCAUUUAUUAGUGAGAUUUGCUUUGUAGGUCAUAACUCAUACGUGGGUUUUUUAUUUUUGUUGUUCCAUUUUCAUCUGGAAUGAUUCUUCUCUUUUGUUCGAUUUCAUCAGGGGUCGACGAAGUUGAGAUUGAGGAAGAAUACCAGCUUUAACUUAUGUUAUGUUUACCCAGGACGGUGCGGCAGGCAGACAAGGGAUGGUGUCCAUGAUAAUUGCGGACCCAGUGGCAAAAGACAGAGGUGUAGGAAGAGUUUCCAUUGGCCAAUCAAGUAAGUAAACCUUGUUCUAUGUCUAAAAGUGAAACAGGAAGCCAAGCUCAGUAUUUGUAUGGUGGAGCUGGGUUAUUGGCCUACUUGCUUUAGCAUCAACUCUCCCUCUCACUCUGUCAAGCAGAAAACGUUCUGCUUCUCCGUUGGUAUUAUAUUCUAAGCAUAGAUGCUUAUACCUCACAGUUGAUGAUUAUAUGGUAUUGGGUUAUUAUGCUCGUUUUACCACAUUUAUUUCCCUAGAUACUCACCAUUGCAUAUUUUGAAAGUCGGAAACAGCACCCUAAUAAGCCUUGCCGUCAACCAUCCACCAUGCUGUCAACGGCUGAUCCGACAUGACCGAUGUGUGCCUUUGUACUUGUUGAAGUUAUUGUCGGCGAGUCGUUAAUAUGAAUUAUAGUUUCAAUGACAUUUCUUGUUUUCUUUAAUUAAUUUCAGAGCAAAGCAUAUGCCUAUGUGUGGUUAGCUUACUGUGAAUCAAUGAAUGACUAUUUUGUGCUCUUCACGAUUUAUUCUGAUUCCUUUGCAGUGAUUUUUGUUAACUUUUGUUGCAUGUCAGUGAAAUUGACCGCCGAUCGCUCGCGGGUUCCAUUUAUUCUCAGACUAUGCAAUAUGUUUCGUGGAGAAUAGCCAGACCAACACAAUAAUUGGUCGCAUCGAUUGUAAGUCUGUACAUGGAUCAGGAAGCUCAACAAAGAAACUAGUAAUGCUUAAUUUUAUCGUCACUCAGUUUUUUGUGUCGACUGUAGUAGAUGCCUUACCGUCGACUGCAGAUAGAUGAAUGGGCUGAUCGCUAUUGCUCAUGGCAAAGAUGUUGGGUGCUUCCUGGAUUGAGUAGAUGAUUUACAACUCAAUAUACAAAUAAACAAAUCACCAAAUGUGAUGGAUUGUCUUUCAACUCAAUAUGCCCUACAUACCCCUUUGCCGGCUGCCAAUUACCAACGACCCACUUUACCAAGACGUUGAGUGAGUAUCGCUGUCUACAUCAUUCUUAUCAACUACUACACCUAACCAUGCAUCAGCCAUAAAACAUGUAUUCUAAGAUCAAAAGCCAUGAUUCCACCAAUCUAUACUUGGAACUUGGAAGUCAUGAGGUUCAAGUGAAACACAUAAGAAAUUACCUUGUUUCAGAUUGCCUUGUUCAAGUGAAACACAUAAGAAAUUACCUUAGUUCAGAUACCAAGGCAAUCUGAAACUGAUUCUGAAGAACUGCACACAACCUCAUUCAGUUAGGAAACAGUUCAUUUUUACAUCUGUAACAUCAAGUUGCAGGAUCUCUGCUCUGCAUCCUAGAAUUGAUCCAAUGCUGCAGAACAGAAAAAAAAAAUUCAAAAUAAAUUAAAGAAAAAUGAUACUCGGCCAUGAUAGAAACGAUGGCACUGUAGUAUGAAAAAUGCCGUCAGUUUCUGUGUACUGGUGCUGUAACAUGAACAGUAUCCUAUUUUCUAUCUUGGUGGUCUUGAUUGUGUCCAAAUAUCAGUACUCUAAACAAAAUGCCAGUGCAUGAUAACAAAAAUGAACCGGAACAAGGAAUUUUGUCAUAACACUAUUUAAUCAUGUUUUGUACCUUGGAUUGGUGCGCCCAAGAUCCCCAUGAACAAAUUCCUUGAUAUAUGUUCCAGCCUGCAAUUUCCAUCCCAUCAUUACUAUUUCGUGGUAAAAUGUAGGCCAAGGGCUCAGAGGUAGAAAAUUUCACUCAGGUAAUCAAAGUAAGAAAAUAACUUUUAUUUUCCCCUUUUUCCCCCUGGGCGCUAGGGAGGCAAGCAAAUUGGUAAAAAUAAUAUCUGAAGAGUGUAAACCCUCAUUUCCUUUUGAUAAGAUUCUAAAGGCCAAAUGUGGCUCUGCUGCUACUCAUUACUCACACCAACCAUACAGCAGAAUGCAUAUAGUCAAAAGGCUUUCUGGUCUACACUUCUACUCAAGCUCCAUAGGAUUGCACUGCAAAUAACAAUUUCAUGUGUGAUAAACAGUUCAGAGAUGAAAAUAUUACCUGGGUACACAUGUGCAAAAGGAAAUACUGGGAGCUUCCAGCAAUCUUUUCAAUUUUCAUCCUAAAGUUAGAAGAAAGAAAUUGGAAAUAAGCAGAGAUAGGCUAUGAAACAUGUUAAAUGAUUGUGGAACUAUACAAAGACUAUGCUACAUAAUAGGUAAUUGGAGAGACUCAAACCAAUUUAUAAUCUUUUCACGUUCUAAUGGACUUCGACGGUGAAGCACCCUGAUUGGAGUUUUCUGUAAAAUUUGCUGCAUGAGACAAAGAACAAGAAAAUGAUUGAGAACUUUGUAUCAAUGGAAUGAUAUGCUACUGGUUCAAUUUCAUUUACGCUUUGAAAAGUAAAAUAAAAUGGGAAAUUCAAGGGUAUUUCAAUAAAUUGCAAACUUCUUUGGGCUCUGGUCAUGGCAGUAAUCAUGUUCUUUCUUGUUCAUCCAAAAUCUUGGUGUGGAACCUAACACAAUGCACACAUGAGGGACAGAAACAUGUUUUGUGCUAACUUUCAGCAAAAUCAGAGCAAGCAGUACAUCAACUGGAAUGUGAAAUAUCAGCAAAUUUACAGUAUGGACAAUCGGCGUUACUUUGUAGUUUCGACCUGUGUGAACCUAACUGGACCAACCACAUAGAUAAACUGGUGUAACUUGGAUUCUACUUCAUUGCAGAAGAAGAGCAAGACGAGAACAGGAAUUGCAUAGCCAAAAAGACAUAAUGUAGAAUAUAUUAGCAUACGAUUAGAAGAUAUCAUGUUGCACUCCCUGCCCACUGUUUAGAUAGCAAAUGAAAGUAACAAAUGAAACUGCAUAACAUCUCACUGUUUCCUUGAGAGAAGAUAUGGUCUGAAAGUCUUCAUCCUGAAGCGGGCGAGAGAUCCACACUAAUGCAGCAUAUUGCUUCUGCAUAACAAUAGGCCUAAUCCAGGUCAUCACUUCCAAAUAAAUUCACACUCCCAAGCAACAAUAGCAGGAUGAACUACUAUGUUCGAUUAAUUAGCAAAAGUAACCUGCUUCUCCGCUUCUCCUUCACGCAUCAAGGUCCAACCCUGACUGCCUACUAUUUUAAUAUUCUUUACUCUAACCUGCAGUGUUGAAUGAAGUUAACCAUAAUCAUCUACAAAUCAGGAGAGAAAAAUACACCACAUUAAAUUUUACAUCUGACUUACUAAUUUAUUUUCCAAGCUAUUUAUCUUAGAUUCUAUUUCUUUCACAAGCAACUCAGAUGGUACUUCACGUGCAUUUUGUAUCUCAAACAGAAAAGGCCUACCUGAGCCUAACAUCCGAACCUGGAAAAAGAAAUUAAUUUUUAUGAGGAAAUUAUUUGCUGAUCUCAAACAAAUAUUGAACAUAAAGCAUAUCUUCAUUACAUCUAUAUCUUCUCUACCAGCAGCAUGAAACUUGUAACUGUCACCCCGACACAUAGGAAGAAUGUUACCACCUAUAAUCUCCUGAGGAGUAAGCAUAUGAAAGUUAGUUCAUGAACCUCAUUUGCGAUGUUAAUGCCAUCAGCAGAGGAAAUACCUCAAUAGAUGCUUCUCCCAUUCUUUCCUCAUCAAUAAUCCAGCGUGUUUGACUCACAUUUCUCGAGUACUGCAAUAUACAUGAAAAAAGAAAGAAAAACAUUAAGAUCAAAGAAAAGGUUAAAUUGCAAAGUGCAAAGUUACGUGUUAGAAUCCUCUCCGAUUUAAACUUGAUCUAGAAACGUUCCUUUGCCAGGUUAAUAUAGCUUCAACGUAUUCUUAGUGUUGUAAACAAAGCAAUUUCAUGAAGAAUAUCCUUUAUCCCCAUAUUCAUGAACUACAUACAAGCCCCUCCAAACUUGAGAAGAUCUGGUUCCUCCAAACUUGACAUACCUUCAGAUAUCUUCCACCGAAGUAGAUAGGAGUCCGGAAGCAAAGACACUCCAAGCGGCAAGGUUCAUUGACCUACGAAGAAAUCCAAACCAGAUAAAAUGCACUACCACGUCAAAGAUAAUGAACAACGAAAUGUCUGUUACAACAAACAAAAGCAAUAAUCAAUCAAAAACAUAAAACCAAUCCACUUUUUCGAAUUGUAAAGAAAGUCCUAGAAAAUGUAAGUCAUUUAUCUAUUAAUUACAAAGUAGUUGCUGCCACAUAAGUCAAUCGAACUUUCUUUCCAAGUCAGCUGGAAAGAGCAACAUUUUCCAAUUUUCUCUUUAAUCCAGUAGAACUAAUUAUGAGUUCACAACUGCAAAUUCUAAAAUGAUUCAAAACAUAGCAAACAGACCAAACAUUUUCCAAGCAAAAACUAUUGGUUGAAACAAAGUAAAAACCUUUUUUAAGGGGAAUUCAUGGGUCUCAGAAGGUUCAUUAUCUUGCAAACCAUUAGAGGAUUUUUCAUCAACUGGAAUCACUUCUAUUGUAGAAACAACAGAAUUUUCAACACCUGUAAUCGCUGACUUAUCUUUGACAGUGUCCAAGCAGUUCUUAGCAUCUGUAUCAAUCAAUGAAGAUUUACAAAUUUAGUGCCAUAUAAAAUUUCAUUUUUUUCUAAUAAAAUGUAAAUGUAAAAUGUUUAUUUCCAAUAUCAAUGUCAUUAGUCUCUGCAUAAAUAAAUAUGACUUGCCUACUUUCCUUCUUUUGCAGCCCUCAAUUUUCUCUACAAAGUUCUGGAUUUUUAUUGAUGCCUCAACAUGACUGUAUGUCAAACGAAUGUGGAAAGUGCUUAUACCACAUUUAACAUCCUGCAAAACUUUCAUACAAUGAAGGAUUAACAGGAAACAAGUAUUUUAAAUGUCUGCACUGUUCUAAACAACAGAAAACUCCAGUCUAUGGCAAAAGAAAUUCCUUGUUCCUUAGGAAUACCAUAGAAGAACUCAUUACUUAUUGAAAAUAGAUGUAAGGAUUUUCACAGGUGAUAUUACCUAAUGCAGAACCAAUUGAAAGAAAACAUAUUUAAUUACCAGCAAUGUCUCAAGAGGAUUUGUUAAAGCAAAUUUUAAAGCAUCCUUUGUAGAACUGCAUUCAGAAAUUGAUCUUUCUUUGAACCACCCUUCAGAUCUAUACUUUCUUUUCACAUACAAACUAAGCUUAUUUUCAUUCUCGAGGAUUAUUGGCGGCAUAGAAACUUCAACAGAAAAGCUAUCAAUCUGAUGUCCUUCUUUCUUUACUAGUUCGGCAAUUGCAAUCGCAAAAUCACAAGCACUCUCAUUUUCCAUCACCCUCUCUUUAUCAUCACGGUAAGUAAAUUGUAAGAUACCUAAGCAACUUCUGCAAAUGUUUGGCUCAACACUGCUAAUAUUUUGGUGUAAGUCCGCUUGUUCUCCAAGAACAUGACAUAAUAGUGAUUUGACCGAGAGUGAGGAACAAAUAGGAACUUGCAUUCCAAAUAGGCGAAAAAUGCAUCUCAGGCACACCUGCAAUACAGAAAACUCCAUAAAUCCUUAAAAAAAAAAUGAAUCAGUUUUUGAGGUUAAUCAUAAAGAAACUAAACCCUAAGCAACUAAUUUUCAAUUUCUAAUCAAACUAUUAAUAGUGCUGUGAAAUGACUGACUAACAAAACUAAUUUGACAGGUUUAUAAAAAAAAAUUUUAACAAUUUAAAGAUGAUAAAGACGAAGAUAAGCGCUAACCUCUUUGGACAAUAAGUCCUUUACGGCGUCAGUAGGCAAGAACUGAACGGCGUCGUUCAGAAGCUUCUCGUUUUUGUCUUCGUCGGUAGGGAUACGCUCCACGUCGGCGGAGGUAGCAUGCGACUCCGAGGCGUUGUUAGUGGGCGCGUCUUCGGUUUCGUUCGCCAUUUGAAACUGUUCCUCGAUUAAAAAUGGCGGCAGUCUCAGUUAACUCCGUAGUUUAGUUCAGUGAGUUGCAGCCUUUAGUAAAAAGGCGAGGCAAUUGCGUUGGAUAUACUCCGUUUCCCUUAUAAUACCCAAAAUAUACCUCAAUCUAUUAAAAUUUAUAAUUUUACACAUAUAUAUUUAAAAAAAUUAAAAAAAGUAUAAAAAUAACCUCAAUAAAAUGUCAACAAAAAAUUAAUACUCGACUCAUUCAAUAUACUUACUCGACUUCUUCAAUUGCCUUCACUUUUUACUCAACUGAAUACUCAACUUAUCAGACUUCAUACCCGACUUCAUACUCAACUGAAUACUCAACUUACCAGACUUCAUACCCGACUUCGUACUCAACUAGAUACUCUACUUAUUCAAUUGCCUUCACUUCUUACUCAACUGAAUGCUCAACUUACCAGACCUCAUACCCGACUUCGUACUCGACUUAUUCAAUUGUCUUCACUUCUUACUCGACUGAAUGCUCAACUUAACAGACUUCAUACUCGACUAGAUACUCGACUUAUUCAAUUGCCUUCACUUCUUACUCGACUGAAUGCUCAACUUACCAGACUUCACUUCUUUAAAAAUAUUAAUACUCGACUCAAUGUAUUUAUCCGACUUAAUACUCGACCUCUUUAAAAAUUACAUAAAUUUUACUUGACUUGUUCAAAAAAUUUACUUGACUUUUACUUAAUACUCAACCACUUAAUACUCGACUCAUAUAAUAUACUUACUCGACUUCCUACUAGAACAUAUACUCAACUUAUUUAUCUCUAAUUCUUACUCGACUAAAUUCUCGACUUACCCGACUUCGUACUAGACUUCUUCCUGCAUUGAGAGGAAGAAAGGUGUGGAUUAUUGAUUUUUUUUAAAGGUUAUUUUUUACUUUUACUAUCUUCGUGAGGUAUAUGUAUGUAAUAGGGUAUAAAUUUAAUAUUUAAGGGUAAAUUAGGGAUAUUUAAAUAAAAAAAUCCAGUAAAAAGGCAGUCUCCACCGUAGCCGGACCCAACUAAAAUAAUAGGAAACAAUUAAAGAAUACAACCACGACAAAACCAUGGUUUUUUUAAAAAAAAAGAUUAUUUUAAGAGAAAUCACAGAUUUAACAUACAUAUUAUGUAGUAUCCGUCUAAUAAAAAUCUAAAGGUUGUAAAAAUAACAUAAUUUUACUAUUUUAUAUUUUCACAACCAUUAAAUUUUCAUCAAACGACUACCAUAUAAUAUGUUACGUGAUUAUAUAACGUAACAAUCUCUUUAACUUAAAUAAUUUUAUUUUUCUCAUAAAAAAAUUCUCAAAUUUUACUAAAAGAAUUAAAAAUUUUAUCAUGAUUUUGUUUCAUUUGUCCUAGACCAGUAACUGUAAGUUGCGGAUAAUAUCUGUUAAGUUCUCCGUUAAAAUCAAAAAUAUUUUUGAAAUUUAACUUUGCUGCGAAGCUUAUGACAUAAGCCUAAUGAUAAGAAAUUUAAAGAAUAUAUACUUUUUCCGGGCAAAAUUAUGGUGCAACUGUACAUCCAACCGUUAGAUCUAGCUACAGUUGUCACCAUAAGCUGGAUUUAAUAGCUGAAAGCAACUGUGGUAUGGUAUCACAGUUGCACCAUAGCCAAACCUUACUUUUUCUUUAAAAUAAUUUUUAUUUGAAUAUAAUUAUCUCGGAAAUGAAUUUUCCUUAAAACAAUUUUGGAAAUACACUAAGAUAACAGCCGUCUUAGUUAACUUAAUUUUAAUACAUUAAUAUCUUGUUGAAUUGUUAACGCUAUUUUUUUUUUUUUUUAAAUUAAGUUUUCUUCAUGACAAAAUAAUCUCAAUUUGAAAACAAUUGGCUUGGAGUUGGAACCGCACUCACAUGUCUAAGGAGGAGAUUGAUUGAUUACCAUCAAGCUAAAUGGAAAAAGAAGAAAAAUCCUGUGUACUAGUAAUAUCUAAAAAUUAAGGUAUUUCCAUUAAUUUAUUCAUGUAAAAUGCGACAGCUUUAAAUGCCUUAACCAAUAUACUGUUCUCUUCCAACAAUAACUAGCAUCAAUUAUUUAGACCAUAUGAAAAGAGAGAGUAAAAACAUGUAAUACAACAACAAAUGAAAUUACAGCGAUGAAGCUAAACGAUGAACAUCUACAAAGCCAGAGAGCACACUUCGAUUUCGUUCUUUUACCUUUACCUGAUAAAUGACCCUGCAGGUUAAAACAAAAAAGCUCAGAACUGUACUCAGCACACACAUAAAAAGUUAAAUGUAAAGUUACUGCCCUUGUUAAUCCAAAGAGAAAAGGAAAUACACCUCAAGCCUUGAAGCCACAUUUCGGUGACCAAAGUUUCACCAGGGUACACAUGUAAAAGGAAUCGGCUGAAUAUAUUCUUGACCAUGUUUGGAUCCCCUCUACAAAUAAAUUUGAUGAUUGCCCUAACUGCAAACCCCAUUGUACACAGCCCAUGCAAUAUUGGCCGAGAGAAACUUCAACACAGAAUGUAACACCAUCAGAAAUGCCAAGUCUAAUAGUGAAAGUGGUAAUUAACUAAUUCAGUUUUGCAAUUAUGAUUGAGUACUGACCCAGCAGCUUUUGCAACCAUAGGAUCUGAAUGAAGAGGAUUAUAAUCACCAGAUAGCCUAUACACCAAUGCCUGCAGAUGGUAUAGCAAAGCUUCAACCAGAGAAUCUCAUAUGGAAAGUUCAUUAGUUUACUCAUGCACCACCCAAGAGAAAGUUCUUAUAACACGUGUAUUAAGAAUAGAUUAUACAUACUCUCAUCAAUUCAAGCACAAGAGUUCAAAUAUAAAAAACUUUGAAUUCCAGCAAUAAUGAAAUUUGAUGCUACAUGCCUGAGAUGGUUGGGUAUAAUCCUCAAAUACUGCAAAAGGUUGACUUUUAGGGAUUUUCACAGCUGAAACCGGGAUAGUUUGAUAUUUUGAGUAGGAAAAUGGUUGAGAUGAAUUUGAAAAGCCGCCAGCGCCCCGCAAAAAGGCAGUCAUCCUAUAGAAUAUUAUCCUUCCCGAGUCAAUAGAAUGGCAGGACCUUUUUCUUCAAUCUUUCAAUAAAAAGCAUAUGACAUGACAACAUUAGAAUGGGAUGUUUCAGGAAGGACUCACCUAUUCAUGCAUAACAGUUCACCAGAUUCUGCAUUGUAACUUUUGGUUUCAAUCUCAAGGAUAGCAGCUUUACCUGUAAAUAAAUCAACACAGGAAAUAGAGAAACAUCAAAAUAAUUGCACAAAAUAUAUCACAACCAUUCUCCCUCAUCCAGCAGGAUAAAAGAUGAUAGCCCCAAAAAAUCAGUCAUUUUUAAGCUUUACGCAUACGUACAUUUCACAAGAAGAUAAAAAACAUUUCAGAUCAAAUCCAUAUAGAAGAUUUGAGAUUUUGGGUUGCAAUGAAUUUUUCUUCAAAAGAAAAGAGCAGUACAACCAACUCAUCAGUACUGAUUGUACAUGUAGAUGGACUCAAAGACUACUAAAACAUUUACCAUACGGUAACUGGGGCACCCCUAAUUUAAGCUCCCUUUAUUUAAGUAAAAAACUCUGUUAACACAAGUUGUUUUACCCUUAUCGUGCAAUCCGGCAAUACAUGCUUCAUUUCGUAUCUGCAUCAAUAAAUAUCAUAAAUUAGCUCAUUUAGUGUACCUCAACACAACAAAACAGAGAAGUAUGAGAAUGGAAACAAUUAAAAAGUGCUCCUGAUGAGAGGGCAUACAGAAGCGCUAGAAGGAAAUGGCUUAUACAGUUCCAUGUACUGUUGUCCAUGCAGCAAAAGUUGUGGAUCAUAUCUGUUAUGUUGCAACAACAUAAACCAGAAAUGCAAUUAGUUUUUCAUUCAGUAUGUAAGAAUGAAAUAAAUAUAACAAACCAAUGAGUUUAUUAAGAAAACAGUCUGAUUUCUUUCUUUUGAAGUAUUUGAUAAAACUUAAAAAUGAUACAGAAAAUGGGAUAAGUUAAAAUAGCAACAAAAAAUCAAGUAAGCUUACUGCAGUCCUGGAAGAUCCAUGGCACCACUUGGCUCCAAUUCAAAUGAAAACAAAGCAGAAAAUGUGGGCAAGACCUACAAAGUGGAAAGCAUGACAAUGGAUCAAAAUCCCCACAAUAAACUGUAAUGUUUUUUAGCUAGCAUUCCAACAAUGUAAUGCUAUGUAGUCAUGAUCAGAUAAUUAGUUUAUUACUGUAACCAAGAUCAAGAUGCCAUCCUCCCACAUUGGCUUGACCAGAAAAAACAAAAUCACGAUGAUAAAUGCAUAUAAUGUUGUCAACAAUAGGAAAUCCAUCAUUUUACUUUAUUUUCCUUUAGCCUUUACUCAAACUCCUGAACAAAAACUAAAUCCCUCUCAAGGUUGCUGUUAGUGGGAUGGUAAUCCAAUACAUGAUAUGACUACAGGCAACUUUAGUACUUUAUUAAACUAGUAGUACCCUCUAAAUACAAAACUGACCAAAUUAAUCAUAAGCUUGGUUCAAUACCUGGAUGAACUGCUGCCCAUUUUCAUGAUACACAUAUUUGAGCUCAUCAGCAUCCACAGCAUUCCGUCCACACGCUCCAACACCCAAGGCAUAGAUCGCAGCAUCUCUGUUCGCAGAACAAACUUAUUACUAUCAUAUGCUUAUGAGUAUAAUAUGGCACCAGAGCCAAUGAAUGUUUAGUAACAGUGAAUACAUUCCAUGGACCGCAGGGAAAGGUCAACCGUGGAGGAAUUCUUACCUUUCAGUGUAAGUGAAUGUCUUCUGCUAGUGCAAUCCAUUGCGUCCAAUGAUGUAUAUAUAUUUGUGCAACAAAGGAUAAGGAAAAAAGGGGGAAAAAGAAUUAGUUAGAAACAGACGUUCUAAAUUAAUACGCAAGUGUAAAAAAUGAUUGGUUAAAAAAGAAAAAUGCUAUAAGUUGAAGAAGAAGAAGAAUUAAAAAUUGGAAGAAGAAAUACCUCGGGGAGUUUUUGAGAGAGGAGGAGCUCUGGAUUGAGACCUGAACUUUUCGCCAUGGAAGCCCCUCUUAAGAUUGAAAGUAGCUUUUCAAUUUCUGCUCAAAAGCGUUUUCAAAAGUGAAUUCACCAUGUGCUUUUGAUUCUGAACUAAAAUCACUAUGUACUUUUGAUUCUGAAAUAAAUAGCAUUUAAAGGAUUUUGAUACUGCGAUGAAUAGUUAAAAGAAAUAUUGGCCGGGAUUGAAAUGGAAAUAUUGACAAAGUUGAAUUUUCUCGCAGGGAUGCGAUGGAGAUGACGCUGACGCAGCGGAUCACUAUAAACGACAAAGUCUUGAUGACGUGGGUCCGUUAGCCAUACUUCCCAUUCACGCACGGCACGUCUGUUAGCGGCCUAGUCUUGCGUGUGCAUACCAUGUACACGUUGUAUUUAGAAUGGAAUUAACACGAGAGAGGCAGAGGCAGAGGCAGACGGUAAAAUUAUAAGAGUAAAUAGAAGGUAGCAAAUUACGUCAUCCCUCGCAGGUUUUUUUCAUUUGUGCGGUGAGAAUGGGAGAGAUUGAAACGGUUUGUUAAGGAUAAUCCACGUAUUAAAAUUUUUCAAUAAUAGUCGUAACAGGAGAGAAAUUAAAAUUCUAAUAACAAUAAAAGUCGGUAGCUGGACUUAAAUCUACGCCCCCAAACUUUCAAGCCGCAGAUUCUACCUUCGUAUUUACAAAGACGUAUUGGAAUUUGGAAGGCUGACAUAUCGAUAAUUUGCCUUGGUUAAGAUAGAGAUACUCAACGGCCUGUCCUGGGAUAACACUGAGCGGAGCGGACAUACUUCAAUAUUCGCAUUUAUCCGUUAAAACCUUGCAAAGUAGUGAAUAUAAAUUAAAAGGUCACAUGGCAAAAUAGCAAAUAAAUGCAAAGAUGACUUACAUAAAACCUUUCAUUAAAAUCGUGUAGAAUUCAUCUUCAUAAAUUUUACGUAGAUGUCUAUUAAAAUGUGAAAAGAAAAUAAUAUGUUAUUUUGCAUCAAAAUCCAAACUAUGAGUCGUAAAUAGUAUACGUUGAUGCAUACUAUUUACACUUGUCGUUUAUAUAAAUAAAGUAGAUGUCACAUCGUCUCUGAAUAUAUUAAAAAAAUGACAUUUAGUUUUGGAAUUUAUUGACAAACGACAUAUCAUCUAGGACCUGCUUUGCCAAAGUUAAUGGUAAUUUUUUUUUCAUUUUUUUUUGUAAAGUGCAAGAUUUUUGUAAGGAAAAAAAAAAAAGAAACAUUUCCAAGUAAAUUUACUACCUCUGAUUUUAUUUUGAAUUAGCUACUGGCCUUUGAGUUUUUUAAUUUCAGUUUUAUAAAUGGUCUCUCUAAUUACCAUCAACUUUGAUUUUCUAUUUUUUCUUUCUUAUAAAGAUUGCUGUUGUAAAAUCUAGUUUAGAUACAACAAUUUGUUUAUUUUUCAACGACAUUACACCAAUAUCCUAAAAUUUUAAUUUGCAAGCAGGCAACAGAUGACAAGUCGGUUUUAGGAGAAAAUCCAAACAACCUGCCCUCCUGUCAUUAUAGGGAAAGACGACGUGUCGUCCCUUUUAUUUAUGUACCUGACAGGCACAAAUGGUAAGCGCAGCGCCAGUGCGUACCAUUUCCCACCCAUCACUGCUUUUUAUAAAAAAAACGACGUGUCAUUUGCAUCUAUUUUCGUCAGACGUGUUGUCAUCUUUGUGUUUCAUUCAUCAGCGACACUUCAUCCACUAGGAUGAAUUCCGCAUGAUUUUAAAAUAUAGUAAGAGGUCGUUUGUUUUUUUUUUUUUAAAUUACAUAAAUGCAAACACGACUUUACAUAAAUUUUUUUCAAGUCCUAUAAAUAAUUAAUACCAUUUAUCCGUUUUCGGUGGUUACCAUCAGCAUUUUACCCGUUGGUUUCCUAAAGACAGUAACCCAGAUCUUGAAAAUGGCAAACGAGGAAGAAGCAAAGCUCCCCAAAAAAAGUUCCACUUAUAAAAUAAGGAAUAGAUAAUACAGUGGCUCCGGGACACUGCAAUUUAUGGUAACGUAGGGAUAACAUCAAUCGAUCACUGACAAGAGUUCCCGAGCCAACACCAAAAUUACAGAUCCAUUACAUUAGUUGCGGACAGCUAAAACACUUUCACCUCACCAGCCACAAACACAGCCGCCUACAUUGCUUUUUGAACAAAACUAAAAGCAAACCAACAAAAUUUAAUGUUUAGCAAAAUAAACACAUUGAAAUCCAACAUUAAGAAUACAGUACUUGUUUGUAAGAAGAUGCCAAAAUAGUUUGUUACUACCAAAAAUGUUUCCACCAACCAAACAAUCUGACAUGAUAUCUUUACAUCCUAUCUUCUCUUCUCCUCGGCGCACAAGUGAUAAUUUCAUCAACUCUGAGAAUCAUCUCGGCAGCCUCAGUUGCUGAAAGCAGUACAGCCUGCUUAACUUUGAAUGAUUCAGAAAUCCCCAACUCAGCCAUAUCUCCUACCUGCCAUUAUUUAAAACAGCAACAACCACGGUAAGGGUUAUAGACUAGAAAUGUUUUUCAUGCACAUCCUCUGUUAGAAAAAUUACAGGGAGGUGAUAAACUCAAAAAAGAAAAAAAAAACAUUGCAGUGUCUAUAUUUCCGCCAAGAAAGUACUAUGAGAUUACUAUGGCAGAAAUAGCACUCGAAACCCAGAGCAAACAACAUUCAAAUUCCUUAAUUUCAGAACUUACAGAUCCAGAGAUAACGUCAAUGCCUGCAGGGCAUCCUUCCUUCUGGUGCUCUGCACGGAGCUGAGCUAUCAACUCAGCACUGUCUAGACCAGCAUUGUCAGCAAUGGUUGUUGGAAUGGCAACAAGUGCCCGUGAGAAAGCCUCAAUGGCAUGGGACUUUUUCCCAGGAGUCUUACGUGCCAGCUCAUCCACUUCCUUGGCCAUAACCAUCUCAGGCCAUCCACCUCCAAACAAAACCCUGCUGUCAUUGACUGUCUGAGACAGCACACACAAGGCAUCAUGCAGAGACCGCUCAGCCUCGUCAAGCACAUGAUGGCUGCCAAAAGAAAUGAACAUAAUAAAAUAAGACAUUAAAGAAAAAGUCAGCACAUAAUACUCACAAGCAAUUAGGCCCUAGAUAUAUCCAAAUAAGCAUAUAUGCCAAAAGCUAGAUCAAACGAACACUAUAAAAAAGAAUGUAACAUAAAGUACCUUGCACCUCUCAACACUAUGGUACAAGCCUGACCCAUUUCAACACCAGAAAAGUGGAUCAACUUGUCCUCGCCAAUCAUAAUUUCCUCAAUAAGCUUGCAGUGGCCAAGCUUAACUGACUCUGGAUUAUCAAAGGUUGAUGCAAUUUCACCACCAGUUACUAAAGCCAGACGCUCUAUACCAUCAAAAUCAGCAUGCUCAAUUGCAAGUAUACCCGCAUCUGCAAAGAGUUCCUCUGGAAAAUUGUAAAUCAACUGCCUAUUAACGAAGCAGUUAAUCCCAUGAGCUAUUAUCUUUUGCACCUUUUCUCUCAUUUUUUGCUUCUCUGCACCUUCUAUCUCAGCGGCCUUUGACAUUGAAUCAACACGAACACGUGCCCCAUAAAUUUUCACUUUAUCUGUAUCCAUUGCAGUAUUUGCCACCAGUAUUUUUGCAUUCUCUAUACGUUUUGGUUGUCCAAUGCCAAUUUUCUUGUCAAGAAUGAAUCUGAAAAUGUUCCAUAAGUAAAAUUCAUAAAAUCAACCAGAUGUCAGACAGAGAGAUAUAUCCAAUGAACAAAAUUACACAAAAGCAUAUACAUCAUGUAAGUUAUCUAAACUGUUCCUUCCAACAGAUUCUGCUUCAGUUGAUAUCUCAGAUACUUUUAAGCACAAUUAUGCACAUUUCUACAUGGUGUGCAAACCUAAUAUAACAUAUUGGAUAUUCGGCAAAAUCAAUAACACUAUAACAAGAUAGUUUUUGUGCCCCACCCCUCAUCUAGAAAGGAAUCCUUCAGUGAUCCUCCAGGCUUCUUGAUAAUUUGGAUGGACUCUAAAUUUGUGCUGCCCUGCAAUUUGUAAGAUCAUGGUCAGAAGAAAUCCAGAAAGAAAACAUAAAAAUCAAACAUAACAUGUAGAAUAGUAAAGGGGCUGUCCAGAGAAUGUAAGACAACAUUUUAAAAUCCUAUCUGAAAAAUAUGACAGUGUUCCUAUUCUCCAAAAUGUAGAAUAGUAAAGGGGCUGUCCAGAGAAUGUAAUACAACAUUUUAAAUACUGAUCUGCAUGAAUCAAGUAUCUCCAAGUGAUAGUUUAAUAUGUUUGAGUGUUUCUCUCAGUGUAGCUUAUCAUGAAAAGUGUGUCAGACAUGAGCAUGUGUUUCAAUUGAUUCUUAAACUACUUGAUAUAUGAAACGUAUUACCUUAAGCCUCAUAACAGCAUCCACAGCCAGUUGAGCAAAAUGUUCUUUAUCCUGUGAGAGAAUUUUUGAACUCAAAGUAGUCAUCGCAAUCUUCAUCAAGUCUGACUUGAAUUUUUCUGCAUUAUUCAGUAAUGUCAUGAAUUAAUCACAAAUAGUAGUUCAAAAAAAUUAAUAACGAUAAUAAUAAAGAAUUCAAGGUCGUCAUGCUAAUUUGAGGUAUUCAUAGUAUUUUGACCACAAAUUACAACCAAAAAAUCUCAUUCAUGUCCAAUUAUCAUCUAAAGAAAUGUGUAUUGACAAGUUGUCGGGAAGAAUGGAAACAGAGGAAUUAUGUCAAAUAAAAAGCUUUAGACAAUGCUUCACAUGGGUAAACAAAUCAAUCACCUGCAUUCUCUUUGUUAUCCACAACCUUUUGCAACAAAGCAUCGCGAGCGCAUUCAGCUGCCAUCCGGAAACCUAAACAACAAAAGAAUCAUCAGCAGAAAUGCUAUUAUCAUCUACAUUUCAGAUGGCAUAAUAAUAAAAUUAUAAGGAAAAUACAAAAAAGAAAUCUUCAAUACCCAUGCACACUACAUUACUAAUUUCGUGAGGGAUAGAUUUCUGAUAUACAAAACAUAGAGGAAAAUUGAUCAUACACAAAUAUAUAUCUUUUUGUUUACCAUAUUAUAAGGGAUGCUAGACAAGAUUUUCUACUACCAUUCACAUCUGUCCUUAAAAUUAUACAAAACAACAAUGCAUAGAAACAGAAUUGCUACUAAAAAUAUUGCCAGAUCCAUGAAAUGAUCAAGAAAUAUCACUGUUAAACCACAAUAAGCAAACUUAGAAUGGUAGCACAAGGUAUAAUAUUUACAUAAAGAUGAGACUUGCAAUACAGUAAAACAACCACAAAAGCAAAUAUUUGAAAUAUAAUUUCAAAUAUUGGAUCACAAUACCACAUGAAAUAAAAAAAGCUCUCAUAAGUAACUUCUAUUACAAGACCAAAAAAAUUAAAAAAAAAAAAGAAGAAGUAUCAAUGCACUAGCAGAAGCCUAGAGGAAACCUGAUAUUAUGGUCAUUGGGUGAAUCUUAGCAGCCACCAGCUUCUCUGCCUCCCUCAGAAGCUCCCCAGCCAAAACAACAACUGAAGUUGUCCCAUCACCAACUUCGUCAUCCUGAACCUUAGAGAUGUCUGACCCUUGAUUAAGGAUCAUAAAGCAAAGGAAGAAGGAAUAAUCUUUUUUCUAUGGGUUAUGUGUAACUAUUCUACUGGCGUGGCUAAUUGCACCACUUAAAGAGUUUUUUUCUGAAAAAAUGCUUAUACAGUAUGUAUUUUUUUUUUUUUUUCCAGGAAAACAAGAUAAACAUCAGCCCACCAUUACAACAAAUCAACAGUAAUACAUUAACCCACCAUUGCAGCAAAUCAACAGUAAUAAGGAUACCAACAAGGACUUUAGCAGCUGGAUUAUCAAUGUGUAGGGACUUAAGUAUAGUGGCCCCGUCAUUCGUAACAGUGACUUCACGUCCUCUGCCGGUUGACUGUAGAAUUUUAUCCUACAUGGAUGAUUUACAGCAACCAGAUAGUUAAUAGAAAGGUAGGAUAAAGGCUACUACUGAAGUAUUUUAAUCUUGAGCAAUAUUCAUGGUAGCAAGUGACCUUACCAUUCCCUUUGGCCCUAAGGUUGUCUUAACCAAGUCAGCAAUUGCCAUUGCACCAACAAAUGAUGCCUACAAAAAUAAAUAAAUAAACAAACAUGAUUAUUCCACAAAAGCAUAAGGAAAAACAAGUUAGGAGUUAACGCAUUCCAACAAAUUAAAAAGGAAAAAAAGAAUCCCCACAAUGUCCUCUAAAUGAAAAAACAAUUUGUUUUCUAGACAAUAUUAUCCAGGAAUAUGUUAUCAAAUGAAUAUUGUAUGUACGCCUCCAGUCAUGCUUAAGAAACACAAAUAUACAUCAUCCAAUAUCCCAGUAGUCAAGUACUCACCAUUCUGGCACGCUCUCCUUUCUCUUCGUUAGCUUCAUCUUUAAAAAUUCUCUCUACCUGAGAAAACAAUCACCAGCCACGUUUGAAAGAGAGCCAAAAAGGAAAAAAAGGUAAACAUAAAACAAUCACAAACUGCUAUGCUGUGAAACAUACCCCCAUCGAAGAAAAUGUAAAUGAAGGCAACUAAAACCUGGAUGCUAAAAUGAAACCCUGAAAAACGCAAUCAAGAAGUUAACAUAUAUUUGCCAAUAAACACGUAAUCGGAUCUUAAAUGCUCCAUAAAUAAACCCUAAUAUUUCGUAAUAAUUAUUGAAACUUAUUCGCUCACAUUUACUUGUAGUCAACUACAAAAUGGGUAGAGAAUGCUAACAAAUAACAACAUUAUUCAACAGUUUUUUGCAUUUCCCCAUUUUCCCGAGAGACAAACAGAAGUACGAUUUCAACAAGUACUGAUACCGUGCAAUAAAAAAUGAAACUGAAACCCUAACUUAAACAAAACCCUAGAAAGUUAAAGAUAGAGUAAGUAAGCUGCCUGAUCUUAAACCGGUGAUUUUCGACCCUGCUAGGUUUUGAUAGUCGGAUCCCGCCGAAACUGAAGAGUGUUGUGUUUUAGGCUUCGCUUUUCUACCAGUUGUUUUUUGAUUCAGUGUGGCAGUGUGUAUUUUUAUCCAUAGAAUCGACCUCUGUUACACGCGCAAAAGAUUGACUUUGUCAGUCAAACGUCAAUAACUAAAAGACCGGAGUAGCUGUCGUAGGAUUAAGUGGCCACGGGAAGGAGAAGGGAGCAAUAAUAAUGGAUGAGCUAAUGCGUAUAGAAUCUUGUGGAUUAUUUUAUAAUUCCCUUUAAUUUGUUUGCCGAAGUUUCCCGAAUUUAUUGAAAAAUUUUAUGUAGGCUCUGAAGCGAAUUUACUUACAUACCACUACUUAGCAAAUAUUAGGGCUUGUUUCGAUGAAUUUUUUAAAAGUAGUUAUUUUAAUAAAUUAAUUUUUAAGAAUAAUUAAGAAAUUAUUUUUUAUAAACAGUCUAUUAGAUUAACCACCAUGACUUUUAAAGUUUAUAUGAUAACUUUAACGUUUUAAUAAAAGAUAAUUUUUUUUUCAUAAAUCCUGCUAUAUAAAUAAAAAAAAUUUAAACUUAUGUCUAUUUUAAUCUUUAUAUAAUAAAGUAACACUUUUAUAAUAAAAUAUAUAAAUACAUAUACUAUUUUUUUAAACCCCCGUCAACCGCAAUAACACAAUUUAUGAAACACUAAACUAUUUUUUUAAUGAAUAUUUUAUUUCAUUUACACAACAGAAACAACUUAUUUUAUCAACUUGCAUAUAAAUCUCCAUUUUCCUCAUCAUUUUUAUCAUAUAUUACAAAUUAAAGAGUUUAAAGACUAUUUUUAGAUGGGGUAGUGCAUCUUGUUUUGAUAAGAUUUGGUCAAAUACAAUAAAUUUAUAUAUUUUGGGAUUUGGUGCCCAGUAUAGUCGAGGUGUGCUGCUUGUUUUGAUCUUUGAUGAAACUUUGAGGAAUGAGGAGCAACGGUGAGUAGAGAGGUAAUGUUUGGGAGUUUGACCACCUUGCAACAAAAUGAGAAAUAGUGGUUAGAAAAAGAACUUGUGGUGGCUGGCGAUUAUACAGCAAUGCUCAUGUUAGUUUUUGGUUCAUUUGGAUGUUAAUAAUUUGCCAACCCUCAACAAUGAAGUCCGCUCGAGGUUGAAGACAAGCCUUGGCAACUUUUUUACAUGCAAGCGUUACUUAGUUAGAGAGAGAAAACCUAAGAGUUUAUAUAUGGAGUGCGCCUAGAAUAUUCUUGUAACCAUCUUUGUUGAUGUUAUUCUAAUUCUACUGAGGCAUUUUCCUCUCCAAGUAGGGAUAUUAUAGCUCAUUUAAGGGCAAAAGUUGAAAACUUUAGUUAUAGAAGCCUGAGUGAAUAAUGUAUAUAUCGUUUAGAGAUUUUUUUUUUUUAAUUUUAUUAUAAUUUAGGAGAUAUCAUGUAUAUUUAAAAAAAAUUAAAAUUUUUACCGGAUAUGACCCACUCUAAUCUCCAUUAAGAUCCGCCAUUGAGCCCAUUUAUACUAUAUAGCUACUUGAACCCUUGGAGCUUGCUUUGAGAAUAAGUUUGCUCGUUAUUCAUGUAAUUUGUUCACACGUACCUCUGAGAGAGUAGUCCUGAAGUUGUCGACAUGGCACAUAUUUACUACUUCCUCUUGGUUGUUUACUUACUCAUUAGUUUUCCUUUUUAGCUAAAUAAAUAACAUUCUCUUUAGGUGAUAAUAACCUCUCACGUCAUUCCUUAUUAUUCCUUUCACUCGUCUAUAGCAUCCUUGGGGUGGCUCAGCUCCCCUUCAUAUUUAACUGUUCAUUACUUAUACUGACACGUGUCAUCCGCAUAUUGGUCAUUUAUUUUUCCGCAAACACAUCUAUCCAAUAAAAACGUUGUCGUACGCCAUACAUAUGUUCAUUCAAUAAAAAAUAGACUAAACAAAUUUAUUUUCAAAUAAUCAGAAAUAGCAGUAGUUAAGAUUAAAAUUAAAAUUAUAAACAUGUCACAUGAUAAUUCGAGGGAUGGUUCUAUUAAAAUUAUACUGCGUAAUACGUUUUCUUUGGAUGAGUACUUUUCAUGAAGUGGCCCAAACUAAUGCUGACAGAAAGAAAUUUUUUUCAUAGUUAUUUUGAUUAAUCAUAAUCUUUUCAUUUUAUUUAUGUAUUUAUUUAUUUUUUUCAAAAGAAGUUUUCAAUGUUCAGUUAAACCCUCGUAUCACUCCUUUCAAGAAGGGGGAAAAAAAAAAAAACUAUCAUUUACACGUGCAUGUCUGAUUAGAAACAGGCUGCAAAGCCUACUAGAGGUUCUGACCCAGGCCCAAACAUUUACUUUAUGAUGGCCCGCAGCAUUAAUAAAGAGAUUCACAGGUCAGUUUGAUGAACAUUGAAAAACAGCUGAUCACAAAUGAAGGGAAGAUAUUACACCAACACUACCGAAAAAAAAAACUGAUAAACACAACAUUCUUCGUAGUUUGAUUGCUUUACAUUCCAUUACUAAAAGCCUGAGCCAAUUAUCAAAUUGAUAAAUGAGAAUCAACAUAAUUUUAAAUAAUACUAACAGUAAUGCUAUAACAGCUACCGCUGUAACAACGGAAAUACAACCUUCAAUAGAAAAGAAUGAGACCUCGAGCUGGGGUCAAUUUCAAGUUCCACUUGUAGACACUCCUCGCAUAAAUAAGCAAAGCAACAUUAAACUAAUCGAAUAUAAGAUUAGAAAUCAAAACUCUACUCGAAUCCACAAAUUGUGUACCCAACGGUGGAUCAUUUUAUUAAAUAAUAAUUUAGAGGGGCCUCGUGUGUCUGCCAGCUGCUUUGCCGCAAAGACGUGCAUUCUUUGGGAUGGGAUAUUCAUCCCUGAGUGAAGUUGAUGCUGUGUAAACACGCAAAUAAAAUUGUUGUCCAAGGUACUGUCGUGCCCAAGACUCAGACCUCAAGUUCCACAUACCUACGUUAUCCAGUGCUAUAUAAAUCGCAGACCAUGACUUGGGAUACACCUGCACUCAUCAUAAAACAAAAGUUAUCAAUUACGUUCUUGAUUCUAACUAGGUUAAUGAUUUUGAUUUUGCAAUCCACAUUCUGAGCUAAAUUAGUGUUAACCUGAACGGUUACACGGGCAACUGCAUCGCGGAGAUUGUACUGGUUUCUACUAGCAGAUGUCCAUUGGCCUCCAUCCAUUCUGCAUUUCAAGAUUUUAUGAUUAAGAGACAAAAAGGACUGAGUUGGUCCUAACUACUAAAUGCAAUUUUGGAUGUGGAACCCUAAGAUUAUAAUGUGCUUACCCGACAACCCAAAAUUGGUAGCCAUUAAGGUGAUAGCUCUGGAUAAUGUCUUCAUCAUUUUGGAACACAAUUUCAAUAAAAGCUCUGUAGUCAGCCCCCAUAACUGCCGUGUCUAGGUAAAUCCCUCCACCGGUAGGAUUAUCAGAAAUGCUUCCGAUGCGGAAAACUCCUUCAAUCUUGAAGUAGUCAGCAAGCUUUAGGGGAGUGUCAGCUGGAAUAAAGGACACGCUGUUGAUUGCAUAUCUCUGCUUGCCAUUAACUUGCCCAGCAGAACUUGAAAGCCUGAUAGUUUUGGUGGUGUUUAUGAGACCAUAGUGGUAUGAACCCUGUGGGUUAGGCCUUGGUCCACUUGCUGUGAGAUUAGACCUGAAAUAUAUAAUUAUCACUAAAUUAGUGCACAUCAUAAACAUUUUAGUGGCACAAUUUUGAAUCACUGAUAACAGGAAAUAAUACAAACCUGAUAGAGCGUGCUUGGUUUAGUGACCAGUCAAUUUGGACAGUUGGUCCACCUGGGAUGGGGCCUGAAACUGGACCUGCAGAGUUACUGUAAUGAAGAAUGCCGGUGGUGGUGAGGACAGUGGAGGUGAAGCGAGAGGAAACAACAAUGUAAUAGUCCCGUGCAGGUUGAUCAGCAGUAACCAAAACGGAGUAUGAUUGUCCGACAUGAACAUCAAGUGAUGAGUAGGUAGUCUGGAGGGUAUGUGUUCCCUCAACUUCUACCAACUUCAUCUUAUGGUUUUGAAUGCGGAAAUUGAGUGAGUUUUGCAAUCCAACAUUUGAUAUUCUGAGCCUGUAAGUUUUUCCUGUAAUGGACAUGGAUAAUGUAGGCGUAAUGCAUGAAUGAUGGUAGGAGUGCACAAAAAUGAUAACAAUUGGCAAAGACUAGAUUUAGAUUGAUUGAGAGCUAACCUUGUUCAACAUUAAAAGCAGCACCGCUCCCCCGGCCAUUGAUAAGAAUUCCAUCGGGGAGAGGUAGCUUCUUGCCCUUAUCAAGAUGUGCCCUCAAGUCCUGCGAAAACACACAUCAAUUCAUCAUCCUUCAAUCACAAAAAGUCGAUUCAAACAGCAAAACAAUUACUAAAUAAUUUUGAACUAGUUGGCAUUUUUCACUCCAACCAUCUCAUUCUAUGAACUUUCAUGAAACAACAUUUCGUGGACCCAAGUAACAAGUGAGAUAAAUGGUUCAAGGUUGACCAUUCCACUUUUUUUUUUUUUUUUCCUGAUGCAUGUGGUUCAGGGGAUUCGAUGAUGAUGGAAUAUGGGCUGACACCUCGGCGAAUAGUAUAAUACACAUUUGGGCCAAUAAAUAGGGCCAUAUCACCCCAUGUGCAAGACAUUAAAUCAAAUCAGUAAUACAUUAAGCAAUAAGCGUCCAUACCAAUUGAGCAAUCUAAUAAAUGUAGAUCUAAUUGGCUCGUACCCAAAAGUCAAAAACUUAACCUGAUACUUGCAGACUGCAGCAUUAUACAAUCCUCAAUUUAAGAUUUAAUAUCUAAACUGUUCACUGGAGUCACAUUGCCAAAACUUACACUUGGCUACAUGAUUAGAGAAAACAAUUUUACUAAGGACAGACUGUUGAUUUUGGAUGUGGCUUCUUUUACUCGAGUCUCUCAACCUAUCACCUAUCUCAAUAGUCACAAACAGACAAAAAAGAGGGGUCAAAGACCCAGCUCAAAUGCAGAAAAGUUGCAUGUCAUAAAUAGUCAAAAGCUCACCUUUGUCACCGACAACCAAAAAGCGGGGGAAAAAAAAAAAAUCCCUUGCCAAAUUGACCAACUUAAAAUAUUUUAAACCCCGCAAAAUUUAAACACCAUGCUCUAACAUUAGUAAAGAUCCUUUAAUACAAGAAAGCUAAAACAAAUCAGCAUGUUAAUCUUUGGUAUAAAUGUGGGAAUGGUAUAUUAUUACCGUGUGAUUGGACUUGUACCAAUCUCCGAUAAGAACAGUGUAAUCGCCGGCAGGAUCUGGGAAGGGAACGGGAAUGCGCGGUCGGCUAAGGAUCCUUAUUCCUCCAAACCCACCGGCUGCUUUGUGGAAUGCAAGGGAAGGGAAAUAGUAAAAGCUACCAAUUUGAUCCUUCACUUGAAGAAUGUAUGUAAAGUUCUUCCCAGGAGGAAUAGGGCAAGUUGUUCCAUAUACACCAUCUUCAAAUGAAUUCCUCCUGUUUUGAAUUCCAUUCCUAUUCUCGCCGCAGAAAAAAAAAGAACAAAUUACAAUAAUUUCUAUUACAUUUGAAAAAGCAAUCAAAUUUAAUCUCUCAAUGCGCCAAUUCACAAUUUCUGAAAAAUGUAAAUUUUGUACUCUAGAUGGACAAAUGGAGUUCGUAACAUUCGUUAAUUAAAUUUAUGCACUGAAAAUGACCAACUCAGAUUUUAGGCCGGUUAUGUUUGUAAAAAGAAUCACUUAAACAUUCAGUAAAAAUUUAUUUUUAAAAUACUGUAAGUUUAAAAAAUAAUUAUAUAUAUUUAAUAAAUAAUAAUGUUAAACUAAUAUAAGAUGAAAUAAUUUUAUUAAAAAUAAUAUUUAAAAAAUUAUUAAAUAUAAAAAUUAAUUUUUAAUUUUUAAAAAUUCUUUGGCACCUUCCAAAAUAAUUCCAAACCGAUCGAAUAUAGAUUUUGAAUAACAUUAUUUUAUGACUCAAAGGUCAAGUUUCCAGCUUUACUUAGCUGCUUCAUAAAACUAGUAGAGUGGAAGACAGCUGCUAACCGAAAAUGGACACGCGGACAAGGCUAGUGGGUCUAAAUUAGGUAAGCUUACAACACAAAUUCAAUGUUUCCAAUCAAUUAACCCCGUUAAUUGCUCCUCUUUUGUAAUGGGAAAGUCGUUUUUCUAUUUUCAAUAGAACCAACCUUUUUUUUUUAAAAAAAAAAAAAUUCAAUAGAAACAAUUUAGUUAUGAAUGAUAACGAUAUCUCAAAGUGUUGGACGGUUAGUAACAGUAGGUAAUACAUGACAAUAUCAAUAAGAAAUUCCACCGCAAGAUACUGUAAGAACGUGCAAUUCUAAAAGACAACGAUAUAAAGCAGAUCCAAUUAGCCAGAUCUACGUUCACAUGAUCUUGUGGGCUGUCUGAGAAAAUUACUAAAAUAUACCCACAUGGCGUUGAAAUGAAUGGAGAAUGAGUACGGUGGACUUAUCGUUUUGCGGAGGGCGCGGCGCGCAAAACAAUGCGGCGUUGUGCGUGGAAUUUUUUUUUUUUUUUAAAUUAUUUUUAAAAGGUACAGUGAUGCAGCGGAAGGAGAGUGAAGGAUCACGGGAGAAAAUUAAGACUUAAAAAGAGAAAAAGAGAAUAAUUAAGAGAUGUUACCAGGAAAGAAGAAAAGGCUCGUCUAAGCUGUUGAACACAUUGAUAAUAAGAUUGUCAUUUGUAACUGAGUGAAUAUCGGGGCCUGGGAAUUGCCAGUUUAUCAAAAUGCCCUACCAAAAAAAAAAUUAAUAAAGGAAAAACAAAACACCAUUUUGAUUAAUCAUUAAUUAUAUCAAACACAAACCAGAUCGACAUUUUAAAGAAAUCGAUAUAAAUGAGUCAUAUGCGUGCAUGUAUGUAAAUGCAGGGACGAACCCGUUGGCGAACGCCGAGGGGAUAGAUGUCGCCGUAAGUGACAUUCCAGUUGAAGAAUCUGUAAGGAUCCUCAGCACUGACAAUGGCGAAAAGGGAACAAAACAAGGAGCAAAUUGAAGCAGCGACAGCUAAGUUUAGCGGCAUUUUGGGGGGAAGGCAGAAGGCUAAGUCAAGUCUUGUUUGCUUUUGUGACCUUUCAGAUUAGUGCGAUGAAUGGGGCGGGGAGAGAGAGUUUUUUUUCCAAAAGAAAAAUUGAAAAAUAAAAGAGGAAAGAAAGAAGUUAAGAGGUGAGUAGUGAAUGAUGAAUGAUGAAUGAUGAGGAAUGGCACGUAUUUAAGUGCGGCACAGAGGAUAUGUGUGAGUGUAGAGGCAACUCAGCAAAUGAGAAAAAAAAAAAGCGAGGGAAAAUUGGAGAGAGAGACUUGAGAGAGGGAGGUAAGAAUUAUAAAAAGGAAAAUGAAAAGAAAAUGGUUGAGUGUCGGUGGUCGGGCCCGACAAGAGCUUAACCCUCACUGUUUAGUUUGGGCUGUUUGUUUUGUGUGUAUAAGUGUUUUUGUCUCCCACAUGGGUUUAUUGUUGCUACCUUGCGACUGUGUGGCGUAUGUGCAUUGUGCCUUUUUUUUUUUUUUUUUAAACAUAACAAAUAAUAAGGACGAAGAAAAUGAAAAGAGAUUGCACGUGACGAGUUUUGCAAACAACACGUAGGUCCCAUUCAAAUAAUUAACCGGGAGUGUUUCAAAAAUCAAAUUUCUUAAUGCACUUUUAUUAGGUUAGCGUAGUUGUUUGAAUAUGGAACCAAAUCAUUGCUUUUAUGCUUUGUUCUUAAGCCUUUAGGGCACUUUUUGGUUUUGGAUCCCCACAGAAAUUACUUACAGGUGCCCGAAACUCAAACUCUAGAAGUAUCAGACCUGGAGUCUUAAGGUUAUUUAUCGCACGAUCCGGCAAUCGAGAGAUCAUCUAAUAGUACUGCAUAUAUAAUACCAAAGUUUAUUUAAGGAGAUUUUGAUAAAUUUCUUUUAGCUGCUUGCGAUGCGAGGUUCAGAAUAUGCUAACAUGUAGCUGCAAUCGGUUUGUAUGUUUAAUCAACUGAAGGAUUAAAACGGAUUGUUCUCAGAUUUUCUUUAUGGUCCCUAAGUGAAGUAGGUUCGCUCACCGGUUUAUAUUAUUUCGCUGUAAAAGUGUAAAUCUCAUUUAUUUCAGAAAGGGCUAUUUCAUCUCAUCUAUGGUUUCAACACCCAGAUAUAUAAUGCAUAAAAAAGUUGUAACGAAAUCAGAUGUGUCUUCGUCAUUUUUGGCAGUGAUUUGUCACGAUUACUUGCAGAUUAGGAGGACGGACCGACUUAUUUUGACGCCAUUACUCUACACUAGGAAUUUAAAAGAACGGAAAAAUAAAUAAUGAGUAGAUGAAGAGCCAUACUCACGCAUUACAAUGUACUGAAAAAGCACAUGAAUUGGUUCGUGACUUUUGCUGUGAUCCACAACGCAAAAGGGUGGCCACAUGUGUGCACAAUAUUCCCCAUUCCAGUAAACUUAUUUUUUUUUUUUUACGAACUUGGUAGUUUUUGUUUAUAUGGACAAAAAUAUGCACAGUAAAAGUCUGCACUUUCACUGGGCAGUGAAAGUGUCACAACAUUCGCCCAAGUGUCGCAACAUUGGCAUAUUUGUUAACCUGAUCCACUAUUCCACUCUAAGGGGUGGAAUUGAGAUUUCAGUUGGCUAGAGCCCAUCAUCGUGCAAAAGUUAUAAAUUUGAGCUACCAUAGUAAUAUAAGAUCAGUAAAAUUUUGAGGACCAACAAUGAGAAUUAUGAUGAAGAAAUCAUAAUUUUGAAGAUGUUAUAAUGUAAAAACUGUUAACUUAACGAGCACUAAAUACUAUUAAACAUGCAUCGAAAUUAGUAAGCUCACUUCCUUUAUUAUUAUUUUUCCGGUUAAUUUUUAAAAACCUCCCCUGAGGUUUGGGCUUGUUGCAAGUAGAUGGCGAGAAUUUAUUUAUUUGUAAAAAAUCUUCUACCGUUAGUUAAUUUUAAUAUUGACCGUUAGUUGACUGUGCAAAGACAAUAUUACCCUUAACAACAGUUUGUAGACGGAAAUAACAAAAAAAAAAACUAAAAUUGUUGGCUAUUUUACCCUCUUUAAAUUAUUGAUAUUUUCUUAAAGUUCCUACAAGAAAGAUAAAAUUAAAAACUUGAAAAUGAAAUAAUCAUAAUCUUUACCUAUGAUAUUGUAAAUCUUUGUAAUUGACAAGGAUAAAAUUGUCAAAAAAUAGGGUUUGUGCUUUUCGCGCCAACAAUUUUAAUUUUUUUUUUUUAGUUAUGUCAGUCUACAAACUGUUAUUAAGGGCAAUAUUAUCUUUGCACAAUCAACUAACGGUCAAUGUUAAAAUUAACUGACAGUAGGAGAUUUUUUAUAAAUAAACAGAUUCUCGCCAUCUACUUACAACAAGCCCAAACCUCAGGGGAAAUUUUUAAAAAUUACCCUUAUUUUUCCCUCUACGGGGCCCACCAAAUUCCGCCUCUCACGCACUGGAGAGAGAAAACAAAUAAACUUUUUUUUUUUAACUUUUUCUAAAAGAUUUUGUUUUUAAUUUUUUAUCUUUACCACAGGCUUAUAUGCCAAUCUGGUGGGCUAAAGUCAAUGUUCCUGUCGCGUGGAAUCAUCAACGCUAAACCUUGGGUUAAGGAGUUCAAAUUUCUAAUCAAUGUUUCUCAGGUCUCGUACUUUCACCUAAUGAAAAAUUACACCUUUAGAGCAAGAAGAUUAGGCGCCCCCCACCCCAAAAAAAAAAAAAAAAGAAAAAAACCGCAGCACAUUAAAUCAUUAAUCAUCGCAUGUCUCACAUUUUAGUUUUGGCAAUUUCGAACAUCCUUAUUGAGGGCUUUGAUGACCUGGAACCAACAACAAACGCUCAUUGAUGAAUACAUCAACUCGUACACACGAGACAAAUUUCCUUAUGGGCCAAUCCAGGCAACACACGAUGAGAUGAGAUGAGAUGAGAUGAGACGAGACGUCAAUUCUGCUCCACAAGGCUUCGAUUUAAACAAAUUAAUUAAUUGGACGCAACUUUGUUCAAUGAAUGAAUGUUACUAGGCGGUGAGGGUGGAAAAAAUAUCCAGUCCGGUCGUGGACAUUACUUCAUUAACCCAAAGCCUGGUCAAGAUUUUAUUAAAAAAUAUUAUAAAACAUAUAUUAUUUUAAAUAUUUAUAUUUAUUUGACUCAUUUAUUACACAUAUAUAAAAUUUUAAACACUUAAAGUUUAUAUUUUCAUAUCAAAUUUUAUUAAAAUAAAUUUAAAAAAUAUAAAAUCCAAUACCCAAAUUAAAACCCAGUCCAGGCAUCUAAAAAUUACAUCCGGACCAGGUUCGGGUAUUAAAAAAUAUUAUAAAAUAUAUAUUAUUUUAAAUAUUUAUAUUUAUUUGACUCAUUUAUUACACAUACAUAAAAUUUUAAACACUUAAAGUUUAUAUUUUCAUGUUAAAUUUUAUUGAAAUAAAUUUAAAAAAUAUAAAAUCCGAUACCCGAAUUAAAACCCGGUCCAGGUAUCUAAAAAUUACAUCUGGGCCGAGUCUGGGCAUUGCAAUUCUCAGACCCAAACCCGGGUUUUGCCAACCCUACUUGGUGGUGGCCUGGCAUGAGAGGCGCCCCUACGUUGGACAAUGAGUAUAUAAGCACGUGCUAUAGUUGCACAGUUAUAUCGAAUAGAUUUGGGGCCAUCUAAAUUACCAAAUUUUAAAGAUAUAAAGGUGUCAAAUACCACCGUUCUAACAUCUAUAACGCAGCAUUUCGAUGAGAGGCCCGGCCCACCAUUCAAAUGAUUCAAUAAAGCGAAUAAAAAUUGAAUUUUUUCAAAUGCAAAACUAAAAACUAAACAAGCCGAAUGAUAAUAUGGUAGGUUGAUACACAGUUAACAGUUAUUAGGGCCCAUCAACGGUAACUACCAGGCAUUGCUGCGCUCAAACCAUACAAGCAGGGCAGAAGACCAGUAAAUAAUCUUACAAUCAUAUUUAGAUAGCUACAAAGGAUGAUGAUGAUGAUGAUGAUGAUGAUGAUGAUGAUAAUAAUAAUACCCACUGUCACUACACUACAGCGAGAAGUAACCCCGCAGAAAUUGGUAAGUCAAUGAAAGUGCAAUCACCGAGUAGCGCCAAGUCUAUGAAAGCUUUAGCCCUAGUAUUUCUAUCCCAUCUUCCAUCCACAAUCACGUAUCGACCAUAGCCAAGAUUCAAUUAGACAAAAUAUGUUGGGGGCUAACAGUUGACCUAAGGAUUACCAUGCAUAAACAAAAUAGAGACACCAAAAGUUGAGCUGAAACCCAAAGACUGCUCACAUGCUUUUACCACAUAAAUCUUUAUCUUACAGACAACUAAAGAACAUACAUCAUAUGCUUAGUUCCCUAAACCACUCAUGUUUUAAACUUAUACACAGUAUACAAUUAUGAAAGCGAUCAAAAACUUGCGUAGGUCAUAUAGAGGGGGUGACCAGGAAAAGUCAGUAGAUGAAUUAUUUUGUGGGGGCAGCUACUUUAGAUCCUUUAUCCUUUUUCCGUCAUUCCUAUGUCAAUGAUGUGCAUGAGGUUGAUUUCCAACUCCCAUGCACCAUUUAGAUCGGUUACUUGGUUUGAUUAUUCAAGGCUACAAGGUGGAGAUGAAAACACAAAUGACAAAUCCAACAGCUGAGAAAGUCAAUUUUCCAUGUCACCCUAAGAAUUGAUUAGCUUAUAGUCUGGCCAUUGGGCAAUAAGAAGCACAUAAAUACGAAUCCAGGCUAGACAAUACGAUGCGGAAGUUUUACUUGACCAAAUCAAAAUGUACUUACAUUUCCGUUUACAGGCUUUGAUCACACUACUCAUAAACUAACGAAGUGUUUUGCAGUAAUAUGUCUAGUGUCAAAGCAAUGCAGACAUGGUUCCUAGAGUUUAGGAUAAUAAAGACAAACAUCCAUUAUUAUUUAUUAAAUAAAUAAAUAAAUAAAGCAAAAAAGAAACAGAAAUCCACAUCACAAACAAAAUCAAUAAGAAACUAGAAUCCAAGAUUGACCAUAGCAAGAAGUGAUCGACUCAGCAAACCAAUUAAACCAUUUUCUGUUCCCAGGUUGUUGUCCAUAAAUGAAAAUUUAAAAUAAAGGCGGAGCAAAGUUUUGGAGAGGUACCAAUGCCUCAAACUAAAAUCUUAUUAUGAGGGAAAGAAAAAGCAAAGUACUGCAGACAAAUUUUUUCCAUGUUUGGUUGGAAAGAAAUGAUAGGGGAAAAGUGCGACAUAACUCCCACCUCAGAAAACUCAAUCAUUGCAUAAAUAUGAUCUAAAGUGAGAGAGAGGAGUAAAGAGCCAAUCCAUUGAGCUGAGAAAAUUAACUUACAUGUUUACUCUGGCCUUACAUUAUGGUAAAGGAUCAAAUUAAUAUAAUGGCUUUCCUCGUAUCUCUUUUAAAUGGAACUCCAUAGAAGUGAAAAGGCUCAGUAACCAAACGAACUAAUCAUCUGACCUCUCACGACCAAACAAUUCACAGCCAAUUCCUUUAUGAAAAAAGUCCUAGCCCCAAAUUAGACAACAGACAUGAUAAUCAUGUACAUUACACGCAUAAUAAAACCAUAAACAAAUUCCAAACUCUAAAGAUGAAUUGAUUAAUUGAAACUAGAAUCCCAAAAUACUCAAAGCGCCAGUUGUAUCAAUUUAGUCCAUAUCAGAAUCAACCAAGUCAAUAAGCUUAAAUUAUCAAAGGGGAAAAGAAAAAUUCUUCAUUUCUUCUAUUAUUAAUCCAAAGACAGAUAACACAUCGUAAAUAUCAAAUACGCAAAAAGCUAAAAACUCACCCAAAUGUUGGGUCUGUUCGAAAUCAACUUUCCUCGCCAAAAAGAUGGCAGAGACGAGAAGCGAAAAGGCCAGUGGGUUCAAGAGAGGCUUCAUGGAGGAGGCUAUGCUUGAUGUUGUUCAUGCGAUUGGUUAAGGAUUCCUGCUCUUCUUUAAGAGCUGACGUGUCCUCUUGGAGGUCGUGGAUGCGGUACUUUUGGCCCAAAGAUCUGACGCUCAACAACAGUAUCCCGGUCAUAGCGAAGAAUUGAAUGAAGCUGUGUUUGUGUUUUUUCGCAUUUGCUAUAAACCCUAAUGACCUUUUAGGGUUUUGGGCGGUGCUGCCGACUGGGCUCGGUGUUGAUGAUGACGCCAUAUUUGCGAAUUGUGAAAUUGUGAAUCGUGAGUGAGGGUGAGCCACCACACAACACAAGCGAUGAGUGGUUUUGGCACCCGGUUUGACGUGGCACUUUGCGCAUUUGCGACACGUAUUUAGAUUUUGUACACGUGUUAGGAUCAGUCCAUAAAAAAAUUAAUUACUUUCCAUUAAUUCCUGCGCAUAUAAUCUACGCGACGCUAACAAUAAAAGUAAUGCAGUAGUAACAUGUAAAUGAUUAAUGGUUACAUUACAUGUAUACAAAGUUUACAAACUAACUAGCAUCAGGGAAAAAACCAAAGGGAAGUUUACAAACUAACUAAAAAAUGCUUGUUUGUAUCAAAUUUUGUACACCACUGCAUAUUAUGAAUCAACUGCAUAAAAUUUCAAUGCGUCACACGUUCUCUGUAUCAAAAAUCCAGAGUGCCACAUUGUUUGCUCUCAAUGUUCUUCGUUCCCUUAUUUUGUUUCAUAUCCUUUGUCCUUUCAUUGUUCUGGCCUCGACUCCGCACAAUUCCCAUCUUAGGUAAGCCUCGAUUGAGUCCUUCCAGCAAAACACAAGCUUUACACCAUUUCUGUGGAAUAAGAAUCAAUAGGAAGGUAAGGAACAUACGCAUUAUUACAAUGACGAUUUCAAAGCUGGAAAUGGGUGCUUUCGGUUUGCUAUUGAGUAUAGCAAGUCUCACCUGGCUAGAAAUGUAUCCACAGCGUUCACAGGUGCCCUGCUCUGGCAUUUUUGUUGAGGUGGAAAUUCUGAAGUUCUCACCCGACUUGAUGAUAUCAAGUAUGGCCCUAGGUCUGCAUUAACAUGACAGUUCAGCCGGGAAAUGAGGGAGAAAAGAAAAAGCAUCAUUCUGUCUCAAAGAAGUCACCUUAAUCUCUCCAAAUCUUUAAUGAACUCACGAGCAAAACCACGAUAAGCAUUUGGAGAAUAAAUGCCUACAAUUGCAAUAAUAGCACUGUGAAUUUUGUUUGCAGACACCAGAACUAAAUUAGUUACCUAGAAAAGAAAAGCCCAUCUAUCGUGUAAGUGUGAUGAUAGAUGCUUUAAGCAUCAGCAAAAUAUAUAAAGGAAACAAGCAGACACCAACAUUUGAAGAAAAAUGUAACUGGAGCAAAGAACAAAAAAGAUAAUCUAUAGCAAAUGAAAAAUCACUGACAAAGGGAUUGGACGAGAAUGAGAAACAAACACUUACAUUCAGUCGAGAAGUAGUCCAGCCUCUUGAAGUAUGCAUACGUAAACAUCUAUUAAGGUCUCACAACUAAAUAAUAUGAAUAAUAAUAAUAAUACAUAGACAAUUUAAUACUUCCAUGAUAACAAUUCAUUAACAAUUACAAGGAUAUAUUACAAUCUCCUUCUCAUAAGUGUACUUAAAAGGUUUGCAUCUUGGAAUCGGUCCAUCUUCACCAGUUGUUAUCAAUGUACAUCUACUCAAUCUACACGGUACAGCGUGAAUUUAGUUUCCUGAAAAAAGUGUGAGAUAAAACUGAAAGAAAAACCUUACUGAACAAUUCAUUACCUAGCAAUAUCACCUCGCAAUAUGUUCAAUAGAACAGUUUCUGCAAUAUCAUCUGCAUUAUGUCCCGUCGCAAUUUUGUCUACUUUCAACAACGAAGCACCUCGAUCAAGGGCCUAAAAGAAACUCAACAUCUAUCUUAUCCCAUAGAUUACAGAAAGGCUUUAGAAGUUGCAAAACAGCCGCACCUUAGUAUAUUUCUAAGAAAAAUUCUCAUACACACAUAGAAAGGGACACAUAUGAAUGCACAACAAAACCUCUGAGGCUCUGCUACAAAAAACUAUGCCUUUUUUACCUAAAGACUGACUACAUUGAGUGACUGGAUUUGGAUUGCCCAAGAAUCCACAGUUCAUACGAGCAGUGCUGCUGUUGGACCCUUUUUCUACAAUUGUCUCAUCAACCAAAGAGCUUUAGCAACAAAAUUAACGGGUAUAAAGCAGGCAUAUGCUAGAUUUCUAGAAAGACGACAGAUCGAAUGAUAAUAAUUUCCUUUUUGAAAAGAACGAAAUGUAAUCUUCAGAAUCAAUAUGCAAUAAUGAAGAUGUAGGUAACUACAUAUUUUUCAACUCCAAAAACUUGUUGGAAACAGAAAGGAAUCUGCUGAUGAUACAAGAACAAGCAUUAAUUUACAUGAUUAUAAGGAAUAUUAAUCCUCCUAUACCUGGCGACGAAAAACACCACAAAAGGUGCAAUUAUUCUUUAAACCGAUCACCUUCACUAUCUCAUCCAUUGUCCAUCCAUAUAAAUCCUUGUAUGAAACAAUCUUCAGUGGCAGACCAUACUGCAGAGGGGAAAGAAUGUAGGAAUAAACAAACACAAGGAUGAAAAAACGAAUACAAAUGCAAUAGCGGUUGACUAAAAUAAUCUGUUAAAUUUUGCAUUUCCGUCCAUAUACAAUUUACUCUCUAACAAGUAAGAAAUUGAAUUUUACAACAAUAAGAACAAGUAGAAAUCAGUUUAGUCAAAUUAAAAGAAAAAAGAAAAUUCAAGUUAAAAAGAGAGAGACAGGGAGAGGGAGGAAAUUGCAUACCUGAAUCUCAUUUCUUUUGACAGUUUCAAGUGAAUCAUCCCUGUAUCCUGAAAUGCCUUCAUCAAUAGAUAGGAGGAAAAGAUCAAGGCCGUAGUUGUGACGCCGGUUCAGCUCUGACAACACAAAAGCAAGGACAGUGGAAUCUGCAACAAACCAAACAUGUACGAGCAUCAACGAAAUUAAAACGGCAAUAGCAAAAAACAUACGAAAGUAUGAUGACAACAGCAUGAAAAAGCAAUAACCUUUUCCACCAGAGGCGCCGAUGGCAAUACGCUCACCAGGCUUGAAUAGCUGAUUGCCCACAAUGACUUGGUGGAUCUCCUCCUCAAAUACCUCAUAGAAACACUCCCUACAUAUCUAUUUUACAUAAUAGCAAACACGCCACGACUAAAGCUGGUGUUAUUAAUUGACGCACAGAGAAUUUAGGGGAAAAAAAAAAGGGUUACCUGUUCUAGGGUUUUAGGUCGUUUGAGGGCAGCCUUUCUCUGGUUACAGGUGGAACAAAGGCGGCCACCGGCCUUCUUGGACUUCGACUCGGCGACCUCCAUUGACGGUUAAUGGCCCACAAAGUAAACUAUGAAGAGACAAGCUAACAGACUUACAAGAGAUCAAGUUUGGGUUAUGAGGGAAAAAUUGAAGAUUUGAGUUUGCUUUUGCAGUGCGGCAACAGCUUCUCGGAAUGGAACUGUUAUGAAAGCAGCGGUCCGACCGGCACCCUCACCCCUUCCAAAGUCUCUAGACCUUCUCAUUCCCUAAACUUCUUUUAUUACCAUAAUAUCCUUAACUAAAUUACAAUUAAGGACAAUCAAUUGGACAAAUAGACGAAACCUAUUUUUCUCUAUUCAACUACCGUGUUGACUUUUAUGCUGAUAUAGCACCGCUCAGAUUUUUAACCUUCUCAAAUAUUUGAGAGAAGUCAAACUCCCAGCUUUUUUUUUAGACUGAGAGUUUGAGUUCCCUCAAAUAUUUGAGAGGGUUAAAAAUGUGAGCUGUGCUAUAUUAGCAUAAAUGUCAACAUAUGUCAGUAUAUAUAUAUGAUUAUACAUUUCAGUUAUACUCUCAUAUAAUAUGAGUUAUAAUUUAAACAAUAGUCUCAUGUCAUAAAAAAAAAAAAAAAAAAAAAAUCUACCUUGUUUCACUCGAACAUCGGGAUUUUGUUAAAUAAUUACAAUAUUUCGGUCGAUAACUCAAUACAUAGUAAUUGUAUUUUACACGCCCAAUAAUAUAAAUUCACAAGAUACUCUCAAACAUAAAAGCCGCGACAAGAAUCUUAAGAGUUGGGGGGCCAAAAAAAAAAAAAAAAAGAGAGAUUGCAGUGGGAAGUUUUCAAGAUCUGCAAAUGCCGCCUUACCCUUACGUCAUUGAGUAAUUCCCUUGGGGUUUCUCACUGUAAAACAUCGGAAUUUUGUCAACUUAUUCACAGACAAUUUUAAAUUAUUUAUAGGGUAUCAUGCGGUCCCGAAUUCACGAUCUAUCUAAAUGCUUUUUAGUAACAGUAUAAAAAUAACACAUUAAUUCAAUUAGAUGCGUGAAGAGAGCGAAAAAGGCAAAAUAUUUGUUUUCUAAAGAGAGAUUAAUUGACUUCAAUAGAGAAGUUUAGUAACGGCUAUAAAAUAAAUUAUAUGCAAAAGACAAAUGAUUUUUUUAAUUAAGGAUAUUAUUGAGAUUUCUGAAGGUUUAUACAGUAAAAUACGAUUUUUUAAUUUAAUAGAGAGUUUGUUCAGUAAAAAUAGGUUUAAUGAGUAAUAUUAUGAGUUGAAAUAAGCUCACUCAACUCCAUUUUCUAACUUACAAUUUUAUCCGCGAAUUAAUUAUAUUAAAAGAAAAAAAUAAUUCAAAUAAAAAAAAUAGCCUCAGUACAUUCUUUAGUAUUACAUAAACCGAUAUGUUCCACUAUAAUGAUGGACCUAUUUGUUAUUGUGGUUAGAAAUUUUAUGCUACAACAUUAAAUAAAAUAUUGCGUAAACACUAAACACAUACGACUCCAGGUUGAAAGUUGAGUUGGCACUAUAAAAAUUCAAUAAUUUCUUUAUUAUUUUUAUCAAAUCAUUAAUUUUUUUUAUGCUUAAAAGCCGCAGGCAAAUUAAACCUUUCUGAAAAAUACAAACGAUUAUACUCCUAUAAAAGAUUUUUUUUGCUCCAAUUUCUCUUGAGAACAAUAACAUAUCGUUCUCAUUUAUAACAUAGUUAUUGUCAUCUUUUAAGACCCACCUUGAGAUCCCUUCCGAGCUCGAUCACGGUUGUAAACAAACCCAAGGUUAAUAAAGGGUUCCAUUCCAUCGAGGCCGUUGAGCUUGAGCUGUAAGCAAUAUUUGUCUGUCUACCUGAAAUUGGGAUCGAAGUUCACUGAUUUCAAGGCUCUAGCUAUGGCCAAUGGAGGUGGUGUAACUAAGGAAUAUGCCCCCUAAAACCAAUUUUGAUCAAAUCAUAAUGCUACAGUGGGAGAAACAGUAGCCCCCCAACAAAAAAAAAAUUUCGACUGAUAUUUUAAAAGUUAUGAAAUGUAUGAAACUAUUGAUAAUUUAUACAAAAUGUAACAGAAAAUGUGUGUGGAUACAUACUCGCAGAUUCGCACUGGAAACAUUAAGAUCAACUUUUAACUCACCAUGCCCAAACCUAACUUGUACAAGGUCUUUCUGUGAACCGGCAGAAGCACCGUCUAUAACACAUUGAAACUAUUGCUUACAUGCAGGUAAGAAGUUAGCAGUCACGCCCUGAGUCACCCUUAAGUCGUUGGUAUAUGUCACUCCGUAAAAUCUCCGCAUAUUCCUGCAAUAUUAAACCCCCCAAAAAGAGAGAAAUCUUAAGAUCUGAACAAUAUAAUAAUCAUCAAGCUUCAAAAGUAGAACAUAAUUGCUGUUACAGAGCAUCACAAACCACAGUGGUAUGGUACUUACGUCUGCAAGAUCCUCAUCACUGCAUAACUCAGUUACAAGAUCUUCGCGGCCGCUUCCAUUGCAAUGAAGCUGGCCAGCAUUUUGGACAACGGCUCGGAAGACCUCUCCAGGUGGAUCCAAGUGCUCAAUCCUCUGAACCACUUGUUGGAUUCCUAUCUGGAAGACAAUUAAAUAAAUCAGGAAAUAGUUACUAACACUGAUUGAUAAAGCAAAGUCCUUAUCAACACAUAUGGUAAUAAGGCAAGAAAAGUAAUCAGUAACAGUUUCCUUCCAGCAUCUAUAUGCAUAUGCCCAAGAAAUUUCUCGUAUGUUACAGGAUAUAAAACAAUAGAGUUUCAUCAACACUCGUAUAACUACACCCGGGUAUCGCAAAAUUGAAUAACACAAGAAUGGUUAAACACAAAGGAAACAGCCUUUUGAGUUAGUUGCCUGAAUCGAUUUUAGCAGAGUCAAAAAUCAAAACCAUCCUGUAAAACAUGAGAUUUUAACACUUAAUUCAGUUUACUAACUUCCCAGGUUCUUUACUAUUUUGUCUUUUCAGAACGUGUACAAACCUGAAUUGGAUCAUCAGGGUUGUCCACCCCACUUGACCUCCUCUCACUACACCGAGGUGUGCCAGAAAGGGGUUGAGGCGUAGAUCCACGACCUAGAGCUUGAGAAACAACAGGCAUCAUCUGUUGGACCAUUCUUGACAAGUCAAUACCACCAGCCCGACCACCCCCUAACCCUGAAAACAUGUUUCCCACAUCCUGGGUGUCAAUCUGCUGAGCAAUUUGAUUCACAGUAUUCAAGACUUGCGGGCUCUGAGUGAGCUGCUGCAGCAUAUUUCUCAAUACAUCCGGAGAACCAAUCCCAGUUUGCUGUGAAAACCCUGACAAUAGACCAUUCAACUCAGUGCUACGUAGAACUUCAGAUAUAGCACUUGCAGUGUCAACUUGGCUGUCGGUGUCUUGCCCUCCUGACUGUUUACUCUCUGUGACCCUCUCAACUACAGGUAAUUGACCACAGGAUAGCUCAUUUGCAUCUGUCCCAUUCCUUACGGAGCUGGAAGAUGCAAGAGUUUGCAAGAGAUGCUGGCCAACAGAUGUAGAGUUCAAGUUUUGAUCAAGAGGAGCAUUGCUCAUUCCACCAUCACUACCCUUGACCGGGGUCUUUGGCUGCCUUGGCCGCCUCUGAUCACAUAAAAAACAAGGGAGUUGCAAGCAAUCAGAUAGCAGAAGACAUCAAAGGAGAACACAUCAGAGAAAAUUGAUUAAUAUACUGAAGCAGAAGGGUUAGCACACAAAGUGCCAUAGAGAAAGACUUUGGAGAAAAAAUAAUUACUAAAAUGGAGUGCUUAACAGUAUCAAUGUAAUACUUGGGUAAGUAAACAAAGAGCCAUCUGACAAUCAUGAAGAUCUAGCCUGCGAAAAAUUCCAUGCACAUAUUUGAGUAGGAAUCUUUUUUUUCCCUUCUUUUUUUUUUCUUUUUAAGGAUCUUGUCAGAAGACUUGGAUCUAACAGCAACUUCAAAGUACCACAAUAUGAAGGAUAUUUCGAAUAUUUUUUAAAACGAACAAAAUUAUCAUACCUUCCGUUCUAAACCCCCCACCCCCAAUCCAAGUGGAGCAGCUUUGGAACCCUCCUGCAGAUCUUGCUGCUUCUCAAUAGAUCCAAGAGCAUUUCCUGAAUUGUCUUCUGACUCUCCACUUGAUGAACUCUGAGCACCUCCACUAGAAGAUGAUGGUGCAUCUUUAGAACUCAAGACGCUCCCCAUACCUUCAUUAGUCCUUACAUGAUCUCCUUCAGGUAGUGCCUGCUACAUUAUCAGCAGUGGUCAAAGGAAAUCACAAAAUUAUUCCAAUUUGCAUCAUCCAAGGUUUUUAUACAAAGCAAACCUUCUGACUUUCACUUUCCGGUGUGUUCCCGGAUAAAGAGACCAUAAGUUCACCAACUCUGUUAACUGGUGUGCUACUGGGCUGUUCAUUGCCAGCAUAAUUUCCUACCAUAGAUCCAUCAGAUAAAUUCUGCCCCGCUGACAUCACUUCAGCUACAUACAGAAAGAGCAGUAUUUGUCAACCGUGCAGUCAUUAGUACAUGAAUUAGUAUCAAAGGUACCUACCUGAUGGAACCUGGUUUUCUCCUUGCAUGUUACCAACAAAGUUCCUGAUUUGUGAAUUCACUUGAUCAACAACAGAGGAUAGCAAACCUGAGUUGGCAGAUAGCUGAGGUACGGAUAAGCCUGGACCAGGUUGGGCUACAGUGGAAAUUGCAGCAGCAGUAGGACGAGAUGGUACAGCUGCUGCAAUGAUAUUUCUCACAGGUAGGACCCUCACUGAACCAGAACCAGCCAACUCUGCAGAACCAGUACUAUUCCUGCGUUCUCCCUGCACUCCAUCCCCAUUACUUGCCCUGGUACCAAUUGUUGAAAGAACAGGUGCUAGUGCAGUGCCUAAUAACACGUACACCAUCAGAUCCAUAAAAGUAUAAGCAGCACGUUAUGCAUAAAAUUUACCUACCAGCAUGUAUAUGAAUAUUUAUGUUCCUUGGGGCAUGUCCAACACCAACUGGGCCAAUAUUCAUGGGAUUUGAUGAAGGAACUGAACCGCCAAACAAAGAGCUGGUUUGGAUGGGAAAUGGCUGUAAAUAAAGGAAAGCCAUGAAUAAAUAGGUACAUUAUAACCAGCUUUUUUUAAUCAUUUCAAAUCCUAAGAUUGUAGCUAGUCAAUCGUAAAAGAGCUCAGCAUUUAAAUUGUCAGAGAGAUACAGUGACAGAAACACACAAUUGAAGCAACAUAAUCCAAGGAAUAAACUAUCUCCUAUGCAAUUCCAAAACCAUCAUAUUCACUGCAGACAGCAAAUUUCACUACUACUCACACUCUCAUUUUCUCUCUUUAAGCUCUAUACUCUUUAGCAAAGGUUUUCAUUACCUUUUUCCAGCCAAAUACAGCACUCUGUAUCCCCUCCCUGUCUACAUGAAAGGAGUAUAAUUUUAUACUGCAGUAAGCAUAUUAUGUACUGUUCCUCCACCAUGCAUAAUUAUUAAAAUCUGUCAGCUGGUAACAGAUUUUGCCAGUACGUACAACAUAUUUACUGUCCUAGGAACAGCUAACUUAACACAUUACUGUUACAAACCACCAACAUCAUGUUUAUCCAACCAUUCACCACAGCACAGGAAGACCCACUUAUACCCUCAAAAAUUAUUCUACAUGUGUGAUAUAUACCCCAACAUAUGAUACAUAAUUAUUGACUAACCUGAACCAUUAUUGGAUUAGGUCCUGAUGGAGAUAUAUAAACAGCAGGGCCAGCAUUGACAGAAAAUUCCGCCUGCAAGUUGCAGUGGAAAAAAAAAAAAGGUGAAUAUGUACUCAAAAAGGUGAACAUGUAAUCACAAAAAGAGCCAAUAUGCAGAGGAUAGACUAGAACAUACAGGAGACUGCCCCAUACGGAGUGUCAAAAUUACACGACCAAGCUCUAACAGAAGAGAACCCAAGUGUUGCAUUGCAAAUCCUAUUUGCACAGAUUCUGCCUGAAUUUGACCCCUGAUAUUAGGAUCUGAAGAAGCACCCUCUUGCUCCAAACGUCCUGCGAUAUGCUACAUUAUAAAUAACACUUAAUCAGAUUACUAGAGUUAUCCCUCCAAGAAAAUAAUAAUAAUGAUGAUGAUGAUAACAAAAGAAAGAAGCAAAGUUGGUCCAUUUUCAGCAACUUUAUCUCAAAAACUUUUCUUUCAUAAGAUAUGAGUGAUUAUAAAAUAUUGCUUUGAUAUUGGUAAAGUGCAUGCUUUAGCUUCAAUAAGCAAUCAAAUCUUGAUUCCAAAUACUACCAAUAUGCACUGAUAACUAUGUGCGAUGCAUUUCAGAAAAAAUGAAAAAAGAAAAAAAAAUUGUGGUGAUUAGCGAAAUAACUUUCUAUAAUUUAAAAUGUGCAAUUACAAUAAACAAAAUCAGCAAAAGAUUCAUAAGUUCGUCUGAUCAACCAGCAAAAGUAGAAAGAAAAGUCAAACCCAAUAACAUUAAGGAAAUAACUGAUCAAUACAACAGUAUAGAAAACAGACUCUAUAAACACAGAUGUAACAAAGGGAUUGAAAAUGCAAACUCAGCUCUGACUAGCUUUACAGAAAGAUAUAUGCUUUCCGUUCCAAGAUAAAUUUUAAUGAAAAUAAUCCACUAAUAUAUGCUAUUGGAAACCAGGCACAAACACAUCUCAGUUUCAAACAAAGAUAAGGAUCCACCAAUGCAAAGACAAAAAGUGAAAAGAAGUGUUCCAAGAAUAGUAUUUACAGAGAGUGCAGCCACAGUGUGACCACUGAGAAGCCUUUGUGCACGUUGCAGGACAAUGUUCAAAGCUUCAGGAGUUGGCAAACCCCGUUCGUUGGAUGGUAAUUCAGGUCGUGGUACUUCUUCAUUACUAGUUGAUGAUGUAUUUGGCUGAUACCCUAUACAUCACAGAAACAGUUAGUUGGAAGUUAUAUCAAGCACAGAAGCACAAGACAAUGCUUUAGCACAAUCACCAUUUUGGGACAGUGUCUGCUCCAUGUGGUUCAUAAACUCUGAAAUUGUAUUUAAAGAAUCAGGAAUUGGCUGAAACCAAUAAAGAAAUGAUAUUAGUAAAUAAUAAAGGCAUAUAACAAGUAAACAUGCACAAAUAGAUAUUUCCAUACCACAUUAAGUGAAGGAAAUGGCACAGCUCCUGCUGUCUGAGGAAUUUGCACAACAGGAGGUGACGACGAUUGACCAGGAUAUGGCUGUCCGGACUGUGCUUGAUUUCCCACUUGGCUUUGAUUCCCAGCAUGCCCACCACUGCCAGCUGUCUCAUUUCCUUGUUGAGGCUGAGCAUGAAUAUUUGACUGCAAAUAAUAACACGAUCAUUUGAAUACACUAAACACAUACACAGGUAUUUCCGAUUGCAGCAAAGAACUACACAAAUCAGGAAAAUGAUUUAAAUGGCUACUUAUACUGAUGACAGACACCAUAAUGAAUAGGCAAGCUUAAAGAAAAAGAUUGAUUUCAAAUAUUAAACUAGGCAAGCCAGGCAUAAACACAUUUUCAGUAAAGGUUAAACAUGACAGCCACAAAUGGAGCUACACAGCCAAAUUUGUCUAUAAAACUGUGAAAAUAUGUUCAUGUGAAUGAAUGCAUUGCUCAAAACAUUCGAUUGGAUAAAAGAAUGUGACAACCACAAAUGGAGCUACACAGUCAAAUUUGUAUGUAAAACAGUGAAAAUAUGUUCAUGUGAACGAAUGCAUUGCUCAAAACAUUUGAUUGGAUAAAAGAAUAGCAUAAUUAAGGAAAAAUGUCUCCGGCUGCCACUUCCAUUUAAAAAAAUAAAAGAAAACCCAUCCCAUGAGCGAGAAAGUAAAUUAUGUAGAAGGGAAGGUUGAAAGAUGCUCCAUCACGCUAGCACAAAGACAUAAAAAAAUUAAAAAAUGCAAACUUACCAAAGUUGAAAACUGUAUGCCACUAUUACUGCCAGUAGCUGGGGUCUGACCACCAAUUCCAAGGGAAUUGAUAAGUGCCCCAAUAACCUACAAGUCAACCAAUAAGGGGUUAACAACUUGUGGAAACAACAAAAUACAAAUCCUUCCAUCCUUCCUUCUCUUCCUGCAACAGCAGUUAAAAAACCUGAUACAAAAAUAUAUUAAAGCCCACCAAGUUAAGAAAAAAGUAAUAUUUUCAGACGCACCCGAGUGAGGUCUGGAGCAAUGCCUUCACCUUGAUCCCCAACAUUGAAGGUCCCAAGAAGUACACUGUGAGAAACUUGCCCCAUACGACCACGAGGGGCAUUAGCAUUGGCUUCGCUACCUGCCAAAUUAGGACAGAAACCAUGACUAACCGACUUAGAAAUGAUCAACAUUGCUGUAAGAAAAUGCUCGGAAUUACGAACUGCCGGAGAAUCCUAAUUGGAGAAUCAAUACCUCCAGUAACAUUGUUCCCAUUUGUCUCUCCAGAGCUCGCAUCAGAUGAAGGCUGUGAUUGAGCUGGCUGCCUAACUACCAAAUGCAGUGUAUGGCCAUUCUCAACAUCUAAAAACAGUCAAGGAAUUCACGGAAUUGCAGUGAUAGAAAAAUCCACUUAGAUGGCUAAAUGAGCCAUAAGAUAGUGAUAAAAUACUGGCGUAAUAAAACAUCAAUACAGCAAGUGAAACUAAGAAUAUAUGCCAAACAAAUCGCAGCCCAGAAACUCUUUAACGCAAAAAUAAAGAUUGCAUCAAUGGGGAGAUACGGUAUUCAGAAAGGAGAUGUUCAUCCUUCAACACCUUUCCCCUGAAUAUCAGUCGUUGCUGGCCAACUGGGACACCAAUAUCAUUGGCUAUCUUCUCCUUGAAUAAUGAAACUGGGAUCUGAAUCAGAAUGACAUUAUUUAGAAAUGAAUCCAGUGAAGUUCAAAUUUUCCAAAGAAAAGAAAUCGAUUAGCACAAUGAAUUUGUGAAUUUAAACAAUUUGGAGGUCCCAUUCAUGAUAUGCAAAUUGUAUGAACGAAAACUGUUAUUUCGGUCAUCAAUAAGAAUGAAAAUGCCAACCAAAAUAACAGAAUAACGAUUACAGUGAAUUGAAACAAGAAGCAUGAUCAAGACUUUGCUCACAUUUUUGUCAACUUGGAAACUAUAAACCUGGGAUUCUAAAGUCUUGACAUUGAUCUCUACAAUUGCAUCUGAACUUUUGCCAGAAACAUUGCCUGUGCUGGAACUCUCAUUGGGAUAUUGAUCCGCCAUGAUAAGCAGCAGCAACCUGAGUGCAAAAUCAGUUACUGUACAAAUUCAAACUCUGACAUACAAGCAAUCGCAUAUCACAAAUGCAAAAUGGUACUUUCCAUUUUCUAAGUUUAUUGCAAUCUGAAGUUUACAGAAUAUCUAUCUAUCAGCACUGGCGUUAGCAGCGGAUGCACUGGCAUGCAAUUAUUCAGAUAACGAAUGCGACAAAGGACAUUUAAUGCUUAAAAUGAAAAGAUGCUAUGCAGCACUUUGAAAAGUUUUAAAUGUCAGCAUUAAACAUUUUCAUGUAUAUGGAUGUUCUUUCUCGUCUUAAGUUGCAAUAACAUGAAAGAGAUACUAUAAAACAGACACAUUGCAACCAAUGCACUUACUUAACGCUAGAAUACACAAAGUAAGAGCCAUCCUAUACCUCCAUAAAAUCAUAACGAAUAUAAUACACUCUCUCUGAAAUAUACCUUCCUAUCAAAAUCUAACCUAAUGCGGCAUCUAAAGGCAAACAAGAUCCCGAUUCUAACAAAUUGCAAGAAGGAAGAUGACAUAGUUUUCAAAGCAAGAAAUUAUGCAUGGUGAGUUUAUAAAACCCUAAUGCUGAUCAAAUCCUGAAUGCAUACAAUAAAAAUCCACAAAAAAAAAAAAAUACACUUCUUCAACCAUUACUCAGCUUUUAUUAUAAAAAAGAUGCUGGAGAUCGCAAUCAAUCAUAACAUCAAGGCGAAGAGAAAUAAAAAUAUUAAAUAAAUAAAAAGUUAAUCCUUCGAUACAAAAGCACUAAGAUAAAACAAAAAUUAGAUACUAAAAAUGCUAAACAGAACGAGUUCCGCUAUCUGCUUAGGGCGUGCAAGAAUAAAAUCGUGACACGUUUAAUCCGUAUAUAUAGCCCUCCCCCCCCCCCCAAAAAAAAAAAAACAGAUACAAAGUAUUCAAGAGAGAUAAGAGCAGGAAAAAUGGAAAACACGAGAGGAACCUUUAGUUGCAGAAAUCUGAAAUUAAAUUAGAGUGCAAAGACGACGGGAAAAAUACGGCGGCGCCGAUUUGAGUGUUAUUUAUUUAUUGUCGUUGGUUGGGGAAGGGGGGUUAUUUUUGAAGAAAGGCUUGGCUCGGGUCUCUUAACGAAUGCGGAAUGCCUUUGGGAGUAAGAAAAGAAGUCUUCUUUGGUCUAGAUAGUAGAUAGAGAACACGGGUGAUAGGGCGGUGCCGCGGUACGUGACCCGAGUUGACCGGAUUUUAGCAGCUUUAAUGAACUGUGCAAUCGAUUAUACCACGAGGUACGUUUGGCAAGAAGAAUCUAGAAGCUUGAGCGUAAGGCUGUGCGAGCGAAAUUCAUUCUACGGUGCCGUUUUGUUGGUGGUCUUGGUUUUCAGGUUGGAUGCAAGAAAGUUCAAUAUGGGCCUCGACAAUUCAAUAAGACCUGCCCAUUCCUAGAUGGACUUACAUUAUUGCCACCCCUCUAAAUGCCUCUUAAAAUCUAUUUUCUUUACUAAUCUCAUUAAAACGUUUAAAAAUAAUACAACGUGUUUUUACUAGUUACGUUAAAAAAAAAAAAAAAUCAAUUGAAACUUAUUCCUGUAAAUCAACGCCAUUCUUUAGUAUCCUCUUGUUCACAUUCCUCAACCAAUUUUUGUUUGUUUGUUUGUUUGUUUUAAGCAUUAUUGGCAUAAUUCAGUGUACUGGCAACCAUGUGCAUGGCUUGUAGAUUAUUUCAAUUGGAUCGAUUUUUGACGAGGCAGCAAUGAUGGUGGCUCGACUUGGGUGUGGUCGGCUCGUGAGUGUAGUCGCCUAGUCGGCUUGAUGGGGAACGUGCAUAUUAGGCCAGUUUUGUGGGGGCUGGUGGCGUGAAAGAUUUGCGUCUCCCGUCAAAGGUGGGAUUGGUUAGAUCAGCUUGAUGUGGAGGAGUGGCGGUUCGAUUUUGUAGUGGCUGUUGGUGUGGCGGUAGUGUGGCAGUUGAAUGGUAGUUGUUUUUGUAUAGUGGCGGUGGGUUAGAGUGUGGAAUAGUUUUCGGGUUAAAGCACGUGGCGGUGGUUUGGAUGGGAGUAGACGGCGUCAUUGUUGUUUAGUGAGUGUCCGCAACGGUGGGUCGUCGCCACCGUCAGCCAAAUAAGCCAUAAAAGCCAAUCAAGGUGUUUGGUGCAGUUUUGCCGCGAAACAGAAAAUUUUUUACUUUUCGGUGAGGGUUUAAUUAGUAAUUAUAUCCCCUUUAAAAAAUAUUAGUAACUAUAUCCGAUAAGUAAUUUUAAUAAAAAUUAAAAGAGUGUGGCUAUCAAGGAUGAGUGUCUCUAUACUCAUUCUUGAUAUUUUACAUACGUCCUUGUUCAUAAUUAUUUGAAGGAGUUUUUGUCCCCUUCAUGAAUAAUAAUAGGAUAUUCACGAGGUUUUUGAUUUUUAAAUAAUUAAUACGUUUUUAAUUUUUUUAUUUUAAUUUAAUUAUAUUAAAAUAAAAAAUUUAAAUAAAAGUUGAGAUAAAACGGUUGCUGUAGAAAAUCAGAAAUUAUGUUUUACAAUUUUACUUUAACUUUUAUUUUAUUAGAUAAAAAAUUAAAAUAUUUAAUAAAUAUUAUAAUAAAAAAUUGGGCCAAUAGGAUCAUGUCUAGUAUUUUUAAUGUUCUGAAUAAAAAUUUAAACUACAACCAUUCAAUUAGGUCUAAAAAUUUAAUAAUAUAAAUAUUUUGAUAUUUAUUAUUUAAACCAAUAUUUAAUAUUGUACAAUUUAAAUUUGAUUAUUUAUUCACUAAUAAUUUUAAAAAAUAAAACUAAAAUUAAAAAGAAAAAAGAAAAAAAUAUGGAUGGGAUGGGAUUCACUUCAUCGCCGUCCCUUCUCUUAAUAAGAAGUUGGGUAAAAACUGGUUCCAAUCAUUUUCCCUAAUAAGAAAUUAUAUAUAAAAUUAUUCUCAUAUGAUCUCCAAAUGGGAAAAAUCCCCAACGAUCCCUAUUUCCAUAGAGAUUUCUGCCAUUCUUAAGAGCUAUUUGAAUUCAUUAAAUUCUUCUUUACACUUAUUUACUUAAUAAAUCUACUAUUAAAAUCUUAAAAUUAAAUUUUUACCGUAUAAACUUCUUAAUAGCACACAAAUAGUCCUAAUAAUUAUAUAUUAUUGCUGCAUAUUAUUUUACUCUUGAGGUCCAUUGAGCCCCUUUCAUGUUUAUCUCUUACUCUUCGUUGUCAUUUUCUCAAUUUCUUUGUAUUUAUGAUUUUAUGUUGCAGAUCUAGUAUAUUGAAAAACCAUCUCUUUGUUUUGAAAUUUGUUUAAUUUUAUGACCCAAAUAUUGGGACCCAAAUACAUAAUCAUUCAUCUAAAAUCUCAAUCAGAUAGGGCAUCUUGCAUCCUUGUUCUAUGGAGGUGUGCUAUCUGAAUUCACUCUUACAAAAUAUUGCUAUUGCAACUGCAGCAAUCUAAAAUCAUUCAUGUAUCACGGUGAAAAAAAAAUAAUUAUAAAAAAAAAUAUUUUAUUUAAAGUUGAGGAGAUGGUUACGGCUUAUGGAGGGUGCAAUCAUUUAUGGUGCGUUUAUUUCAUGGGAAUGGGAAUGGGUUGGAAAUGAGAAAGUGAAUAAGGAAUGGGAAUGAGAUUUCAAUGUUUACUUGACAAAAAUAAAUGGGAAUGAGAAUGUGCUGCAAUGUCAUUGAUGUGUUUACUUGCCAAAAUAAAUGAGAAUGAAGAAUGAGAAUGAGAAUCAAUUUACCAAAAUACCCAUAGUAUUAAUAAUUAAUAAAAAUAAUUAAUUUAUCAUUAUUAAAAAUAUUAUCAUUAUUGUUGUUGUUGUUAUUAUUAUUAUUAUUAAUAAAAUAUUAUUACUAUUUUUAUUAAUAUUAUCAUUAUUAACAUUUAUUAUUAUUAUUAUUAAAUUUUGUUAACUUUAUUAUUUUAGUUAUUAUUAAUUUUUGUUAUUAUUAUUAUUAUUAUUAAUAUUAUCAUUAUUAACAUUUAUUAUUAUUAUUAUUAUUAUUAUUAUUAUUAUAUUUUAUUAACUUUAUUAUUUUAGUUAUUAUUAAUUACUGUUAAUAUUAUUUUUAUUAAUAUUAUCAUUAUUAACAUUUAUUAUUAUUAUUAUUAUUAUUAUUAUUAUUAUUAUUAUUAUUAUUAUAUUUUAUUAACUUUAUUAUUUUAGUUACUAUUAAUUAUUGUUAUUGUUAUUGUUAUUAUUAUUUUUAUUAAUAUUAUCAUUAUUAACAUUUAUUAUUAUUAUUAGUAUUAUAUUUUAUUAACUUUAUUAUUUUAGUUAUUAUUAAUUACUAUUAAUAUUAUUUUUUAUUAAUAUUAUCAUUAUUAAUAUUUAUUAUUAUUAUUAUUAUUUUAAUUAAUAUCAUUUUUAUAAUAAUAUUUAUACAUGUAUGUACAUAAUGAAAAUUACAUUGUUAUUAUUAUUAUUAAAUUUUGUUAACUUUAUUAUUUUAGUUAUUAUUAAUUUUUUUAUUUUUUUAAUAAUAAUAAUAAUAAUAAUAAUAUAAUAAUAAUAAUAAUAAUAACACCAACAAUAAUAAUAAUGAUAAUAUUGUUAAUAAUGAUAAAUUAAUUAUUUUUAUUAAUUAUUAUUUUUAUCAUUAUUUUUAUUGUUAAUAAUGAUAAUAUUAAUAAAAAUAAAAAUAAUUAAUAAUAACUAAAAUAAUAAAGUUAAUAAAAUUUAAUAAUAAUAAUUAUUAUUAUUAUUAAUGACAUUUAAAAUAAUAAAAUUAUUUUAAUUUGAACAAAGGUAAUUUAGGAAAUAUGAAAAAAUUAGAAGGAUAUAAAAAUAAAUUUAUGUUUCAUUCACAUUCUCACAUUUUCAUUUCCAACCCCCCAUGGGAAUGAGUUUCUCAUUCUUUAUUUCUAAAUUGUGUGAGACCCACACAAUUUAUUUUCAUUCCCAAAUUCAAUUUUGUCAAGUAAACAUAACUUUGAUUCCAAUUCCUCUAUUCUCAUUCAUUAUUCCAAGAAGUAAACACACUGUUAGAUAAUUAACUUAUUUAUCAUUUUUAAUAGUUUUACAUUAGACUAUGUUUUGUUAUAUAAUUUUUUAUAAAAAAAUGGAUCUAACAAGAAUUUCUAUGGAUCAAAUAAUAUCACCCAAGUGAAAAUUAUAGAAUAACUAAUGGGGUAAUGGAGUUUUACGAGGCAUGUGGAGGGUUGCAUAUAGCCAUAUAGGCCUAGUCUUGCAUAAGUUUGUGUUGGAUUGGCUUUCCAAAGAUAAAGACAAUAUUUGGUAUAACCACAGUUAGGUGGGGCUAUUUAACCUAUUAAUUUCUUCUAUAGAUUUAUCUAAAAAAAUAUAUAUUUGUUAUUAAAUCUUAGUAUUUUGAAAUUUCAAAGUUAACCCCCCCACUAAUUUCGUCCUUUUUCAAUCUCAUUGCAACCAAAAUUUUCCUAGCAUGGUUGUCUAUAAAUAAAACUCUCUUAACUUUAGAUAGAAAUUAAAAUGGAGAUAUUUGUUAAUUUAUAUUAUUUCUUGAGAUAGAAAUUAGGAGGUGUUAGUUUUUCUUUAUGAAAAUUUAGAUGAAAAAUAUGAUUUAUUCUUUAUGGUAUAUGAAGAUUGCAUGCAGAUGUUGAGUUUUGUUCCUUAUUGUUCUUGAUAGAUUAUAACAAUAUCUAUUUGAAUUUUGACCAGUUUGUCUUAUCUCUCAAAACAUCUGCAAUCUAUCUCUAAAAAAAAGCGUAAAAAUUGGUGAGAAAUGUAAAGAACUAUAGAAAAAGAAAAUAAAGUUAGUUAUAGUAUAGAAAGAGAAAAUGUGGUCAGUUAGAUAAUUUCAUCAAAAAAUUAUUAAUAAUAAAAGAUUAAUUGAAAAGAGCGUAUAAAACGAAAAUAAACGGUUUCAAAUAACCCUAUCAAAACACCUUAUCCAUAUAGCCUUAAGAGUGUAUAAAAAAAAAUUUAAUGAUUUCAAAUAACCCUAUCAAAGCACCUUAUCCAUAUAGCCUUAUCGUUGUGUCAGUAGAGUUUAGCCACAAAUUAGUUAUUCUUGCUAAAUUCAUCAAAUUUAAGAAUAAUUUAAUAUUAUGAGAAAAAAAUAAUAAUUAUGCAACAUAAGUUCAUCCUAAAGUGAUUAAUUUAUUAAUAUUAAAGUGAUUAAUUGGUAUACGUUUGAAAAUAAAAAUAAUGCAGAGAAUAUGUUAAAAUUUUGUAAUGAUCAGAUAUAAAUGAGAUAAAUGGGAUGUCAUGCAAGAUAAUUUCUUUGAGUGUUUUUUUAUGUUUAAUUUUUUUUUUUUUUAAAACGACUCUUCAGUCUUCACAAUAUAUUAAAGGACUCACCAAUGAUGCCGAGUCAGUUGGACUCCACCAGCCACCCUCUACUCACUUUUCUUACAGGAAAAAGCCAAAACAACUCUUAAACUCUCUCCGGCAUGGACAUUGAGAAAUCGUCGAAUAAAACCGCCGGGAAACCAAUUCAAUGCAGAGGUAGGUAGCAUUUAUUUAUCACACUGUACAAAUCUUCUAUUAUCAUUAAAUUAAAGUCAUCAAUAAUUCGCCUUGUGCAUGAAAUGAAUUACAAUCGUUGACUUUCGCGUCCACGUCGUCAAAAUCUGUAGCCGCAAUCGCUACAGCUCCAGGAGAGCCUCUGGUUAUAGACGAGGUUAUCGUCGACCCUCCAAAUUCCCACGAAGUUCGGGUUCGGAUAAUCUGUACUAGUCUCUGUCACAGCGACGUCACCUUCUGGAAAAUGAAGGUCUCUUAUCAAAGUCAAACCCUUUUGUAUUAUCUUUAGUUUUAUUUUUUUCUUUAAAAAAAUUAUUUAAUUUAUUUGCUUCUUAUUAUAGUUGUUUUAUUUUUCUUGAAGGAUUUUCCAGCCGUGUUUCCAAGAAUUCUCGGUCACGAGGCUAUCGGGUAAGAAUUAUAUUCUAUCUUUUAUACCUUCGUAAUUUUCUUUUUCCUUGCAUGACGGAUAUGUCUGAUGAAAAACUCAAUCAUGGCUGAUCAUGUGAAUGUGGCUUCAUUAAGCUAGUCAUUAAUUGUUUUGCUUAAUCUAUCCCAAUCUAUUUUUAGUGCUAACGUUGACGCUAGGUUUUCCAUGGGGCCAACUUGGUUGUUCACGAUGAAUUGAGAGUGUUUGGCCCUUGGCUGACAUGGUCUAAAUAAUUAACAUUGUGUUGCAGAGUUGUGGAGAGUGUUGGGGAGAAUGUAGAUGGAGUGGUUGAAGGAGACGUUGUCAUCCCGCACUUUCUGGCAGAUUGUACAGAAUGUGUAGGUUGUAGAUCAAAGAAGGGCAACCUAUGUUCAGCAUUUCCUUUCAAGAUCUCUCCUUGGAUGCCAAGGGAUCAGACAAGCAGAUUCAAAGACCUCAGAGGAGAGACUAUACAUCAUUUUGUCUCUGUUUCAAGUUUUUCUGAGUAUACUGUUGUAGAUAUUGCCCAUGUAGUCAAAGUUGAUCCUACAGUCCCUCCAAAUAGGGCUUGCCUUCUAAGCUGUGGAGUAUCAACAGGUACCAGCCACUGAUUUUGAGGCUAUUAAUUGUCUUGAUUAUAUGCAAUACAAGAUCUCUGUUUUCCACUGCCUUCAGUUCUCUCAGAUCAACUGCAAUUUGGAUUUUAUAGGCGUGGGAGCUGCUUGGAGAACAGCAAAUGUAGAGGUUGGAUCAACUGUUGUUAUAUUUGGGCUUGGUUCAAUUGGAUUAGCGGUAUGAUAUUGUAGAAAAUCGGUUGAGUGUUAUACACUUCCUGUUUGAACUUUUGUAUAUGGUAUACUGCUGAAAUAGGUUCAUAGAUAUCUUUUGGUAUCAGGUUGCAGAGGGAGCGAGAUUAUGUGGUGCUACAAGGAUUAUAGGCGUGGAUGUGAUCUCGGAAAAAUUUGAAAUUGGUGAGUGAAGUUUAUAUGUUGUACGGGCUUAGGUUUGACAGGGAAUAAUCUCCUCAUGUCAUCACAAAUAAAUAAUUGUUUGUGUGGACACAUCAUUAUGAAUCAACUAUUCGAAGUAUUUGAUAGAUACUAAGUUAAACAAUUCUGUUUUAUAGGCUAAUUGAAACUAUGAUUUCUUGAUGUUUAUCCACACAGGAAAAAGGUUUGGAGUUACAGAGUUUGUGAAUUCUAAAAACUGUGGGGAUAAAUCUGUAAGCCAGGUCUUGCUCUCAAUCUAUGAUCUUCCUCUUCUUACUAUUUCUGUUAGUUUCUAAUUUUGAGGUAGAGGAUGCCAUGUCAUGGCACAUUUCAGCUUAUGUCUGAAGUGGUUUUUCCAUUAGGUUGUUUUAUCAUUUAAAGAACAAGCAUUUGCAUCUUUGGGGUGUCAACAAACUUGGAUCUUUUGUGUUGAACCUAAGCAUCACAGAGUAGUUAGUAGUUACUAUAUAAUUGAACAAGUUUGGACCUAAGAUACCACUCUUUUGAACCUUUGAGAGCUUAUGACUCCAUAAACUCUACAUAGGAUGACAAUGAAGCAUAAAUAGUGCAUUUUGUGAAAUCUUCUUUAUUUAUUGAUUCAGUUGAUGAGAUAGCCUGUGACUGCUAUCUCAUAUUUCCUUUUGAUUUUAUGCCUUCUCCCUGUGAUACUGCAGUUUAAGUUGUUAAUUCUUAUUACACUGCAAUGUAGAGGGAUAAAUCUUAUACCUCUGCAAUGAGAUGCUAUGAAUUAACCUACACUGCAUUGCAGUGUUAAGAAGGAUUAACCUACACUCCUUUUAAGAUAAUCAGUUACAGGAUAAUUUAUUAACCUUCUCUGCAUAGCAUUGUUGCAAGGAUAAUCAUAAAUCCAUAAAUACUAUUCAAUAUUAUAUUCUAGGUAUGGGAGAUGGAAACUGUUUAAAGCAAACAAUCUAUAUGCAGCACAUUAUGAAGAGUAAUCUCUCUUUUUUUUUUUUAUUUGAUAGAUUAAUCUUUAACUACUAUUUCACUUAGUUUUUUCUUUAAUCAAUUUGAGCAGAUAAUCAUUGACAUGACUGAUGGGGGUGCUGAUUACUGCUUUGAAUGUGUUGGUUUGGCAUCCUUGGUGCAAGAAGCAUAUGCUUGUUGCCGAAAGGUCUGCUUCUAAGUCUCUCACUCUCUCACCCAUAGUGUUGUACAAGCAGAAUUAAUUUGAUUAAACAUAAGCUCAAUGUGACUAGGGUUGGGGGAAAACAAUUGUGUUGGGAGUGGACAAGCCGGGGUCACAGUUGAGCCUGAGCUCUUUUGAGGUCCUUCAUAGUGGAAAAAUUCUGAUGGGAUCGUUGUUUGGAGGUCUCAAAGCUAAAUCUGAUAUUCCUAUUCUUUUGAAACGUUACAUGGAUAAGGUAAUUUAACCAUUAAUAUAAUGCUUAUUUAUACACACACACACACUUUUGCGUAGCCUAGCUUCCCAAAGAUCUUAUGUUAUGGUAGGUUAUAUAAUGCUCAUUACUUUUGCAUAUUCUUGCCUUGCCUAGCUCACAAAAGAAUCUUAAGUUCUAACUCUAUGGCAAUAAAUUAAUAAUGGUAGUUUUAUAAUGUGGUUCUAGACUUCUGUAUGCUCUCUUCUAGGCUUCACGCUUAUAGACUAAAUCGUAUGGUGACAUAUUAUUGCCAGCACAUCUUUGAUAAUACUUGUAGUGGUCUUAUGUUCCUUUUUCAGGAACUAGAGCUGGAUAAGUUUGUCACUCAUGAGAUGAAGUUUGAAGAAAUCAAUAGCGCGUUUGAUUUACUUAUAGAAGGAAAGUGUCUCCGUUGUGUGAUAUGGAUGGGCGAAUAAGAUUUCUUGCAUUAUUUUCUUGUAUGUACUUUCUCCAAUAAUUACCUCUCAUAUCUAAGCAAAUUGACCAACCAUUUGUGAUGGACCAUGUGUAUAUGAUACAAGAUUCGUUGGUUGAAUAAGUGACUUCUGAAAAAAUUUAAAUUUGAAGAAUCUUUUUUACCUUAUGACCAAGAGCAAUUUAAUUAUGUUAGGGCUCACCCAGCUUUGUAUCUAGAGAUCGAAUGCGUUUGGUAUCAAGCAGAAUUAUAUGCCUCUUUCUUAUAAUGGAUUCGUAUUCUGGGUAAAACUGCACUAUUUUAUUGAUCUUACAGAAAGUAUAUCAUUGAUCAGUUUCCUCAAUCCUCAACCUCUCAGCAUUUGAAUUGGAAGAAUCGCUGGCUGCGCUAAUAUCAUCUGGAUACCUGUUAGGGAGCUUUUAUGUUAGUCCAUUUAACAAGUAGCAAUGAACGAUUUAAGUCACACGACAAAUUACUUCUAGCACAUUUAUUUGGGAGCACUUGGCUAGGUAUCGUUAACGGGAACAUCAAAUUGAAUUUAUUACGUGAAAAACUUUUUUUUCUUUCAUUAUCAUAAUAAUUGCGAUAAUAUUGAUCGACCCAAGAAUAGAAAAUAGUUAAUGGGAACAUCAAAUAGAAUUUAUUACGUGAAAAACUUUUUUCUUUCAUUAUCGUAAUAAUUGCCAUAAUAUUCAUCGACCCAAAAAUAAAUAAAUAGGCGAGUGACAUAUUUGAGUUUCAAUUUGAAUCAUAAUAUUAUGUAUCAUUCAUCUAUGUAUGAUAAAUAUAAAAUAACUUAAUAUUUUAUUUUAUUAUUUAAUAAAUAAAUAUCACAUUAAUUGAAAUUUAAGUUAACACUCAAAUGUUAGAAUUCUUAACAUUACCUUAUUAGAAAUAAGCAUAUAAUCUAUUGAUAUCAUACGGUAAAUUUUAAAUUUCAAAACCGGAAGUUUUAAAUGGAAUGAAUGCACCACGUCAUGAAAUAGCAAUAUGUGUUCAAAAUAAUUCAUUAUAUGGAAAUUUGCAAACUAUAAGACUGUGUUAGGUGGACAUUAGAAUGAUACAGAAUGCUGAUUUAAAUGGAAACUCAAAAAACCCACCACGUCACCAGAUCUGAUGAAUAAUUUGUAACGGAUAAAACCUUUAAAUGGAAACUUGCAAGUGAUAGCCAUUCCCGCUAUCACUUUCUCGCAAUGCUCUCAAUAUCAUUGUUCAGUUCAGUGGCAUGGAUAUUGAUAUCGAGAAGAAACCGUCGAGUAAAAUCGCCGGGAAACCAAUUCGAUUACAGAGGUAGUGAUUGCAAACAAAUAUAAAGAUAAUAAUUAAUAUUUUCAUUUUCUCAAAAGUCAUCCGUAUUUCUCGUCCUGGUCGUGAAAAUCUGCGGCCGCAUUUGCUAGAGCGGCAGGGGGCAGGAGAGCCUCUUGACGUAUAGAAGAGGUUAUUGUGGACGCUCCAAAAACGCACGAAGUUCGACUACGGAUCACCUGUACGAGCGACAUCACAUUCUGGAAAAUGAAGGUCUCUAAUAGAUAUCCUACAACUAUUAUCUUCAAUUUGCUGAAAUAAAUUUAAGCUUUAUGCUAUGAUCUUACAAAUCCGUUCAACACGUCAUAAGGGAGAAAGGCAGGAUUUUACCUUGGUUGGCCAUGAAAUGGACUUGCUGCUCAGCUUGUUUAUGGCCCGUGAAUUCAGCCUUCUGUUCUUCUAAUUUGUAGCAAGUCUUGGCUUCAAUCGCAGCUGCAAAAUCAAGCUACUCAUUCACUGUACAUACACGCACGGUGGGAGAGAGAGGAGAAAAGAUGCACUGCACUUUUUCCUUAAUAUCAAUCUUGAACAGUGAAUUCCCUUAAAUAUUGUGGGGGCGCUCAUGUGUUGAUACAAAAUUGUUCUAUCUCAUUACAAACUAAAAUAAUAUAAUUAAAGGUUAUAUUUAUUCAUAAUAUGCUAUUAUAAAAGAUCUAAUAAAAUUAGACUUGUAAACACAAUAUAUAAUCACUUUAUAAAUGAGUGUAUAAAAAUUAUUCCUUAUUAUUUGACAUCAGUCAUAUAUUAAUUUGAUAGAAUAAAAAAUAAUUAGAAUAAUUUAUACUAGUCCACAAUAUGUUAUAAAUAAAUCCAAGAUAAUUAUGUCACAUUUUAUUUAUAUUAUUUUAUUUUGUUGUUAAUAUAUACUGUAUAUUGGUUUUAUCUUUCUUCAUGGAAUUUCGGUUGUUUUUCCAAAAAUUCUAUGGUCACAAGGCUAUCAAGUAAGAAAUAAUAUAUUUGUCAAGUGUUCUACCUUUCAACCUACCAUUUUUAUGAAAAAAAAUUAGAAUUAUUAAAUAAAAGUUUAUAAUUUACAAUGAAUAUGACUCUUAAAUAAUAAUUUUGAUAAAAAUAAUAAAAAUAUCAUAGGGUUUUCAUUAUAUAAAUGGUGGAUCAAAUCAACUUAACUUUCAGGUUAUAACUGCUAAUAUUUACUGAGAACUUUAAUGUUAUAUCUUUUAACCUAUAAUUAUCCAAUCUCAACAAAUAGGGGUCUUAGUAAACCGCGUUAUUUAAGAUAUUGCAACUAUCCAUAUCAAUUAAGUAGAAAUUAAAUUGAAUUAGUAUCACUAUCACUAUCUAUUGUCAGUGCUGAUAACGCAAGAAAUUUAAUAUUAGCUGCUGGAAUCAUGAUAACGAGAGAGUUUGCCAGGGGACAAAUAAUUAACAAUAAUAGUACGUAUGCAGAAUUGUGAAGAGUGUUAGGGAGAAUGAGGACGAAAUAGGGGAGGGAGAUAUUGUCAUCCCACACUUUGUGGCACACUCAACCGAAUGUGUAGACUGUAGAUCAAAGAAGAGCAACCUAUGUUCAUCAUUCCACUUCGAGAUAUCUUCUUGGAGGAUGCCGAGAGAUAGGACAAGCAGAUUCAAAGACCUAAGUGGAGAGACCAGACACCAUUUUCUGUCUCUUUGAAGUUUUUCCAGGGUACCCUGCUGUACACGUUGCCCAUCUACUCAAAGUUGAUUCUACUGUCCUCCAAAUAGGGCACGCCUUCUAAGCUUUGAUGUGUCAACAAGAAGCAGUCAUUCAGUUUGUUCUGUAUCACUUGCUUUUUAAUUUGGUUGAAUUCGACAAUUCCAACAACUCCUAUUUCGAUUUUUACAGGCUUGGAAAACAGCAAAUGUGGAGGCCGGAUCAACCGCUAUUAUAGUUGGCCUUAUCUUGUACGAUACACAUUAAUUUGUUUGGUUGAGUAAGUGUUAUGUGAUAUAAUUGCUAAAAUAUAUAUGCUCAUAGUCAUGGAUAUAGAUAAUACCUUUUUGUUAUAAUAUAGAGGUUGCAAAGGUUGCAAGACUGUGCGGUGGCACAAGGAUUACAGGUGUGGAUGUGAAUCAAGAGAAAUUUGAAAUUGGUGAGUGAGAUUCUAAUGAUAUACAGUAUUUGGCAUUGGUUUGUCAGGGGAUAAUGGACACAACCUCGUGAGAUCAACCAUUCCAAGCUUUUGAUGUGUGGGUACCAGUUCUAUUUUUAUAGGCCACCGGAAACCAUGAAUUCUGAUUGAUAUUCAUCCACCUCAAAAAAAAAAAAAAACUCGAAGUAAUAGAGUUUGUAAAUUCUAAAAACAGUGGGGAUAAAUCUGUAGGUGACGUCUUGCCCUCUCAAUCGAUUAUCAUACUCUCUGGCUGUAAUAUUUUAAUUCUAUAAUGACUACGGGCGUAGCCAGCAUAGGACCGGGUGGGGCAUGGCUUUUAAAAUUUUUUUUGAUGGUUCUUUUAAAAAACAAAAAUAUAUUUUAUUUAUUAUUUAUAAAAAUGCUUCAGAUGAAUUGUGAAAUUUUGAAAGUGCCACAUGUAAUUUUAAAAAAAAAAUUAUGUUGCCCCUAACUUAAAUGCCUAAUUCUAAAUAAUUUGAUUAGCUAUUAUAAUUUCAUAAAAAACAAUAAAGACAAACAAGAGAACCCUUUAUCAAAUGAAAUCCAUUAAAAAAUCAAUUAAAAUAAGUGAAAUCUAAACUUUACUCUUUUUUUUCGUCUCUUCCAUGGAAUAAAGUGUGGUGCGUGAACUCCAUAGCAGAUUAGGCGAUUAGCUGUGCUCGUCAGUCAUCACCAUGUGCGUGGAUUUCUUCUCACUUUUCUUCUUACUUCAAGAGUUAAACAUUCAUUUUAAUGAGGUAAACACUAAAUUACUUUGUUGCUUGGCUUGUUUAUGUCCAAAAGAUUCAUUUGCAACUUUUAAUAAAAAAAAGUUAUUGCGCCUUGCUCAACUUUAUCCAAGAGAAUUUUCUCCAAUUGAUCUCAUGACACUAGAUAUUCAACUUAAUGUUUACAUAAUGGAUAUACAAUCUAGUGUUGAGUUUUCAAGAAUAAAUGGGAUUAGCGAUCUUGCACAAAAAAUGGUUAAGACUAACAAGCACAAGAUGUUUCAUUGGUCAAUUUAUUAGUCACAUUAUCAUUACUUUUACCAAUUGCCACAGCCACGAUUAAAAAAGUUUUUUCAACUAUAAAUUAUGUGAAGAAUCGACAAUGAAAUUGAAUGAAAGAUAAAUGGUUGAAUGAUAAUCUGAUAGUAUACAUUGAAAAAGAUGUAUUUGAUGGCAUUGAUAAUGAAACUAUUUUACAACAUUUUCAACACAUGAAAUUCUAUCAAGGAAUUAUCAAUUAGAACAAUUGUAAUAAGUUAAAUUUAUUAUUAAUUUAUAUUAUAGUUGUGAUUGUAUUUACUGUUAUCUAAAUUUUCAAAAUUUAUUAUCAAUUUAUAUUAUAUUGAGAUUUUUAUGUGUUAUAAUAUAAUAUUCAAAAUUAUACUACAUUUUUUGUGUGCCCCAGAUCAAUUAAAUUCCUGACUACGUCCCUAUGACUAACUAGUAAGCUUUAAUAUUUACUCGGUCGUGUCUUUAUGACCAAUUUGAGCAGGUAAUCAUGGAGACGACCUAUGGGGUUGCUGAUUGCUGCUCUGAAUGCGUUGGAUUAGCAUCCUUGAUGCAAGAAGCAUGUGUGGAUCGUUGCUCCAACGGCUUAAAGACACUUCUGGAGAAAUAUCACUUACGUUGUUUCCCUCGGUCGAACAAGCUGGCGUGUUAUCUUCUGCUUUCUCAGAGAAUUCCCAACAAUCAUCACCAGCAUCCAAAGUUGCUGGAUCUGCUUCUACACAUGAAUAGAUAGGUAUUCACACAAAAGGAACUUAUGAACAGAAAAAUCUAUUGUACAAUUUCAUUCUACAGUAGCACCUCAAUUUCACGAAUAUCCUUAGUAGAAUGCUAAAUCAAAUUAAGCUAGUAGAAAGUAAAGCUUCAAACUAAUUGACAUAAUUAAUCAAUUAAUUACAAGGAACCCCAUUUGUUGUUUCAUUUAUCAAAUGAAUUUGAAUCCAUUGCCGGUCUCUUAUAUAUAAUUUUUAGUGAGAAAAAUAAAAAUAAAAUUCGCAAACCAGAAGGUGAGCUGAAAAAAUGACGGCGAAAAGCAGUAAACUGAGCAAAGGCAUUAGCAGCGUCAAGAUAAUCGCCAACUUCAAUCCAAGCCGAAACCGCCGCGCUGCGAGCAAAACCCAAAACCUCUCGAGGCCGAAACAAAUCGGAACGACGCCGUUCUUCCAAGCUGGCCAAAACAUUUUUGCCUGCAACUUCAGGGCGCGAUUCAGCAAGUCGUCGUUCGUGCACUUGCGGACGAGGGAUUUGAAAUUGGGUUCGAAAGAAACCACUUCCGAUUCGAUGAAAUAUCGACAGCGAGGGCAGUUUUGAGAAUUAAUAUUAUUAUUGUUGUUGUUGUUCCAGGAGAAGGAGACCAAGAUGCCGAGAGAGUCUUGUCUGAUAACAACACCCGGCCACCAUUGGUGAGGAUACACUACUCUUGCCCACACUAUCUCUCCUCCUUCUCCACUUUUUCCUUUUCUCUCUAAUUUUUCUUCCCUUUCUUCUGUUCUGUUUCUGAAACUAUUUAUUUAUUCAUCCUAUUGUUUUUAAUUUGGCGGGAAGUUGCCGAUUUGCCGCCAAAUUGAAUUACACAAAAUAACUAUAAUGGGCCGCUGCUGUGUGGCCCACCCAAGCAGUCUCAACUCUAAACAGGAAAACUCUGACAGGAACAUUGUUUGGGGGUCUCAAAGCUCAAUUCGAUGUUCCAAUUCUUUUGAAACGUUACCUAAGACUAGGUAAUUUAAACAACUGAGCAAGUCUAGCUCAUUCGUUUUUAAGAAGCAUAGCUUCCGAAAAACCUAUAUUUGUCUACAAUGCUGAUUGGCACAUUAAGACCAAGAAAUUCGAUACUUUAGCUUUAUGUUUGUUUUUCAGGAACUACAGCCGGCUGGAUGAGUUUGUCACUCACGAAAUGAAAUUUAAAGUCAUCAAUCGAGAAAUUGAUUUAUUUAUAAGGAAAGUGUCUCUAGACAUGUCUCUCUCCUUUUCUCCCAAAUGCUCUUCUAUUUCAUAUAAACUAAAUCUAAUAAAAUAAGUUCAAAUAAGUUCUUAUUUUAGAUUCUACUCCCGUGUAAAUUAUGUUAUUGUAAUAACAGCCAUCAGCUUCCCUUUUACGAUUCCACUCUCUUGCGCCGCAGAUUGAUGUCCAGAGAAGUUUGGGGGGCUACUCACCAGUUUCAUCAAUAAAAAGUUAUUUUCUUAUUAUUGUUGAUCACCAUAUUAUUUCUAUAUAUUUUGGUUAUAUCAUCUUCAUUGUACGUAUGAUGUGUCUCUUAUAUUUCCAAAAUUUAAUGUGAAAAAAAUAUUAAUCGGCCAAUAUGUUUUUAUUAUGACGGUGGGAUCGAUUAGAUUUAUGAAGAUUAAUUUAUUUUUUUCAAUCGUGCGGCAUUUUCCUACUAAGGUUUUAGAUUUUUAUUAGGUUUGGUAUGCCAAUGCCAUUAUGCAUAUGACUAGAUUGAGAUAGUCUAAUAUUUAGUAUUGUCUCGUAUUUAGUGUAUAGUUAGUAAUAUGGAUGGACAAAUUAAUAAAUUUAUCAGCCUGCCUAAUCAUUAGUAAUUGUAUUAAGUCAUGCAUUAGCAUACAAGAUGCCUAAUUUAAUACAAGUGAGGUUUGCCGUUGGGCAGCUUCAUAUGAUUUAAUUUUCCUGUACAAGAAAGUAGAAUAAUCACCCAUGCGGAAGCCCAUGCGUGUUCUAUGUAUUAUGGUAGCUAGCUUUAUAUUGUGACUCUACGCAGUCCUCAAUUUAUAUUAAUCAUCCAGUGCUGCCAAAAUAUUAAAUACAAAUGAUGUUUGGCGUUCGGCAGCUUCAUAUUAUUUAAUUUUCUUAUUCAAGAAAGUAGAACAGUCAGUCACCCAUGUAUGUAUAUAUGUAUAUAUAAAAUCUCCUAUGAGACUGUAAACGCACUAGAUGCACCAGUGAAGUAGUGAUUUGUAGAAUUAACUGUUUUCUUAGAUGACCCAAAAUGCCGUAGCCGAUAAACUCCGGGGAUAGCCUCCGUUGGCACUUCCCAUUCAACGGUUGCUAAGCCAUGGAAACUAGUAUUCUCCAAACUCCACUUAAAAUACAGGGAGAAAUCGUCAUCGUCAUAAACCGGAAUCCAUCGCUUCCCCUGAAGCUUUUCAACCACAGCAUAUGUUCCUUCUGUUAACAGAUCAUACCUAGGGUUGGCACUCCAAAAUGUGGCACUUGGUCUAUCGCCCUUGUUAAAUGAACCGUCUUUUGGUUGAUUGAUAUCUUCCUUUAUGUCACCAAACUUUUUGCCCGCCGGAGGCGAGUCUCCGGUUGGGUUUAGUGAAAGGCUGAGUUGCACGGAUGAAAGAUCCGGUGGCGAAGGACCCUUCGUGGUUUUUUCUCCUUUUGCCAUUGCUUGUGCUAAUUUUUUGAAUUCUUGAAUGUAUGCUGGCAAUGUGUGGGGUCCGUAAAGCGUUGACGCAGCCUGCAGCACAUAUCAUUUUCGCAUCGAUCGAUGUGAUUAGAAUAGAAGUUCUUCCGUCAAAUCCUAAAAGAUUUUUCUUAUUUAAUUUAUUUUAAUUUGGAAUAAGUACCUCAUAUCGUUGAUGUGCGUAUUCUUCGAAUGUUGCAAUGUAUUGUGAAUAAGCGUUUGUAAGUCCUGCUAUUACGAUGUGGGUGUCAUUAUCAAAUUCCCCAUUUCCAUUAUUUAUUAGAGUGUCCUUAACUGCUUCCCGUAAUCUUCGACCCGCCAUUGUUGUAAACUCUGCACUCUUCAAUAGUUAAAUCUUGCCCCACAACAGAAUAUUAAUCACAAUUUCUUUGAAGCUAAACUAUGCUUGUUAUUAAAAGAAAAAGUUUAACCCAUUUACUAAAAGCAAAGCUAUACAUACACCAUUUUGAUAAAUAGAGAAGGAAUUUGCGUAUAACUGAGCUAACCUCCCGGUACAGAAAGUAUGAUAAGCUUUCCCAACCUCAGAAUUUGAAUUGGGAGAACCGCUGGCUGCAUUGAUAUCAGAAAUAUGAUUAUCAGAAAAUGUUCUUUUAAGCUGCAAAAUUGCUGUCUAAUAACUUUAUUUUCUUUUGGCUUGGAGUUUCCAAGAUUAGCAAAUUCGUGCACAAGAAAAAUUCAGCACGUUACCGCCCAUGCAUAAGGUUCAAACAUUUCGCCAGAGGAUAGCAGAACAGCCUUUGGCUUUUGACAUUCCUCCUGAUACUGGCUUGGCUUUUUCAAUACGUCCCUCAACUGUUUCCACAGCUUAUUGAUCUAAAAACAUUAAAUAACGAGACAAAAAAAUCACGGGUUUAAAUACCUUGUUCAUUUAACCAAAAAGAAAAAGAUCUAUUGACAAUCAAAUGCCUGAAUCGGUGAGCCCUGACCUCUGUAUCACCUUGUUGAAAACCAAACACACCAGGUCCAUCUGUAGUUCCGGCGGCGAACCCUGGGCCUAGGGCUGCAGGGCAAGUCUUGAUUGUGUUGUUUCCUGUUCCAUCCAAUCCAACCUCAAUAUUUGUGAAGUUUAUGUAGACAUGACGAUAAUCAAUCUUUCCGCUCAAUUGAUCGGUUGCAGAAUUGAAUAAAUCAACGGCCUUUUGGAAUUGCCUUUCUCCUAUUAUCUCUGUGCUUAAUAUUUCGUCUGGAUACCUGUUAAAAUAGAUACAGAUUAGUUUAACAUGUUGAGCAAAAAAUUCAUUAGUUUCUUUGAAUGAAUUGAUAUGUUAGUACCCAGGUCCGCGGCCAAUGCAGAGCUGGUCAUCGCCAUGGCAUGAUGAGUGAUUGAAGUCGCAAGGCUUUCCACUAUCAAUGCAAAAUGCUCCUAGCACAUUUGGGGUCACAUCUCCAACAUUUGAUUGGCAAAACGCUCCCACAAAUAGCGAUCCAUCGUUCUUCCUCACUUUGAAGCCUUGGCUUGUUGUUUUUCCACAUUGCUGUCCUCCAGUGGCCUUGAUUGUUUUCGAUUUCUCCAUCAAUUUGCCAAUAUCUAUUUCAAAUCAAUACUGCACAUGAGUUAAAUCUCGCAGUGAUCAUGGAAUCCUAAUUUGAACAAAAAUGAAAUCAAGAUUUUUCUUGCAACAUGGACAUCUAUUCAUCUAGUUGGAAGCUGCCGUUUCAGCUACAAAUUUUGAAUGCCCAAGGAGUUUGAUAUGUAUUGUUAACAAUAACCGAAUGGGUUAAAAGUUACAGCACCCUAUCCCGACCCGAACGGCUCUUCUGUGUUGAAACAACUUACCCGAUGAGGUAGAAAACUUACUGGUUGUCGUGGAGGAAGAUUCGUUUUUGGAACUGAACCAGUCUUCAAAGAACCUGGCAGCAGCGCCCUUGUUGUCUCCGCUGAUGAGCAAAUUGUCUCUGGACAUAGAGGUGCCGUGUGUAGCAUACCAAUUGAAGGCUCCUAUGCUCUUCCCGCUUGCUGCAUCAACAAAUUUCAGAAGGGUCAUUUCUUUGUCAACGUUUUCUGGGUAUCGAGCCCUCUCCUCUGCUGGAUUAAGCAGAUAUGCACUUGGACUCCUGUUUAUUCCAGCAUUUUCUACGUCCCCUGAAGCAUAAAACAAGACAAAUAACAUGGAAAUCAUUUUGUUAGUUUGCUUAAGGAUAUCGAUUCAAUGCAUGCGCAAACACCUUCAAAACUGAACACUGACCUUUUCUAAUGAAAAUUGAACCAGGGUUUAAAUUGUUGUGAGCCUGAACAAUGCUCUGGACAAUUGCGAUGACAAUGGCAUCAAACGAUUGUUGGACAAAUCCUAGAGACGUGAUAGAGUAAAUCAAGUACUGCAAGUAACCCCCAGGUCCGGCAUGAGUAUGGAUUCCACUGAUUGCUAUGUUCUCUUCAGUAUACAAAUUUCCAAACCUUCGAAACGAGUAACAUUAUAUGAGAUCACCAAUUAAGCAAAUUCUGACAUCUUAAGGUGCUUUUUAAGUUUCGCUUGGCUUAUUUACUGUACCUUGUCUUAAGUUUCUCUAGCACUUUAAUAGUAACGAGUUGUGAAGCCAUGCCGGCAUCAAGAUUCACAAAAGCAAAUCUUGUUCCGUUGGAACUCUCGGCCACAAUGAAAGUUCUAGCUCUAAGACGGAAAUGAAUCCCUGCAGUAUUUUGGAAAAGAUUGGCAUAACCCAUCAUGUUUAUUCCAGCAGCAGGACCUGUCAUGUCAUAGCUCCCUACUCCGACCAAAUACUGACCAUCUGCACUUCUUAUUAGAGCAAAACCAAAAACGAGAGCAAUAAUAAGUGAUAGAAAAAACAAGUGUCGGUUUAUUUUGCUACCCAUAAUUUCUUUGUGGGACCUGGAUUGUAAAAUCCGGUAGUCAUGAAGUUGUUGUAUAUAAAGAUACGGAGUAUGGAAUUUCUUGGACUUGUUGACACAAAAUGUUUCUUAGUAUGUAGUGAUUAGAUUCUUCGUUUUAUUGUCAACGCCUAAUUUGAAAAAUCGAUUGUUCGCUUGCUUUGUCUAAGAUGUCCCGAGGUUGAGUUGGCACCAAAGAAUCUCUUCUUGGGUUGCUCCGCAUGCGGAGAGUGACGAGGCCCGUUCUUGUCUAUCAUCGGGCAUUUAUUAUUCUGUUUACAUGCUUUAUAUGAAUCAUAAAAUAUGAUCAUAGUACUUUACAUUCAAUUCAAUGUUUUAUUGCUAAUGUACAAAAUUGAUGGGUUUCGCAAUUAAGUAAUAUGCUAUUGGAUCAUCUCGAAUAGCGAAUUAAUGGACAUGGGACUAGUCCAGAUUCCAAUUUGUACUCCUUAAUGGGUCUCGUUAUCUAGUGCCAACAUACUAUUACUUCUGCUCAGCAUGCAUCAAAAAACUAAUAAAUUCUGUCGUGUAUUUAUUUGGGUUGAAAUCUGCCAAAUAAUUACAGCCGGUUCCUUCUAAAAAAAAAAAAAAAGCUGGUUGCUAUAUAUAUUAAGUGAAUAAAUAUUGUCAUCAUCUACCCGUUGAUUGUAUCACCUUCUUCCUACAAUUAUAGACUUUUUGAACGCAAUGACUUAGAACCACCCAACUCGCGUUAAUCAUUUAGUCAUGGACAAUUACAUGGGUUUAAUUUAAAAUCGAUUGGGCGAUAAUUUGUUACCUAAUGUCAGAAAUAGCAAAACGACAAGGAAUUAGACCUCAAAAAAGAAAAAGAAAAAGAAAAAUCAGCUAUCGUCCGCACAAAACUUAAGAAAGAAGUUUUCGGGGACAGCUCACGAUUUGGACUUAUAUCUUCUAUUCUUCUCAUUUAAAUAUGCAGAUAGAUGAAAUGAUAGAUGAAUCGUCUUUUCAAAAUUAGAGUCUGAUUCAAAUUAUUCCACUUAUAACGAAGACGCUAGAGAUCUAAAGAGUUACACGUCCAGAGUCUGCAUGGACCCGCUAUUACACCUGGCCAUAUUCAUCGUUCAUCAGUCGAGUGGCCUCUCAAUAAAGAUUCUCAAAAAUUUAAGGCCGUCUAUUUAUUUUCGCUUCAUAACUGUGUCACUCAUUUAAUAAAAUUUAAUAUUUUCUCUCUAUAAUUUUUAAAAUAAUUUUACAUGCUUAAUUUUUUAAUCAAUUUUAUUUUUAAAUAUAAAUAAAUGAUAUUUAAGAUAAGAAAAUAUAAGACAAAUCUAUUGAUUAAGAUAUAACCAAUAUAAAUAUAAUUAAUUAUGUCAAAAAUAAAUAAUCAUAUUUGAAAUUCUAAACUUAAUUCUAGUACAAUGAUUAAUAAGAUUAACAUGAACCAACUUAUCCAGUAAUUGUAUAAAUUUAAUCAUCAAAACUCAUUGAUUUGUGUUAGAUCUAUGAAUCGUGUCAGAUUUUGCAACGUCAGACUUAGGAGUAUUCUGGGCUCUUGCCAGGGUCCACGUCUACAAAGGUCCACAAUUUACGUGCAUGAUGUCGACUUAUCCGCAAUCAGUGUUUUUCAUAACUUUAAUAAUUCAUUAACAAAAGAAAGCACCAGGCGGGGGCUUUAUAGCAAUCAAAGCAUCAUUACAAGCACGCAGGUGGUACCCAGCGUUCACACCAAAGUUUACCAAAACUCAUACAGCAAUGAAACUAUUUCACGUUAUUUAGUUGGGGGGAAAAAAAAAAAAAAAGACAAUAGACAUACUUAUCCAUCCAAGUACAUAAACAGCACUUAUACAUUAAGCAUAAAAUCAAAUUGUAAUAAAGGCAAAUUAAAAAAAAAAAAAAAAGCAUUACAAAGGAGAAAGAACUGAACAAACCACACAAACAGGAGACCGGCAAAAACAGUAAUUGUAUCAAACGCAUUACAAAUUUAAUCUUCUUAAUUAAUGGGCAGCAGUUUCUUUGUCCUUCUCCUUUUCGUCCUCAGACUUGGGGUGGUAGCCAGGGAGCUUCUCCUUGAGUUUCUCCAAUAUGCCCUUCUUCUCCUUGGCCUCUGCCUCAUGAGCCUCGACUGAUGUGGGGUGCUCAGCAGCAGGAAGAGAAGGGACCUGAUGAUCUUCAGGUUUCUUUUGCUGUCCUGGUAGUUUCUCCUUGAUCUUGUUGAGAAAUCCUUUCUUUUCUUCAGGAUGGGCUUCUUCCUGGUGGUGGGGAGCAUGGACAUCAUCAAGUUUCUCGACAGGGACAGUCGUGUCCUCUUCUUUCUCACCUGAUAUUUUCUCCUUGAGCUUCUCCUUCAGUCCCUUCUUUUCCUUCUUCUUCUUCUUCUUCUUUUCCUCAUCAUCGCCCUCCUCCUCAUCGCUUGACUGCACACACACACACACACACACCAAAAAAACAAUUUAAAAUACGAUACUUAGGAUCAUUCGUUCAGAUUGUUUUUAUUUUUUUAUCAUAAAUUAAGAUGAUUAACAAAUGAAGAAACAGAAACUUACAGAGCUAGAGCUGCUGGUGGAUCGGUGAAGUUUGUCUAAGAGACCGGGCUUCUUCUCUUCCUCCUUCUCCACCUUCCUGUGUUCCUCUACCUUUGGCUGAGGCUCAGAGACAUGAACUUUCUCAAACUCAGUCGCGAUCACCUCCUGAUCGUGAUGUUGAGGUUUCUGCUCUUCUUUCUUCCCCAAGAAAUCAAGCAUCCCACGAUCCUUGGUCUCCACUGCACCUUCCGUCCCAACACUCGGCUCGUACUCAUGGCUCUU
rnacentral:lncRNA from 1 species